GGCGACCUGAGCCCCGUUGACGAAAUCGUCGUCCUCUUGAACCGAGGAAGCUAUAUCUGGCAUGUAACCGUUGCUGCCUCCGAUCUCGCUUGGAUUGGCGAAGUAACUGUUCAGGUCAUCUUGGAUGGGUACGGCGGCAUCAGAGGCGGAGUCAGAUGGGGAGCCAUUGAAUGGCAUGCUGAGGGACGACAUAUCAGACACGGCAGGGAACAAUGUGUUCAUGCCAGUUACCCGCUUCACUGAGUCCUCUGCCAUCUUCACCUGAAAACAUGAUGCAUUCCCACGUUCCAUCAGAAUGGCCAAGAACACCCAAUUAGGCCUUGUUCGGUUAAUCCUGUUACCCAUGUAUUAGAUGAGAUUAGAAAAAAUUAAGAAGUUUGACUUGUUUGGAAUUUAAACCCACCUAAUCCCACCCAAUCCACAUAGAUUGAGAGCUAACCGAACAAGCCCUUACGCGUGGAAAGGCCAUGGAUUAUCUCUGAAAUCUAGGGGUGGGAGGUGAUUCACCUAGUGCUAGCAGUUGAAACAACCCAAAGUGCCUAAUUCAACAGAUGCAGGGCUCACACAGCACAGGCAAAGCAGUGUACCUUUGCUCUUAAGGUUUCAACAUCUGCCUUAAGCACCCUAUUGUCAACAGCAGCCUCAUUGAACUUCUGAUUAACGUCAGCAAGUCGCCUUAGGAGCGAAGAGUUCUCAACUCUUAACUGUGAUACCUGUAACAAGACAUGCACAACUCUAGCUCGUUAGCCAAGCCAGGGACCCAAGAACAUUUUGGAUCUGUCAAGUGUCAACACAUAAAAACAAUAGCAUAACCCAUCAGACCUGUGCCUCCAGUUCAUUCAAGUGAGCUGCCUUUCUGCUUCUCGAACGCCUGGCUGAUUCUCGGUUGGAUUGCUUCCUGGAAACAGUCAGGAAGACUGGCUCAACUCAUCUAUUCGGUUGUGGCAUCAAGCCAACACCAGUUUUACAGUAAGGCUAAAAUUAUUGCCGGCCUUAAGAACAAACAGACCACUCUAAAUGAGAAUUUGUCCACUAAAUAAUACUAGUGCCUGUAUAAGAAAACAAUGGCAAUACAAAUUACAAUUAUUAUGGCAUACAAUAUACAAGAGCGUCCACAAACUUGUCAAGGAAUGUCAUUUAGGUCCACAAACUUUAAAAAAUGUGUUUCUGAGUCACUAAACUUGUUAAGUGGUGCACUGCAGGUCCAUAACAACCAUGUUGGCAUUUUAUCUGACAUGACAUGCAUCAGGCUGGUGCGUAUUAUUAAUUGAUCCAGGUCCAGCCCGAGAUACUGCAGACACAAUACACACUGCAGUGUUAGCGUGCGUUCGUCUACAGGUGAGCCUUCGCGUCUCCCUGAGCCUCGACGCUUCAAGAACCCGUCCCAGCCUCAAGCUGCCUGUGAAGGGCUGUGGACACUCGAGCGAUGUUAGUUGUUAGUGGGGGCAGCAUAGUGGGCGUUGGCUGCGAGGCCACGGUCACCCGCUCACAAGGUCGAAGGAGGAGCAGCGGCUUCAAGUGCGGCCUUUUUUUUUUUAAAUGCAAAUAGGUGAGGCUAAAACCAUAUUUGAUUUGGCUUUUGGCAGUAGCUUUUGCCCUCAAAAAGCCAACCAAAGGGAUUGGCUCCCACCCAAAGCAACAGCCAAAAGCAACUUUUGCCUAGUACAAAUUUCAUAGCAGCCUUCCCCGGUCCCCCCUGCUUUCACUGGCCAUAGAGUUAGGAAGUCCACGAAAUUACCCACCUGCACUAGUUAUGAAGAUAACAAUUUAUUUUUUCCCAGCUGAAGCAGCCAGCCCCAGCGACCUAGACAAUCUACAGGAGGAAGAAGGUGUUGACGAGAGAGGUCCGCUUGGUGUGUGUGUGUGUGUGUGAGAGAGAGAGAGUCGAGUGGAGAGGAAUGUGGAUGACAUGUGGACAAUAUACUUAUAUAAUAUUCUAACACUCCCCCUCACGUCGAGGCUCUCUUAGCUCUCAGACGUGGAAUAGGAGCAAGCAACAAUUAUUCUUGGCUCUAAUAAUAUAUUAAGUUGUAUGCACAAACCAGUUCAACCCAAAAACUUAAUCUAAUAAAAAGAGGUGGACAAUUCACUUGUACUAUAUUCUAACAUGCUCCACAGUUUUUCCAGAAAACACAACUGCUCAACCAAACGGCUUUUGGCUUUCUCAAAGCCCACACUCAUUAACAGCUUUUCCACUACUACUUUUCCAGAACCCACAGCUCAACCAAACAUGGCCUAAGAUGAGUUAAAUGCAAAGUGGCAACAUAGUUAGCCUCAGCCUUACAGUGGCACGUCAGAUAAAAUGCCAGCAUUGCUAGUAUGGACAUGUGGUGCACCACUUAACAAGUUUAGUGAUAACAAAUGCAUUUUAAAAGUUUCUGGACCUAAGCGAGCACCCCUUGACAAGUUCAGGGGCUGCUCAUGCAUUUAACUCAAUAUACAAUGUUGGCCAUAAAGUCAUGAUGCACACACAUUUCACAAACAGGUAAAAAAGAUCACCUUCUCUGUAAUCUGUGUUGAACAGGGUUUCCAUUUCCAGUAGUCUCAGCAUCUCCUUCCAUGUCAUCAUCGUCUGACUGCUCACGUGAGGAAGAGCUAGUGGUUUGCUUAACAGGGAUAUCGGCAUUUUGUACUACAUGUGGACUUGAUCCCCCGCCUGGAGCACCAACUAGCUUGUUUUGAACUAGACUUCCAGUACCUGAUACGUGCCCAAUAUCCAAUCCAGACCAUACUUCAGUCAUUCAACCAGAUGUCAUACAUAUAAGUUAGAAGGCUAGCAUUUACAGUGUGUGCAUGUUUACCCAAAUAAAAUAGCAACAUGUCAGUGAAAUCACGAUUAAGCUACUUGGUCCAAUUGUGAAGCUAAGUGCACGUGCAUACCUUGCAUAGUAAUGGACGACACACCAUAAAGAUACAACCAUAAAGGCUUCAUAAUCACAAGGUGUUUUGUUUUGAAAACUCAACAACAGAACAUCAAGUUCCCCAUGGUUUACUAAAUCGAUUAGACCGGGGAUGGGAGAUGGGACGUAGGAAAAAAAGGCGGUCGGGCGCGCCCUUGUCGUCUUCCUCCUUCGCCGUAGUGGACCGGAGUUCUCUUGGGCCGAUUUCCCACGCUCCGCACGCUCCUCGUGCUAUCCCUCUCUCGCGUUUCAUAGGCAGGCGGGUCUCCGGGUGAGAAGGUCUCUGGCGCGGCCCAGAAGGAUUCCUGUCCCUCGUCGCGCGAUACAGUGACUUCUACAGGUACCGCGUUAGGGUUUCCUUCUGACUUCGUCGGAUCGUAUUCCUUUCCGCAUCUCGCCUCUUCGCUCUCUCGGCUCUGGUCUCUCCCGUCGUCGGUUCGCUCCAGUUUCCACGGUGGCUGGUUCGAGUCCCCGAUCCGUCCUCCGCUGGUGGAAGAGGAGUGGCCGCCUCUGCCUCGCUUGGCGUCCGUGUUGAAGAUGGAUCCAAAAGGUCGAAACCCUAAUUGGGAUCGGUGGGGACCGAAAGAGGUGCCUCAAGGAUCUCAAUCUUGGAACAAGAAUCGAAAUCUCAGUUGGAGAUUGAAGCCAAAUCUUGGCAAAUCUGACAUCAAGGAAGACAUUGUGACUUUUCUGGCGAUGGGGCCAAUCAGGUAUUCUCAAAACCCCUCCCCUGCUUUGAAAAAAGAGAUUGAUAAUGUUCGUCGCCCUUUCUGUCAAAAAUGCGGGGUGGAGGGUCAUCAUGCUAGAGAUUGUUUCAAGUCUCUGUGGUGCGAUAUUUGUCGCAAAGAAACUCAUGUGAAUGCUCGUUGUGUCCUUCCCAAACAAAACAAGCCAUGCAUGCCUAUUGUUGGUAUGGCGGCUGACGGGUUAAGGUUUUAUUCUUCCCAUUUUGCGAAAUCCUUAUCUAGAAAACCGAAAAGGAGCUUCAUCGGUUUGGGGAAAGUUGUUGAGGGGUUGAUUUCUGCAGAAGAUCUUGAGAAGGAUUUUGGUUUUCAUUUCCCGUGGGGCAAAACUUGGAAAGCAACCAAGUGUCACGCCGGGUUCUUGAUGCAGUUUCCUUCUCAGGAGAAGUUAGAUGAGAUGAUUAAUUUUCCUGGACUUAAAAUGAAAAUGUCCGGGGCAAAAAUUUCAGUCUCUUAUUGGAGCUCACAGGCUAAACCUAAAUCCAAGCUUCAUUUUGUGUGGAUUGUGGCGGAAAAUGUCCCUGAGGAACUCCAAAAUUACCAAGCUAUUUGUGAGUUGGGGUCAACAAUUGGGUCUGUUGAAGAGGUGGAUAUCUUAUCUUUAGACACUAAAGAUAUUGUGAGAUUCAAAGUGCAUGUCAAAAGUGUUGCUAUGAUUCCACCAAUUAUAGAGGUAGGUGUUAAACCCUUCCUCUAUGACAUAUACUUUAAAAUUGAUGAUAUCACUAAUGAGGGAUGGAAUGAUGAAUCUAUAAAUCUUGGUGAUAGUCGCCUAGAGGGGGGGUGAAUAGGGCGAAACUGAAAUUUACAAAUAUAAACACAACUACAAGCCGGGGUUAGCGUUAGUAAUAAUAAAUGAGUCCGCAAGAGAGGACGCAAAACAAAUCGCAAGCAAAUAAAGAGAGUGACACGUGGAUUUGUUUUACCGAGGUUCGGUUCUUGCAAACCUACUCCCCGUUGAGGAGGCCACAAAGGCCGGGUCUCUUUCAACCCUUCCCUCUCUCAAACGGUCCCUCGGACCGAGUGAGCUUUCCUUCUUCUCAAUCAACCGGGAACAAAACCUCCCCGCAAGGGCCACCACACAAUCGGUGCCUCUUGCCUCGGUUACAAUUGAGUGUUGAUCACAAGAGCAAAAGAGAAAGAAAGAAUGCGAUCCAAGCGCAAGAGCUCAAAAAACACGGCAAAUCUCUCUCGCUAGUCACUAAAGGCUUGAGUGGAAUUGGAGAGGAUUUGAUCUCUUUGUAUGUGUCUAGAAUUGAAUGCCUAGCUCUUGUAAGUGGUUGAGAAGUGGGAAAACUUGGAUGGCAAUGAAUGUGGAGUGGUUUGGGUAUUUAUAGCCCCAACCACCAAAUGUGGCCGUUGCUGGGAGCUCUCUGUUCGAUGGCGCACCGGACAGUCCGGUGCACACCGGACAGUCCGGUGCCCCCUGCCACGUCAUCGUUGCCGUUGGAUUCUGACCGUUGGAGCUCUGACAUGUGGGCCUGCCGAGGUGUCCGGUGCACACCGGACAUGCACUGUUUGAUGUCCGGUGCACCGGUAUGGGCGCGCCUGCCGACUGCGCGCGCAGAGCGCGCAUUAAAUGCGCUAGCAGGUGACCGUUGUCGCGGAAGUAGCCGUUGCUCCGUGGUUCACCGGACAGUCCGGUGCACACCGGACAGUCCGGUGAAUUAUAGCGGAGCGGCUGCCGCGCGAACCCGAGGCUGGCGAGUUCCGGAGGCCGCGGUUCCUUGGAGCACCGGACAUGUCCGGUGCACACCGGACAGUCCGGUGAAUUAUAGCGCGCCGGCUUCCGAGAAUUCCCGAAGGCGAAGAGUUUGGGUCUAAGUCCCCUGGUGCACCGGACAGGUACUGUUCACUGUCCGGUGGCACACCGGACAGUCCGGUGCGCCAGACCAGGGGUGCCCUCGGUUCCCCCUUUGCUCCUUUAUUGAAUCCAAAACUUGGUCUUUUUAUUGGCUGAGUGUGAACCUUUUGCACCUGUAUAACUUAUACACUAGAGCAAACUAGUCAGUCCAAUAUUUGUGUUGGACAAUUCAACCACCAAAAUUAUUUAGGAACUAGGUGUAAGCCUAAUUCCCUUUCAAUCUCCCCCUUUUUGGUGAUUGAUGCCAACACAAACCAAAGCAAAUAUAGAAGUGCAUAAUUGAACUAGUUUACAUGACGUAAGUGCAAAGGUUACUUGGAAUUGAGCCAAUAUAACUACUUACAAGAUAUGCAAGGAAUGUUUCUUUCUUAUGUAACAUUUUGGACCACGUUUGCACCACAUGUUUUGUUUUUGCAAAUUCUUUUUGUAAAUCCAUUUCAAAGAUCUUUUGCAAAUAGUCAAAGGUACAUGAAUAAGAGUUUGCAAAGCAUUUUCAAGAUUUGAAAUUGUCUCCCCCUAUUUUAAAUGCUUUUUCUUUGACUAAACAAAACUCCCCCUAAAAGAGAUCCACCUCUUAGUGUUCAAGAGGGUUUUGAUAUACCAUUUUUGAAAUACUACUUUCUCCCCCUUUUGAACACAAUAGGAUACCAAAUGAUGAAGACUUUUGGAAAGCACUAAGUUUUUUGAAUUUGGUGGUGGUGGUGCGGUCCUUUUGCUUUGGGCUCAUUUCUCCCCCUUUUUGGCAUGAAUCGCCAAAAACGGAAUCAUUAGAGCCCUCGAAGUGCAAUCUUCCCUUUGGUCAUAAAUAAGUGAGUUAAGAUUAUACCAAAGACGAAGUCCUUUUGCGUUUGAGCUUUUACUCUCUCCCCCAAGGAUGAAGUCCUUUUCCUUGAUGCUCAUUUCUCCCCCAAGGACGAGAGAGUUGCUCGGAGUGAUGGCGAAGCAUGAGUUACGGAGUGGAAGCCUUUGUCUUCGCUGAAGACUCCAAUUUCCUUUCAAUAUACCUAUGACUUGGUUUGAAAUCGACUUGAAAACACAUUAGUCAUAGCAUAUAAAGGAGAUAUGAUCAAAGGUAUUCAAAAGAGCUAUGUGUGCAAGCUUUAGCAAAAGAAAUUUCUAGAAUCAAGAAUAUUGAGCUCAUGCCUAAGUCUGGUAAAAGAUUGUUCAUCAAGUGGCUUGGUAAAGAUAUCGGCUAAUUGAUCUUUAGUAUUAAUGUAAGAAAUCUCGAUAUCCCCCUUUUGUUGGUGAUCCCUAAGAAAAUGAUACCGAAUGGCUAUGUGCUUAGUGCGGCUAUGCUCGACGGGAUUGUCGGCCAUUUUGAUUGCACUCUCAUUAUCACAUAGCAAAGGGACUUUGGUUAAUUUGUAACCGUAGUCCCGCAGGGUUUGCCUCAUCCAAAGCAAUUGCGCGCAACAAUGUCCUGCGGCAAUGUACUCGGCUUCGGCGGUGGAAAGAGCGACCGAAUUUUGCUUCUUUGAAGCCCAAGACACCAAGGAUCUUCCCAAGAACUGGCAAGUCCCCGAUGUGCUCUUCCUAUUGAUUUUGCACCCUGCCCAAUCGGCAUCCGAAUAACCAAUCAAAUCAAAUGUGGAUCCCCGAGGGUACCAAAGCCCAAACUUAGGUGUAUAAGCCAAAUAUCUCAAGAUUCGUUUUACGGCCGUAAGGUGUGAUUCCUUAGGGUCGGAUUGGAAUCUUGCACACAUGCAAACGGAAAGCAUAAUGUCCGGUCGAGAUGCACAUAAAUAAAGCAAUGAACCAAUCAUCGACCGGUAUACCUUUUGAUCCACGGACUUACCUCCCGUGUCGAGGUCGAGAUGCCCAUUAGUUCCCAUGGGUGUCUUGAUGGGUUUGGCAUCCCUCAUCCCAAACUUAGCAAGAAUGUCUUGAGUGUACUUCGUUUGGCUAAUGAAGGUGCCCUCUUGGAGUUGCUUGACUUGGAAUCCUAGAAAAUACUUCAACUCCCCCAUCAUCGACAUCUCGAAUUUCUGUGUCAUGAUCCUACUAAACUCUUCACAUGUAGACUCGUUAGUAGACCCAAAUAUAAUAUCAUCAACAUAAAUUUGGCAUACAAACAAGUCAUUUUCAAGAGUUUUAGUAAAGAGUGUAGGAUCGGCCUUGCCGACUUUGAAGCCAUUAGCAAUAAGGAAAUCUCUAAGGCAUUCAUACCAUGCUCUUGGGGCUUGCUUGAGCCCAUAAAGCGCCUUAGAGAGCCUAUAGACAUGAUUAGGAUACUCACUGUCUUCAAAGCCGGGAGGUUGCUCAACAUAGACCUCUUCCUUGAUUGGUCCAUUGAGGAAGGCACUUUUCACGUCCAUUUGAUAGAGCUUAAAGCCAUGGUAAGUAGCAUAGGCCAAUAAUAUGCGAAUUGACUCAAGCCUAGCUACGGGUGCAUAGGUUUCACCAAAAUCCAAACCUUCGACUUGUGAAUACCCUUUGGCCACAAGUCGAGCUUUGUUCCUUGUCACCACACCAUGCUCAUCUUGCUUGUUGCGGAAGACCCAUUUGGUUCCUACAACAUUUUGGUUAGGACGUGGAACUAAAUGCCAUACCUCAUUCCUCGUGAAAUUGUUGAGCUCCUCUUGCAUUGCCACCACCCAAUCCGAAUCUUGGAGAGCUUCCUCUACCCUGUGUGGCUCAAUAGAGGAAACAAAAGAGUAAUGUUCACAAAAAUGAGCAACCCGAGAUCGAGUAGUUACCCCCUUAUGAAUGUCGCCGAGGAUGGUGUCGACGGGGUGAUCUCGUUGGAUUGCUUGGUGGACUCUUGGGUGUGGCGGUCUUGGUUCUUCCUCAUCCUCCUUUUCUUGAUCAUUUGUAUCUCCCCCUUGAUCAUUGCUAUCAUCUUGAGGUGGCUCGUCUUCUUGAUUUUGCUCUUCAUCAUUUUGAGCCUCAUCCUCAUUUUGAGUUGGUGGAGAUGCUUGCAUGGAGGAGGAUGGUUGAUCUUGUGUACUUGGAGGCUCUUCGGAUUCCCUAGGACACACAUCCCCAAUGGACAUGUUCCUAAGCGCUAUGCAUGGAGCCUGUUCUUCACCUACUUCAUCAAGAUCAACUUGCUCUACUUGAGAGCCGUUAGUUUCAUCAAACACAACGUCACAUGAGACUUCAACUAGUCCAGUGGACUUGUUAAAGACCCUAUAUGCCCUUGUGUUUGAGUCAUAACCAAGUAAAAAGCCUUCUACAGUUUUAGGAGCAAAUUUAGAUUUUCUACCUCUUUUAAUAAGAAUGAAGCAUUUGCUACCAAAAACUCUAAAAUAUGAAAUGUUGGGCUUUUUACCGGUUAGGAGUUCAUAUGAUGUCUUCUUGAGGAUUCGGUGAAGAUAUAACCGGUUGAUGGCGUAGCAGGCGGUGUUGACCGCUUCGGCCCAAAACCGGUCCGGUGUCUUGUACUCAUCAAGCAUGGUUCUUGCCAUGUCCAAUAGAGUUCGAUUCUUCCUCUCUACUACACCGUUUUGUUGUGGCGUGUAGGGAGAAGAGAACUCAUGCUUGAUGCCCUCCUCCUCAAGGAAGCUUUCAAUUUGAGAGUUCUUGAACUCCGUCCCAUUGUCGCUUCUUAUUUUCUUGAUCCUUAAGCCGAACUCAUUUUGAGCUCGUCUCAAGAAUCCCUUUAAUGUCUCUUGGGUUUGAGAUUUUUCCUGUAAAAAGAAUACCCAAGUGAAGCGAGAAUAAUCAUCCACAAUAACUAGACAGUACUUACUCCCGCCGAUGCUUAUGUAAGCGAUCGGGCCGAAUAUAUCCAUGUGUAGGAGCUCCAGUGGCCUGUCAGUCGUCAUUAUGUUCUUGUGUGGAUGAUGAGUGCCAACUUGCUUCCCUGCUUGGCAUGCGCUACAAAUCCUGUCUUUCUCAAAAUGAACAUUGGUUAGUCCUAAAAUGUGCUCUCCCUUUAGAAGCUUAUGAAGAUUCUUCAUCCCAACAUGGGCUAGUCGGCGAUGCCAGAGCCAACCCAUGUUAGUCUUAGCAAUUAAACAUGUGUCGAGCUCAGCUCUAUCAAAAUCUACUAAGUAUAGCUGACCCUCUAACACACCCUUAAAUGCUAUUGAAUCAUCACUUCUUCUAAAGACAGUGACACCAAUAUCAGUAAAAAGACAGUUGUAGCCCAUUUUACAUAAUUGGGAUACAGAAAGCAAAUUGUAAUCUAAAGAAUCAACGAGAAAAACAUUGGAAAUAGAAUGGUCAGGAGAUAUAGCAAUUUUACCCAAGCAUUUGACCAAACCUUGAUUUCCAUCCCCGAAUGUGAUAGCUCGUUGGGGAUCUUGGUUUUUCUCAUAUGAGGAGAACAUUCUUUUCUCCCCGGUCAUAUGGUUUGUGCACCCACUGUCGAGUAUCCAACUUGAGCCCCCGGAUGCAUAAACCUACAAAACAAGUUUAGUUCUUUGUUUUAGGUACCCAAACGGUUUUGGGUCCUUUGGCAUUAGAAAUGAGAACUUUGGGUACCCAAACACAAGUCUUGGAGCCCUUGUGCUUGCCCCCAACAAAUUUGGCAACUACCUUGCCGGAUUUGCUAGUAAGUACAUAAGAUGCAUCAAAAGUUUUAAAUGAAAUGGCAUGAUCAUUUGAUGCAUUAGGAGUUUUCUUUCUAGGCAACUUGGCACGGGUUGGUUGCCUAGAGCUAGAUGUCUCACCCUUAUACAUAAAAGCAUGGUUAGGGCCAGAGUGAGACUUCCUAGAGUGAAUUCUCCUAAUUUUGCUCUCGGGAUAACCGGCAGGGUACAAAAUGUAACCCUCGUUAUCCUGAGGCAUGGGAGCCUUGCCCUUAACAAAGUUAGACAAAUUUUUAGGUGGGGCAUUAAGUUUGACAUUGUCUCCCCUUUGGAAGCCAAUGCCAUCCUUGAUGCCAGGACGUCUCCCAUUAUAGAGCAUGCUUCUAGCCAAUUUAAAUUUUUCAUUUUCUAAGUCAUGCUCUCUAAUCUUAGCAUUUAGUUGAGCUAUGUGAUCAUUUUGUUUAUUAAUUAAGGCUAGGUGAUCAUGGAUAGCAUCAACAUUAAUAUCUCUACAUCUAGUACAAAUGGAAAUAUGCUCAACAUUAGAUGUAGAGGGUUUGCAAGAUUUUAGUUCAACAACCUUAGCAUGCAACAUAUCAUUUUUAGUUCUAAGGUCGGAAAUAGUAGCAUUGCAAACAUCAAAAUCCUUAGCCUUAGCAAUUAGUUUCUCAUUCUCAUUUCUAAGGCUAGCAAUGGAAACAUUUAACUCAUCAAUCCUAGCAAGUAAAUCAACAUUAUCAUUUCUAGGAUCAAUGCAAACAUGAGAAUCUACCUUAGCAAUUAAUUUAGCAUUUUCACUUCUAAGGUUGGUAAUAGUGUCAUGGCACAUGCUUAGCUCACUAGAUAAUUUGUUACAUUUUUCUACUUCUAGAGCAUAAGCAUUUUUAACCUUAACAUGUUUCUUAUUUUCCUUGAUUAGGAAGUCCUCUUGGGAGUCCAAGAGAUCAUCCUUUUCAUGGAUGGCACUAAUUAGUUCAUUUAAUUUUUCCUUUUGUUCCAUGUUAAGGUUAGCAAAAAGAAUGCGCAAGUUAUCCUCCUCAUUUUUAUCAUCAUCCUCAUCACUAGAUGUUUCAUAUUUAGUGGAGGACCUUGAUUUUACCUUCUUUUUGCCGUCCUUGGCCAUGAGACACUUGUGGCCGCCGUUGGGGAAGAGAAGGCCUUUGGUGAUGGCGAUGUUGGCGGCGUCCUCGUCGUCGGAGGAGUCGCUUGAGCUUUCGUCGGAGUCCCACUCCCGACAAACAUGGGCAUCGCCGCCCUUCUUCUUGUAAUACUUCUUCUUCUCCUUUCUUCUUCCCUUCUUGUCGUCGCCCCUGUCACUGUCACUAGACAUAGGACAUUUUGCAAUAAAGUGACCGGGCUUACCACACUUGUAGCAAACCUUCUUGGAACGGGGUUUGUAGUCCUUCCCCUUCCGUUGCUUGAGGAUUUGCCUAAAGCUUUUGAUGAUUAGGGCCAUCUCCUCAUUGUCGAGCUUGGAGGCGUCAAUUGGUUGUCUACUUGGUGUAGACUCUUCCUUCUUCUCCUCCGUUGCCUUAAAGGCCACCGGUUGCACCUCGGAGGUGGAAGGCUCGUCAAGCUCGUUGAUCUUCUUGGAGCCCUUAAUCAUGCAUUCAAAACUCACAAAAUUCCCGAUAACUUCCUCGGGGGUCAUUAGUGGAUAUCUAGGAUUCCCACGAAUUAAUUGUACUUGAGUGGGGUUAAGGAAAAUAAGAGCUCUUAGAAUAACCUUAACCACUUCGUGGUCAUCCCAUUUUGUGCUCCCGAGGUUGCGUACUUGGUUCACCAAGGUCUUGAGCCGGUUGUACAUGUCUUGUGGCUCCUCCCCUUGGCGAAGACGGAAGCGACCGAGCUCCCCCUCGAUCGUUUCCCGCUUGGUGAUCUUGGUGAGUUCAUCACCCUCGUGCGCCGUCUUGAGUAGGUCCCAAAUCUCCUUGGCGUUCUUCAAUCCUUGUACUUUGUUGUAUUCCUCCUUGCUUAGGGAGGCAAGGAGGAUGGUUGCGGCUUGGGAGUUGAAGUGCUCGAUUUGGGCCACUUCGUCCGUGUCAUAGUCCUCAUCCCCUAUUGAUGGUACCUGUACACCAUACUCAACAACAUCCCAUAUACUCUUGUGGAGAGAGGUUAGAUGAAAUCGCAUUAAAUUACUCCACAUAGCAUAAUCUUCACCAUUAAAAGUUGGUGGUUUACCUAAUGGGACGGAAAGUAGAGGUGUAUGUUUAGGAACACGAGGAUAGCGUAGGGGAAUCUUACUAUACUUCUUACGCUCUUGGCGUUUAGAAGUGACGGACGCCGCGUCGGAGCCGGAGGUAGAUGUCGAUGAAGUAUCGGUCUCGUAGUAGACCACCUUCCUCAUCCUCUUGUGCUUGUCCCCACUCCGAUGUGGUUUGUGAGAAGAAGAUUUUUCCUUCUUCUCCUUGUGGUGAGAAGAGGAAGAUCUUUUCUCCUUCCGCUUGGAGGAGUUCUUCUUCUCCCUUUUCUUGGUGCGGGACUCUUCCGAUGAGGUGCUCCCUUGGCUUGUAGUGGGCUUGUCGCCGGUCUCCAUCUCCUUCUUGGCGUGAUCUCCCGACAUCACUUCGAGCGGUUAGGCUCUAAUGAAGCACCGGGCUCUGAUACCAAUUGAUAGUCGCCUAGAGGGGGGGUGAAUAGGGCGAAACUGAAAUUUACAAAUAUAAACACAACUACAAGCCGGGGUUAGCGUUAGUAAUAAUAAAUGAGUCCGCAAGAGAGGACGCAAAACAAAUCGCAAGCAAAUAAAGAGAGUGACACGUGGAUUUGUUUUACCGAGGUUCGGUUCUUGCAAACCUACUCCCCGUUGAGGAGGCCACAAAGGCUGGGUCUCUUUCAACCCUUCCCUCUCUCAAACGGUCCCUCGGACCGAGUGAGCUUUCCUUCUUCUCAAUCAACCGGGAACAAAACCUCCCCGCAAGGGCCACCACACAAUCGGUGCCUCUUGCCUCGGUUACAAUUGAGUGUUGAUCACAAGAGCAAAAGAGAAAGAAAGAAUGCGAUCCAAGCGCAAGAGCUCAAAAAACACGGCAAAUCUCUCUCGCUAGUCACUAAAGGCUUGAGUGGAAUUGGAGAGGAUUUGAUCUCUUUGUAUGUGUCUAGAAUUGAAUGCCUAGCUCUUGUAAGUGGUUGAGAAGUGGGAAAACUUGGAUGGCAAUGAAUGUGGAGUGGUUGGGGUAUUUAUAGCCCCAACCACCAAAUGUGGCCGUUGCUGGGAGCUCUCUGUUCGAUGGCGCACCGGACAGUCCGGUGCACACCGGACAGUCCGGUGCCCCCUGCCACGUCAUCGUUGCCGUUGGAUUCUGACCGUUGGAGCUCUGACAUGUGGGCCUGCCGAGGUGUCCGGUGCACACCGGACAUGCACUGUUUGAUGUCCGGUGCACCGGUAUGGGCGCGCCUGCCGACUGCGCGCGCAGAGCGCGCAUUAAAUGCGCUAGCAGGUGACCGUUGUCGCGGAAGUAGCCGUUGCUCCGUGGUUCACCGGACAGUCCGGUGCACACCGGACAGUCCGGUGAAUUAUAGCGGAGCGGCUGCCGCGCGAACCCGAGGCUGGCGAGUUCCGGAGGCCGCGGUUCCUUGGAGCACCGGACAUGUCCGGUGCACACCGGACAGUCCGGUGAAUUAUAGCGCGCCGGCUUCCGAGAAUUCCCGAAGGCGAAGAGUUUGGGUCUAAGUCCCCUGGUGCACCGGACAGGUACUGUUCACUGUCCGGUGGCACACCGGACAGUCCGGUGCGCCAGACCAGGGGUGCCCUCGGUUCCCCCUUUGCUCCUUUAUUGAAUCCAAAACUUGGUCUUUUUAUUGGCUGAGUGUGAACCUUUUGCACCUGUAUAACUUAUACACUAGAGCAAACUAGUCAGUCCAAUAUUUGUGUUGGACAAUUCAACCACCAAAAUUAUUUAGGAACUAGGUGUAAGCCUAAUUCCCUUUCACUUGGCAAAAGAGCUUCGGUGGACAGACAAGGUCUUGAUGAUCCUUCUUAUGAAAAAACUGGCAAAAAAGCUAGAAAUAUAGGGGACAAGUCUGUUAAGGAAGAGAUGAGGCUCGAAAAUAUUGGUGAUAUGAUGUCUCAAGGCAAAUCUUCUGGUCGGGGAUCUGACUUGGGUGAUAACAAUGAAGACCUGAAUCCUGUGACUGAAGAUAAAGGUUAUGAUAAUAACCCUAUAAAUGAAGAUGAGGAGUUCCAUAAGAGUGAAGAUGACCUUCUGAGUGAGAUUUGGAGGAAUUUGCCAAAGAUGAGGAGGUGGUUUUACCUCCACCCCAAGAAAAAAUCAGCAAGUCCUUAGUGGGUGCUCAAGUUGAAGGCUCUGGAAAAACUGAAGCUGAAAAACAAGUUAUAAAUAUGGAAGUGAAUCAUGGUGAAGGCAUUAGGAGGAGCAGCAGACUUGAAUCCAAUGAUGACAUGAAGAUUGCUGACAAAGCUGCGACAAGAGCUAUGGCUAAAGAUGCUUUCAUGAACAAAGGUAUGAAUUCAAAUCCUUUUUCUGUUCUUAAUACUGAAAAUUCUGUGCUUAUGUCGAUUGCUUCAGAAUUAGGAAUAGUUUUAGGUAAUUCUUCUACUGAUUCUAUGGUAAAUUUGGAAUUGAUCAAGUCUUUAGAGUUAUCCAGGAAUAGUCUUGCCAUUCAAUCUGUCAAAAAAUCUGUAGAGCAUAAUCUCCAAGCUGGUUCUGACUCUGAAAUGGAUAAAUCUAUCCAAAAUGAGGAUGGCAACAAUGAGUUGACUGACUUGGAUGAUGUUAUGGUCCUGAGAAAAGGCAGGAAAAUUCGUUAUAAAAAAAAUCAGUCAAGAAGAAGAAAAAAAGGUCUUUCCCCAAAAUUAGGUAUUCACCUAAUAAAGGGAAAGGGAUCCCCUCUGACUUCAAACUCAAUUAUUCAGAAUGAUUGGUCUUAUUUGGAAUUGUCAGGGGUUAGGAAAAGAGGUAAAAAUUGAAUUCUUAAAGGAAUUGAUUAGAAAAGAAAGAAUUGAUUUUAUUGGUUUACAAGAAACUAAUAAAAAUCCUUUGAGGAUUCUUGGCUGAACUCUAUUAGUGGUAAUAGAAAUUUUGCCUGGUUUUGGACGCCUGCAAAUGGUAGAUCUGGUGGCCUUCUUGUAGGUUUUAAUGCAGAUGCUUUUGAUGUUAGAGAAACUGAAAUGGGUGAUUUCAUGAUAAAAGUUCUUUUGGUUCAUAAAGAAAAUGGUUUCAUUUGGAAUUUUAUUAAUGUUUAUGGUGCUGUUCAAAAAUUCCUUAUUGAGUUGUCGUCUUUCUGUUCCAAAUGUAAAUAUCCCAUAUUGGUUGGCGGUGAUUUUAAUAUUCUAAGGAAAGAGUCUGAUAAAAACAAGCCUGGGGAACUAACAGUUGGAGUUCCCUGUUUAAUUCUAUCAUUGAUAUUCAUAGUCUGAUUGAACUUGAUUUGAGUGGUAGAUUAUAUACAUGGUCCAACAACAGAGAUCCUCCCACCUUUGAAAAAUUGGAUAGAUUUCUGGCUAGUCCAGAGUGGGUCCUUCAAUUAAAAAAUAUGUCGGUUACUGGUCUUAACAGGACUUUCUCUGAUCAUGUUCCUUUGUGCCUCAAAAUUGAUUCUCUUUCCAUCUUGAUAUGAGAUUUUAGAUAUGAGCUUUGCUGGAAGCUUAGACUGGAUUUCAAAGAUCUUGUCUGGAAUAAUUGGUCUCUUCCGGUCAGAAGUCGAUCAAGUAUCGAUAUUUGGAAAGAGAAAAAUAAGAGAUUGAAAAAAACGUUGAAAGGGUGGAACAUCAAUGUGGAAGGAAGAUAUUCUAGACUUAAAAAAGAUUUAUUGCAAAAAUUGAUAGCUUAGAUAAAAAAGUGAAAGUACUGGUAUUUCGGUCUCGGAAAGACUUGAAAAGCUUGAUAUGGAAUGUAAUUUAAAAAAUAUGAUGGCUGAAGAAGGUUGUAAGAGAAAGCAAAUGGCGAGAGAAAAAUUUAUUAAUGAGGGUGAUGAGAAUUCUAGGUACUUUCAUCUUAUUGCCAAAGGGAAAAGAAGAGUUAAAAUCCUCUCCUUAGUUCAUGAGGAGGACACAGUCGUUGAUGACAAUGGUAUUAAUAGAGUUGCUACUGCUUUCUAUAAAGAUCUUUUUGGUCCUUCUGUUCCUUCUAGUAUAAAUAUGUCGAAUUUACAUAUGAAUAAAUUAAAUGAUGAGGAUCGAGCUUUGCUCACUGGACCUUUUUCUAUUGAGGAAAUUAAGAAGGUUGUGUUUGGUCUAAAGCACAAUAGCGCCCCUGGUCCUGAUGGUUUUCCAGCAGAAUUUUUUCAAGAUUUUUGGGAUCUCAUUCACAUUGAUCUGUGGAAUUUAUUCAAGGAUUUUUAUGGAGGGGUGCUUGAUAUUAAAAGACUUAACUUUGGGUUAGUGACUCUUUUACCUAAAGUGGAUAACCCUGUCGACAUGAGGAAUUUCAGACCUAUCUGUCUCUUGAAUGUCUGUUAUAAGAUCAUUACCAAAGUUCUGACUAAUAGACUUUCUACUUGCAUUACUAAAGUGAUUAGUGAGUAUCAAUAUGACUUUAUUAAAGGGAGGUACAUUAUGGAUAGUGUGGUUUCCCUUAAUGAAAUUCUUCACGAAGUAAGACAGAAAAAACAAAGUGGUGUGGUUCUUAAAAUUGACUUUGAAAAAGCGUAUGAUAAAGUUAAUUGGCAAUUUCUUCAUUAUAUGAUGGAAAAUAAAGGUUUUGGGGAUAUAUGGUGUGAUUGGGUUAUGAGAACUGUCAGAGGUGGUAAAGUUGCCAUCAAAACUAAUGAUGUUGUUGGUCGGUUGGCCCCGGUCUCAAAAAAAGGGUGGGCCAUAUCUCCUCUCAGCUUGGGAUGGCACGGGAAAUUAUGCACAAGUUGCAGUCUGCUCAAGAUAUCAGACCCUUGUCAGUGCUAGAAAAUUGGCCGUUGAAGCAGCUUGAUGGUCAUGUUGUGGCCCUUUCAACCUUGCAACGUUCUAUGGCUCGGAGCCGCUCUAGGAUUACCUGGUUGGCUAAGGGGGAUGCUAACACUGCCUUCUUCCACCUCCACGCUAAAUACCGCAAAGGCAAGAAUUUUAUUGGUAAUCUGUUAUCCGACGAUGGUUUAAUAAAGUCAAGGCAUGAGGACAAGGAGGAAACUAUAAGUGAUUUUUUCCACAAUUCGCUGGGUUGUUCGUCUGAUCGAGCUCAUACUAUUGAUUUGGAUCAUCUCCAAAUUCCUUCUCAUGAUCUCUCUUCGCUGGACAGCCCCUUCACGGAAGAUGAAGUCUGAAAAACAGUCCUUUCUCUACCUUCAAACAAGGCUCCUGGCCCGAAUGGUUUUACUGGGAAAUUUUAUAAGUCGUGCUGGCAUAUUAUUAAAGGAGAUAUUAUGGCAGCUGCUAUGGCUGUUUGGAACAGAAAUCGGGGAAAUCUGGAACUUCUCAAUUCAGCAUACAUCAUUCUUCUACCCAAAAAAAGAUGAUGUAUGUCAUGUCAAAGAUUUUCGGCCUAUAAGCUUGGUCCACUCAUUUGCUAAGCUUAUUACAAAGCUUUUGGCAAAUAGGCUGGCCCAAUCCCUGGAUAAUAUGGGUUCGCAGAAUCAAAGUGCUUUUAUUAAAGGCAGAUCCAUUCUGGAUAAUUUCAUGCUUGUGCAAAAGACAGCGAAGUUAUUUCACCAGAAAAAGUGUGCAAGGAUCCUCCUUAAGUUGGAUAUCACCAAAGCUUUUGACUCUGUCUCGUGGCCCUUCCUCCUGGAGGUCUUAAAGCAUUUGGGUUUCGGGCAAAUUUGGUGCGAUAUUGUUAGCAUUCUUCUUGCUUCUGCCUCUUCCCAAGUAAUGCUUAAUGGUAAACCAUGUAGGAGAAUUAUUCAUAGACGUGGUCUUUGGCAGGGGGACCCUCUCUCCCCAAUGUUGUUCAUACUGGUUAUGGAUGUGCUAGGCUAUUUAAUUAAGGAGGCUGCUAAUGAUGGUUUGAUGGUGCCUCUGAUAGAAAAUUCAGUUCAUAACCGUAUUUCUAUUUAUGCUGAUGAUGUGGUGAUUUUCCUCCACCCGGUGGCUCUUGAUUUAGUAAUCACCAUGGACAUUAUCAGGAUUUUUGGGGAGGCAGCUGGGCUCAAAGUGAAUAUGGCAAAGAGCAGCGUUUUCCCCAUCCACUGUACUGCUGAAAAUCUGGAUACCAUUCAUAAUCUGCUGCCAUGCGUUGUUGCCAACUUCCCCUGCAAAUAUUUGGGGGUGCCUCUAUCCUUAAAGAAGCUCGACAGACAGCACUUACAGCCAUUCAUUGAUAAAAUUGCACAUCGUCUUCCCUGCUGGAAAGCUGAUCUGUUGACUAGAGUUGGAAGACUGAUUAUUGUCCAGAUUGUCCUGUCUUCAAUGAAUAUCUACUUAAUGAUGGCCAUGGACCUUCCUUCUUGGGUUUUCAAAGCAAUUGACAAGAUCAGAAGGAAUUUCCUGUGGAGAGGGAGAAAAGAAGCUUUGGGAGGACACUACUUGGUAGCUUGGAACAAGGUUACUAGGCCUAAAGAAUUUGGAGGAUUGGGUAUCUUAAACCUGCGUUUGAUGAAUUGGGCUCUUAGAUUACGCUGGCUCUGGCUGAAAAAAACUGAUACUGGCAGACCUUGGGCAUCCUUUAAAAUAAAUGUUCAUCCUUCAGUUAAGGCCUUUUUCUCGGCAGCAAUCUCUUCGGUGGUGGGCAACGGUAAAAACACUUUGUUUUGGACAGAUAAUUGGAUCGAUGGCCAAAGUCUAUGUCAGCUGGCCCCUCAUUUGGUCCAGAUGGUCUCUUCUAGGGCUAAAAUGAGGAAUGUCCAUGAUGCCCUCAUUUCAAGGAGCUGGGUCCAUGAUAUUAGAGGAGUUAUCACUGUAAAUGUUUUGUCUGACUUCCUCAGGGUUUGGGACCUCACUACAGACUGGGUCUUAACACCAGAUCAGGAUGAUAAGCAUAGCUGGAGGCUUUCAAGCUCAGGUUUAUAUUCGGCCAAAUCGGCAUAUACCAGUUUCUUUCUUGGAGCAACAACUUUUAAACCUUGGGAAAGGAUUUGGAAAUCAUGGGCUCCUAAUAAAUGCAAGUUCUUCAUGUGGCUCGUGGCCCACGAUCGCUGCUGGACAGCAGAUCGACUAGCAAAAAGAGGACUGCCUCACCCUCAAUUUUGUACACUAUGUGAUCAAGAGGAGGAAACGAUAAACCACUUGCUGGUUUCCUGCGUUUUCUCUCGGGCUGUCUGGUUUCAGAUGAUGAAAUCUGUUGGGUUGCAGCACCUUGCUCCUAACCCUGCGUGAUCCUCCUUUGAAGAUUGGUGGGAAGGGGUUGCUACAUUUUCUGCUGGUCUAGCAAACACAGGGCUGCACAAGGGCUUGAAUUCUUUGAUCAUUAUUGGUGCUUGGGCCAUCUGGAAUCACCGCAAUAGCUGUGUUUUUAAUGGUGUGCAGCCUAGUCAAAGCAUGGUCAUCAAUUGGGUCAAGGAGGAGGCUCAUCUCUGGUAUAGGGCUGGAGCCAGGGAUUUAUCUAACAUCCUUAUGAUCCAGUAAUUUCAGUGGGUAAUCUUUAGUUUGAGUCUCCAUGGUCACGGGUCUAGAUGUCUUUUGUUGUUGUUGAUGUUAAUUUUCUCCUUCUCCCUAAAGCCUAGUGUUUGUGGGUUCGUGUGGAGUUGUACGAGGUUUCCUUGCCUCACCCUUUCUUCUUAAUAUAUUGAUACGCAGCUCUCCUGCGUUUUUGAGAAAAAAAAUGUUGUUGGCCCCUAUUUUUUUACUCAUAAAGGCGUUAGACAGGGUGAUCCUUUCUCGCCCCUUUUGUUCAAUCUUGUUGCAGAUGGCUUGGCUUGUAUUAUUCAGAAAGCUCAAGAAAGAGGUCUGAUCCGUGGUCUAAUUCCCCAUAUUAUUCAAAAUGGUUGUUGUUGUCUUCGAUAUGCUGAUGAUACUAUCUUCUUAAUUCAAGAUUGUUUGGAAGGUGCUAGAAAUCUUAAAUAUAUUCUUUGUCUUUUUGAGCACAUGUCUGGUUUGAAAAUUAAUUUUCACAAAAGUGAAAUUUUCUGCUUAGGGGAUGCUAAUGAGUUUGAAAAUGUGUAUGCUGAUAUUUUUACUUGUCCUGUGGGGCAUCUUCCGAUGAAAUAUCUUGGUGUUCCAAUUGAUAACAAGAAAAUCAGUAAAUCGCUUUGGUGUCCUAUGAUGGAAAAGAUGGAUAAAAGGCUUGCUAGUUGGCAAGGAAGAUUUUUAAGCCUGGGGGGAGAUUGACGUUAUUAAAUAGCUGUCUUUCUAAUGUUCCUCUGUACAUGUUAUCGAUUUAUCCGGCUCGUAAGUCCAUUAUUAGGAAACUGGAUUUGUACAGGAAGAGACUUUUAUGGCAAGGAGGUUCACAAGCAAGAAAAAUUCAUCUGGUUAACUGGAAUUCUGUCUGCACACCUAAAAAUCAAGGUGGCUUAGGGGUUUUGAAUCUGGAGUAUAUGAAUGAUGCCUUGUUGACGAAAUGGCUUUGGAAUAUUGAAAAUUCAAAUGAUUUAUGGCAAAAGAUUAUUACAAAAAAAUAUAUUAAGGGAAAACCUCUUAUCUCAGUUAAGCAAAGACAGAAUGACUCUCAGUUUUGGAAAAAACUUCUAAGUCUCAGAGAAGUUUUCUUUAAAUAUUGUAAAGUUGUUGUUGGUAAUGGUUGUAAAACUAGUUUCUGGAAGAAUACUUGGAUUGGUGAUUGUCCUUUGGCAGUUAAAUUCCCUGUUCUGUUUGACUUGGCUUUUGAUAAGGACAUUUCGGUUAAUAAGGUCUUGACCUCAAAUUUUGAUGUUCUUUCCUUCAGAAGAAGAAUGAUGGGUAAUCUUCAAGUGUUUUAUGGUGAAUUAGUUGAUUUGUGUGCUCAUCAUAAUCUAUCAGGUCAAGAGGACAGAGUGAGUUGGUGUAUUGGUAACAAAGGUUUCACUGUUAAUUCUUUAUAUAAGAAAAAUUCGAUUGAUCAGGUGCCUGUUCCUCACAGGUUCUUGUGGAAAUCUAAGUUACCACAAAAAAUCAAAGUCUUCAUCUGGCUGGUGGUAAGAAAUAAAAUUCUUACAAAAGAUAAUCUGAAAAAAAGAAAUUGGCAUGGUUCUAGUGAAUGCUGUUUUUGUGGGGGUCUUGAAUCGAUUGAACAUUUGUUCUUUAAAUGUUCCAUUGCUAGAUUUGUGUGGAGAGUGAUUCAAAUUGCCUUAAAUCUUGAUUUCAUUCCAAAAAGCAUUGGGGAGUUAUGUGACAGAUGGUUGAACAAAUCUAAAGACAGAAUCUCCAAUUUAAUGAUAUUUGGUUGUGGAGCUGUUUUUAGGCUAUUUGGAGAACCAGAAAUGAUUGGUUUUUUGGUGAUAAAAUUCUCCUUGAUCCUGCUAACAUAAUAUUUCUCUGUUGCUUUUGGUUGGAUUCUUGGGCUAUUCGUCAGAGAGAGAAGGAAAAAAAGAUGGUGGUCCAAGGAAGUCGGCUAAUCAGAAAGAUAGUAAGUGAAGUGAUGUGUCGGUCGUUUGGGUGGUGUCCGAGAGAUCGCCACAUUUCUGGAUGAAGGGUGAUUUUGGCUCAUUUCUGUGGUUGGCUAUCGCUCAAACUCUGGGUUGUCCCUUUGGUGAAAGUGUUUAAACUGGCUUGUUAGCUUCGUAGCUGCGCUUUUAUUUUCAGUCGAUGUAAUAAGCUUUGCUUAAAAACUCUGGUUGCGUCUGGAUAGAUUUUAGUGGUUGCUGGUCCUUUUUUUUUCGAAAACGCAGGAGAGCUGUGUAUCAUUAUAUUAAGAGGAAAAAAGGUGAGGAUAAGAAAACCUCAUACAAGCCAAACUAACCCACACACCCACACACACUCAAGGAUAGCUAGAAGUACAAUGAAAUUAAAUUAUGACCAACUGCCCUCAUGACCAAGAAAGAAGGACGCCGAUUAGUGCGUUGGAGCGGAAAGGAUGCUAUCUAAUCCACUGGCUCCAGCCCUACACCAAUUGUGAGACUGGUCCUUGCUGGUCCUUGCUUGUCUAGUUUGAUAAUGUGAGGGUGCUAGCAUCACUAGGUGCUCUUUUGUCGAUGGGUUGUAGCUCAUCGUUUUGUAUGUAAUGACUCUUAUCCUAUUUCUUAAUGAAAUAGGGGGCUCUCCCCUUCGUAAAAAAAUGGUUUACUAAACGACCACAAGUGGAUCCUAGCAAGCAACCUAAAAAAAUGAUGCUUACAAGGACAGAGAGGAACUGAAGGUCUAAUAUCUAUUGCAUGAGUAUUGAGCACUGAAACAUAAGAUCAUCUGAGCCAAGCUUCAAAACCAGUUUGAAAUGCAGCAAAUGAUGCUGUGGAUGAUUACCUCCGAUGGGUUUAAGAGGGCCUGCGUGUGGAACAUCCACACUUGGCAAGGAAGAACCAGCUGGAGAAUGAUCUGGAGGUGCUGCACCAGAAGCCUGUGGAUAAAAUGGUAUCAGAAAUACUCGAUAUAAAUGAAAAUAUAGAAAGAGUGCUAGGAGAAAAAUGAAACCAUGCAUAUUGGGCUCCCACUCAUAUUACUGUAGUACUUGAUGUUUGGCAAAAAAAAGAAGAAGGAAUUCACUCGAUUACAGACAUUGAGGAAAGGCAACUCGAUGCUUGUACUAUGAAGUUUUGAUAAACAUAUCAAAUAUCUACAAUAUUCUGAUAUACCAGGCUCCGACAGUUCCUAAGAGUAUAUACCAAACAAGCUAAUUCACUUAUCAUAGAAAAAAACAUAUAGGAGACAAAUCAAGGUGAUAUUGAUACUACUCACAUCCUCAAAUAGCGGAUAAUCGCAUAAGAAUCGCUACACACAGAAGUCACAAUUAACCACCUCUCACAAUUAACCACCCACACGUGAAAUGACAGGAAUCAUGAACUUACAACAAAAUAUAGGAUCUCUGCAAUAACCUAAUGCCAUAAACACACGAAGUCUCCGCGAAUUCCACGCAUCCGUAGUCCUAAAAGCACAUGAUCACUAGCGCCGACAUCUCAUUGCUAUGAUGUACUGUGCUGGACUGAUGGCUGUUUCGUGUUCUCUAGAAAUCUUAACUAUGCGGUUGUGGAGCAGCAAGCGCAGCAUCAUGUAUGUCACAGUCUCACGGACUGACCACGUAAGAACGCAAACAAGAUACUAUAAGCCUGACCAUUCGAAAACCAAACAGCAUUGCAGAUGAGUUGCAGCUAAAGGCAAGUGAACAUACCCUCCACAAGGCAACGGCAGCGAGGUCCUUCUCCAGCUUCUGCUUGAGCAUCGCGUUGUACUCCACGGGGUCAACAACCGAGCUCGAGGCAGCCGCCGGCGCCGCGGCCCCCGGUGUCUUGCUCUCCGCAGCCUCAACUCCAGCUCCAACGCUGCCCCUACUGGCGCCGGCUACGGGAACCGGGCUGUCGAGCACGGCCUCCUCCAGGAACUUCUGGAAGUACCAUUCCGACGGGCACCGGUUCAUCAGCCCCGCCGCCUCCCCCGCUGGUGCAGCAACAGCGCCGGCGGCCGCCGAUUGAGGGUGCGGCGGAACCCAGUAGGGGUUGGGGAUCUCCUCCACGGAGAAGACGCGCUCCAUGCCGGAUCGAGACGGAUCGCGACACUGUUGAGGAGAAGUCUCCGGGGGGCUAGGUGUCGGAGAUUUCGAGGAUUUGAUCUGAAAUUUGGGAGAAAUUUCUCUGGCCGCACUUGGUUUGGUGGAAGAGAAGAGAAAAAAUGGAAGGGAAGAGAGGAAGAAGAGAAGAUGAGGUGUGCACGACUGCACGGUGGCUGCAAUAAAUAAUAAUAAAGUCGGCACGGACGGCUUUCACGGCUCUACGCGCACGCCAGUAUUUGCUGAGGAUUAAAUUUAUCUUAAGAAUUAGCCAUGGUUUAUAUAAAUAGUUUUGUAAUUAACUUAUCUUUAAUCCUCUUAAUCGGUAUUUUAAAUCUGAACAAAAUUUUAAUCCAGGACCAAAGAUAAAAAAACAUGGGUUUUGUUUGUCCUUUUAUUUAGAAGACGUGAAUUUUCCCCCUUAUAUACACGCCUCGUUUUCCAUGGUCACGAAAGGUGCCUCUUUAUCUAUACACACAUAUUCGAUGCCACGUUGAGGGUUGAUUCUAGGUAUCACGGACAAAGUAACAUUUUUAUAAUAAAUAUGUUAAGGGAGAUAAAUUUUAGAAGAUUUUUUUAUAAAUUUAAUUAAACUUAAAAAUUUAACUUAUUAUGAGAUACAUAAUUAUUUUAGGACGGAUGAAGUAUACAAUUUUUUUGUUCCCCUAACACUUCCAGGUUCAGGAGACCCUAUUAUCAAGAUCUCUAGGCUCGCCAAUUUCGAUAGACCAUUCUUCUUAACAGAACACCAAGCCCAAAAAAGGCACUACUCAACUCCACCGGUAGGAGAUUUAGAGCAUCUCCAAGAGCUUUCAGAAGUCUCUCCUAAAUCAAGUUUUUUGACAAAAACACAAAAACGUAUCUCCAACAGUUCCCCUAAACGCUCCCAAUUUUUUUUAGCCCUUAAAACUCUGUCAUUUGUAGCUAUAAAUGAGAGGGUUUUUAGGCUCCCCAGAAACAAUAUGUCACUUUAAGGAAUCUGUUAGAGAAAGGAUUAAAAUCUACCCUCACUAAUUUUUUAGAUGCCCCUUAAAACUAAUUUUGAGGAGUCAUUUUCUAGGAAGCUCUUGGAGAUGCUCUAACCCUGUUUGGUUUUUAGUCACCGACUAAACUUUAGUAGUCACUGAAAUAUCCUGUUUGAUUUCAGUAAUUAAAUCUAAGUAAAAUGCAUUAAUUAUUAAGUAUAAUGAUAGUUUUACUCUUAAUCAAUGCACAGGCUCCCGCUAUGAGUCAGUCUUGGUACUUGAGCCAAGGAAGGGUAAGAGAUGAAAAAUUCUACUUUUAGUUACUUUUAGUCAACAUUUCUUGAUUAGAGGACUAAAAUUUAGUCAAUUCUUUUUAGUCUUGCUGCUUGGUUUUUUAAUAACUAAAAGUGACUAAAGUUUAGAUGUUGUUUGGUUUUUAGAGACUAAUUUUAUAGUCUCUCUAUUUUAUUUCAUUUUAGUUACUAAAUUUUUAAAUGGGAACAUUAAAACCCUAUUUUAGUUUUAAGAAUUUAGAUACUAAAAUAAAAUAAAAUGGAGGGACUAAAAAUUAAUCCAUAGAAAUCAAACACUCCAUUAGUCAUUAAACUUUAGUCACUUUAAACUAAACGGGGACUUAGAUGACGCCUUCUCAAGAGACUUUUUAUGGUAUAAUGAUGCUUUAAGAGAGAUCAAGGUUACCCUGUCAUAACUAGCUUCUCUAACUCUCGUUAGAAUUGCAUAGGGAUCAUCUUCGGGUGAGGGCAUAGCCAGCGACAAAAUGCUUGGAAAACGUAAUGAUUUGGAUAAUAUUCAAAGUUAAGACUAAGGAUCCCUAGGACUAUGCUGUGUAUGGGUGUUGAUGGAUCAUAAUCCAAAUGUUUCUUCAUAAUAUGUUUGAACUCAUAAUUAAUUUUAGUUUAAAAUUAAGUAGAAAUAUAGUUUGAUUAUAGUUUUAUCCAAUCUUUAAAUUUUAUAGUGUAAAGUUUAAAUACAAUUAUCAUCCCUACCUUGCUGACUCCAACUAUCAUCAAUGAACGAUGCAUACCGACCCUAAUUCCCUUGCAAAUACAGUUCUGAUUUCCUAACGCGAAGGCCUUUUUAUAGUGCGCGAAACGGAUAUUCUUAUUUGUACUAGGUGAGUGCCCGUGCGUUGCAACGGGAAUAUAUAAUACAACGGUAACUUAUGUAUAAAUAUGUAUUAUGCUGAAAUGUAUGUUAUACUGUUAUAAGAAAAUGUUUUGUACGUUACAUAUAAUACCACGAUAACACAAGAACAUAUAAUACCACGAUAACUUAUGUGCAUUGCAACAGAAACAUAUAAUAUCACGAUAGUUUAUGUAUAAAUGUGUAUUAUAUUAAAAUGUGUGUUAUAUUUAGCAGUCUUAUCCUUCAAGUCCACCUAGAAAAUAUCAUACAUACAGCCAUUUCAAACAUCCAACAAGGGGAGCAGCAGGAGGCUUAACCAUCCCCUUCCUUAAUUCCAUAAGUUGUGGUGAGAAUUCCAAUGCCACACAACCUGUUGUACCGUGGAGAUUCGACCAGAGGAGAAGUUCAGAACAAAAAAUCAGCAUCCAACAUCGUGACCUAACUAAUUGCUAUGCAACUAAUUCAGAGUUUCAGACCAGUUUAGAUAUUCAGCCUGUGUGAUAACUGUUGAAACUUGUCCAAACCUUGAAAUCAACUAUGUCAAAACAAACCAUUUGACACCAGCUUUAUGCUCAAGGUUGGCAUUAAAUGUUUGAGCAGUAUAGCAAGUAGGGGAAGUGUCAUAGUUCUUUUGGGUCAUUCUUAUGUAGAAGAGUUUGCAAGCUGGGUUGCCUUGGACCACGAGAACAGGCAACCGUCAGACCUGUAAGAAAAGCCUUGGAGUCUUGGAGAUCAGAACACCGAACCAACGGCGAGCUGCUUUACAUACGCUUCGAAGCUACUUCAAUUGGUUUUAUCAAGCUCCCCUGAGGAGUCAUGCCCUCCAGAGGAGGCCUUCUUCCUUGCAAAUGAUCUUCUUGAUAUUGUGCCCGCUGUUGAGUCCUUUGCUGGCUCAAGAUUUGCACCCAGCAUAGUUUCUGCUCUGAAGCAAUGGCUGCCUGUGCUCUUGUUGGGUCUUGUAUGCCGGUGGCUAAUUGGAUCACAUAAUGAAAUGGCACCCAACGUAUUCCACUUUGCUGACUCUGUCUUACCACUGUGGGUCACUACCGUGGCAAAGAAUGAGCUUGUUGAUUCCAAAGAGCCUGGCCAGGACGAGCAAAGCAAUCUGACUGCAGAGGGCGAGGACUCACUGUUAUCCAGAAAGCUAGCAGAAAUGAUGGCGAUCCUCUUGAAGAAAGGAAGCCCCAGAAUCCUCGAUUGCGCGAGUGGAGUCCUUCUGUCCACUUUCCAGUUGACGCUGCGAAGAUCAGACUAUGACAUUGUCCUGGGCAUGACUCGUUUCAUUUGUGACAAGUUGCUUGGGAACAACUCCCUAGCAUUGGAAAAGUUGCAGCUUACCCGCGACUUUCUUCAUGAGAAUUUCCUCGAGAUUGAUAGGUAUGUCCGCGAUGAGCUUGUCCAUGAUGACGAUUCGAGGCAGCAACUGGAGAAAGCAAAAGCGUUGAUAAGAUCAGUUCUCACCGAUGUCUGAUUGAUGUACAUACCAGUUGUAAGCAACAAACCGAUAAGAUCAGUUUCCACCGGUGUCUGGAGAAAGCAAAAGCGCUGAUAGUACUACUUAGUUUUUUUAAGAAAAUGAUGUUGCUUAGGUAUAUAUAUCUCUUUAAGCAUGUAUAUUCGUUGAUGUCAUGGUACAGCCCAGGGGCUGAUUAGUAUCACGUUGUGUCAUUGUUCAACAAAGGCACUGCAGUGACCAUGUGUGAUUGGAUAGAAGAUCAUUUCCACUGACAAGUAGAGAUCAGAAAUGAACUGUUUGAAUCAACAAUCAAGCUAGAGUUAUAACUGCUGUUGCAUUCAAAUUUGCAGUCUACUUACAACUGACACAGGUACAAACUAUGUAACAAUCCCACGUUAUUGUAAUCCACCACAUGCCAUUUCAUAAUAGCAAAUGGACGCUAGUGUAUACAAGCCACAAGGUACUAUUUGUAAGGAAAAAAAUAAAAAUAAAUGGACGACUCAAUAUACAGUUUAGUAAUACGGGUAUAUUAAUGUCGCAGUCAAACAAAUCGUUUCUUCACAAAUUGGUGCUCUGCUCCUAUUCUUGUGGAUUAGGUAAGGUUACAGUAGUUAGCAGCUGGUGAAGCUGAUCUAUUGCUCUUAAUCUACAUGAUUAUGGUAUCCGGCCAUCGUCUUCGCGAGGUUCCACAGGAAUCAGUUUGAUGGCAGCAGCAAUGGGCAUCCCGAGGAGGCCAAAGAGAAUGCUGACGAGCCAUUGGAGAUGGGUGAGAGGCAUGGUGUUGGCAAAAUCUCCCAGGAACUGGACCAGGAUGAACUGGAAGAUAAUGGUGCCACCGAGGAUGCACAUGAAAAUGGAGUUCUGUGGCAAACCCUUCAAAACAUUGAUCUCCUCCAUGUCUCUCGAGCUUAUCUCAUUGAAAACCUACAUGGCAUGCAAAGAUUCAGCACCGGAGAGCCAUUUCAGAAAUAAAAAAAACCACACCAUUAUCCUCUCUUUCCAGCUCUAUCUGUUCUGUUUCUUGUCCUGUACUCUAGAAUGCUAAAUCAACGAAUGGCCUCUUCAUUUCUGCGAGUUGUUGGGGAAGAAAAUAUUAAAAAAAACUGUAAGGAAUGAAGUGGAAAACAAUAGAGGUUUUGUUACGAACUUACGAUGACCAAAUAGGAGGGUAGCAUGGUAUUAGAUUCAACAAAUGUGUCAGUUUCAGAUUUCAGAGUUAGCUGUUGCAUAGUCCUUUAGGCAGCUAGUUACUUCAAUAGAGUACGGAUUCAAGCCUAAGGAUGACUAUUUAUUUUACAUAUUGAACUUCAGCAGAACUCUUUCAUCACAGAAGUAUAAUUCAUGUCUUCCAUCUUUAGCAUUCAGCUUUGCAUCAAAGAUUUCAAGUGAAAGUGAACCCAAUGACAUAGUGGAUGCUACUUGUCAGCAAAUAAAACUUAUAAUAGAAAAAGCUCAUUAGACUUACUUUUUCUUGAGAAUUAUACGGUACAGGACACCAGUGCUGAUAAUAUUCAAGUUCUUCAGAAUAUGGUAAGAUGGUGCAUACACAUAUUCAAAGAUAUAAUACUGAUAACCACAGAAGCAGGGAAACAUGCUUAUGUUUUGCUUGUUUUUGUUUUUUUUAAUCAUACAACAGAAUGAGUGGGCAACUGGACAUACCUGCAAUAAGUUCUUGACCAGGUAAAGCAUUGCAGGAAUGGGGUAAACUCUAAAUGUCUAGAAGGUGGAAGAAGACAACAAGCACCUAAUAUGUACUAUCGACAAGCACGGUGAGCGGAAACCUGAGAAGAAGAAACAAGAUGCAGUCAGAAACACAAAAUAAUAUGAUUUGUACCUCAUGCCUAUGUCUAGCUGCUUAUUGUAGCUGUUCUAGUUUCUGUUGGUAAAAAAGGGCCCACUUUAACCAACUAAUUUCGUUUCAACAGCUAUAAAUAUGAAAAGCAUUAUUUACCUGAUAGUAAAUGUUAGUGCCCAUAAUGUAAUAGGAGAAAACUAAAAGCUUUAAUUAUUACAUAAUCCUCAUGGGAACCAGUGAACACAAAAACUUACUAUGUCUGGCUUGAUUAUAUCAUUUCACUCCUUUGUCUUGCUCUUCAUCUCCUUGGAAUUUGAAUCGGCAAGCUGCAGAACCAAAUGGAGUAGUUUAUAUGCAUAUGAUAUAUAGAACAUGUAAUGCACGUCUAUUGUGUACAUCUGUUUGAGCGCAUAACACAAAUAGACUUUUGUUUUCAGUCAAAGCAAUGACGAAUACCGUAGGUACAAAUGGUACCAUUCUUUUUAUAUUUCGAAGAAGAUGAUCAUUUGCAAUAUUUAAGGAAUAGUCAUGCCAUGCCAAACGCUGAAUCUGGAUGCUAAUCCAGCCUAUAUAACAAGAAAUAAAUAAGAAACGGAUGGAUGAAAAGAGAAUCCACAUUACCAAAAGAGAUUGUAAGGCAUCUGCAACAACUUCAGAAUGGCGUGCAGUGCAGUGCAUUCAAUCUCAAAUAAAAGCCCUGCUACAGUGCUAGCAACCUUCUCCCUCCGCUGCUCCGUCAAGGAAGGGGAGGAAGUGAAGCACAGAGAGAGAAAGAAAGGGGAGGGGAAUGGAGGUGGAGGAAGGCGGCCGAGCCGCCUGAGUGCUGCUGAGCUCCCAGUGUCUUUCGGCACCGCUCCUCCUACUGCACCGCUCCUCCUGCUCUGCCAUGCUCUCCGCCGUAUUCCUCACCCAGCCUUGCUCGCAGCUACUACUUUUUCUUGUUGUUGCUGCUUUCAGCACUGGUCUGGCUGGCGACUCUUGGCUGAGAAAGAUAAAAAAAACACUACCAGCCACCCCCAUCUCCCAUUGCUGCACCACCGUUCGCUACGUUGCGGCUGGAUGGACAUGGAUUCCCCCCCCCCCCCCGCCCGCUUCCAGAUCCCACAUGUUGCUUUUAGUGAGCUAGACGCUCUGCUGGAUUCUUGCCACUAUUAGCAAUGCCGUAUUCAUAGCAGUCAAACACAUCCACAUGUUUGCAAUUUCACGUACUGCAGCAAUAGAAAAAACUAAAACAGCUAGCAGUUAAAGCGAACCAAUACAAGAAACUUUAAUAAAAUACAUGUAGAUACAGACCAAGCGAGGUUAUUUGAAACGCUCUUGUGUGUAGCUCCAAUUGAAACAUUAUAAAUAUUUUUUUCUUGUUAUGAUGACUUGCAGGUCAUGUUGCCAUCAUUCACUCACAUUCUCAUGAUCACAUUAAAAAAAGAAUGACAGAAAGGCUAAGAGCAAAUGUCAUAUUUAUCUUCAUUUACAUUCACCAUCAAACAGAAAAUAUACGCUUUAUUUCAACUUGAAUCCCAUAUUCAGUACACAUUCCUAGUUGAAUAAUUUCUUAAGAAGCAGUUUACAAAACAAAAGAAAAAUAAGGUGUGAAUAUGUUUUUUAGUGUGUGAGGGAAGACAUAUCUAUGAUCUUCUUGUGAACUUGAUUAUGUUAGUGUCAUUUGAAACUGUUUUCAGAAACUACUCUACAUAGAACACUUCUUAUCUAGAACAGUUAGACAAUAUAUCAGGCAGAGAAAACAGUUAGACAAUAUAUCAGGCAGAGAAAACAGUUUCUCUUGGACAAAAUGAGCGCAGUUUCUAUAUAUCUACAACACUGCUUGUCUAGAACAAUUAAAUACCAAAAAUACUGAAACCUUAUUGAAACACUAAAAUACUGAAAUUGUACCUGACCAACAGAAAUUCAUAGGAAAAGAACAGUCUCACUACAGAUGUCUGAUAAUCAAGGUUUAGUGAUGCAAAUAGUGUAUACAAGAUUCGGACGUACCUGGCAGUAGUAUGAAGAGAUGCAUUUGUUAUGUAAUGUUUCUUGACAUUUUAUAUGCGUGAAUCUGUGUCGUCCGCCUUCAUCUUGCUCUAGAUCUAGGCGACGCUUGUUGGGCAGCGGCGUGGUGCCAGCCCGCACCACCGUGGAGGUGGGCAGCCAGCUCUGCUCCAUCCAGCAGUGGAGGAUGUCCGAUGUGUGGUGCGACACGUGCAGUGCCCACUGGUCAUCCACCUUCUGCUUAGCGUACACCUCCGCCGCUAGCUCCGACUUAAGUGCAACAAGAAAAAUCAUAGCCAACUGGCAAAAAAAAUGACAACGCUUCUAGAUCAGUUUGCCGUACACUGAAAACAAAUCAUGACAAUAAACGUGUAUGAUAUCGAAUUCAUCGUCACAGGAUCCAGCCAGCAAAAGUUGCAAUGCUACUCAGUAAACAAGGGUUCCGAAUGAAAAAAAAUAGGGGGUGGCAGUCAUACCCAGGAUCUUGCUCCACAAGCUCGCAGAUUUUGAUCUUCUUUUCCCAAUCCAUCUCCUUGAGCUUGCCACUCAUCGUCGCCUUCACCAUUUCUGUUCCAUCUUCUCCCCUAGGCCUUCUCACUGUCGAUCACAUCUAGGCCUGGUAUUCCACAACCACAUGGCGAGGAAAAGGGCAUGAAGAAAUCAAAAUUUAGUAACAUAAGACCAAGUAUUCAAAAUUGAGCUACUAAUUCUGUUGAAAAACAAACGAUAGAUUUACAGAAGGGUGCAACAUGUACCUGUUGUUUCCUACAAAAUAUAUAGAACGUUAAUAGUGGUCAAAAUAUACAUAUCAAAUCUUUGUCUAUAAUUCUAUGCAAGCAUGAUUACUGAAGACCGAUAGUUUCUCUAGGCAUAGUUUUUUUAAUUUGCUUCCGUACCAGUGAUUCACUAAAUAACACAGGAUUAUAGAAGACAACACCAGCUGUGAGUUACAGUAUACGUUUAACAGUUCAUAACCCUUCGCUUUUGUUCUACAAAUUACUACUAAAGCCAUUAUUGUCUUGCAAUUUCAGUCUUUCAGUGUUUUGACAUGAUACAUUGUGCAAGCAAACAGAGACAGACAAAAAUGGAGGCAAACCUGGAGUUUUCUGAGCGCGUUCCAAACAAGCAUUUCCCUAAACACCUAGUGGUCAUCCCUGUAGCGGAUGCAAGAAGAGAGCCUCAGAAGCGCACUGAGAUGGGCCUAGCCGCCUAGGCAAUACACACGGAAGAGGCACACAGCUCGCAGCCCCGCACACCCGAGACUUACUGAGAGAUUCAGAACACUAUCACAUACCUGCGCCGGCGCGCCACCACCGAAGACGAUGAGGAAGACACCACUGUGUGCUUGCGCACCGCUGCACCGUCGGCCGGACGCAUGUCGCUUGGCACCUGCGCACUGAUGCACCACUGGCCGGACGUGGUGGUUUGGGCCUUCAGGGUGGGGUGGGGGAGGCUAUCUCGAUCGGGGGCAUCAGGGGGGGCGAUGGCAGGCGCGUUGGGGCGAGCGGGGCGGGCGCGGGGGAGGGGAACGAGCGGAGAGGGGGCCAGCAUGGGAGCCGAGCACGACAUUGGUUCCAAGCAGCAACGUCGACACGCCAACGCACUGGAUCCCCAUGGUCUUGCCUCAACCCUCUUCCCCUUCCCCUACCGCGAGCUCCGCUUCAUGCCCCUUGAGGUAGGCCUCUGGGCUCCAGGGGAGGAGGCAUCCUUUAGGUGGCAAAGAUGGAGGAUUGCUGCUGCUGUUUUUGUACCCAGAUGGGGCUACACCAGCUGAAGCCAUCUCUGAAGAAAGCCAACGUGCAGCAACUCAGCUUUGCAUUAACUCCCCCGACGUAGCGCCGGCCCUGGCGGGGGUCGAGCAGUGCCCCCGACCAGGGCCCCCAUAUUAACGGGGCCUCAUUUUAGAUACUAAAAACAGUAUAUAUAUACAAAUAUAUAUAUAUAUAUAUCAUAUUUUAUAUAGAUCUAUAUAUUGGCUCUAUAAUUUUUUUUAAAAGUCUAAUCAUAAGUCAAAACACAGCAACAAUGAGUAAAGAGAAUUAAUUGUAGUCCAUUAAUCUUGACUUCAUAUAGUCUCAGGUCCAGCCGUCUAUGCUCUCAGUGUGUAGUGAAACAACGAUGUUUGCCAUUUCAUCUCUAUCUCUCGCACAGUCAUAGACAGACAGACAGUCGUGCCCUAUCCUCUUGGUAGCCAGCGCACGAGCAUCGAGUACUACGGCGCUUUCGUCCUGCUCUACACGGUGAAAACGAAACUAACAUGACCUGAUCGACUAAUCUAACAAUGUUCAUCCAUUUAAUCACUGUUCGAGGUAACCUUCUUUUGAGUUAUCUAGACAUAUAUAUAGGGCAUUUUUCUUCGAGAUGUUAGGCUAUAUUUUAAUUACCUUUUAUUUAAUAUAAAUACCUUUUUCAGAUAUACAUAAAUAUUUAUUGACAAUAUAUACACACUAUAUCUAAGUGUAAUAAUUAUUAUUAUAAAGGGCCUCCGAUAUGAGUCUUGUCCCGGGCCUCUAAAAUAUCAGGACCGGCACUGCCCCGACGGCAGUAGAUCUAUUGAGCUACCUGUAAGUGGAUUAACAAUCAAAUCGAUCAGAGCGAUGAUUCCAGAUAUAGCAAUGGCAGCAUCAUUCACAACAGCGGAGCUUUAAUGACUAACGAGGUGAACUUUGUUAACGAGUACAACCCGUCCCUCGAAUCUAGAUAAAUGUAAGGAACGUGAGCAAGUUCUUCCUAGGAUUGCAAACCCGGCUGAGUCAUGAGCCAGGCAGACAGCCGAGAGAAAGCAGAGCAGAGUCAGUCACCUAAGGAUUCAGAUGCUAUGUUCAUCAGCGAAAUAAAGUCUUGCCAGAACUCAAUGAUAUCAAGGAAUCGUGCUCCUGACUCUUGGAAAGUCAUAGGAAAUAAUCCUAAUCUAGGACCCCCUGUGAAUCUGUUCAGGGGCAUUUCCGAGCCUGUAACGAAGGGGAACAAGCAAAUCCACAAAGAAUUGACGGCUCGGGCACUAACUGAUGGAUUUCGGAUGAAAUCGUAUGCACCAAUAGAGAAGAGGAAGAGAGAAGUCGUGAGAUCCGCAGCAAACGCUACAGCCUCUAGGCUGACGAAAACUUGAACACAAACUCGGAGAAAGAGCGCAUCGUUCUCAGAGCGAAGCCGACCUCGCCAAGAACAGAGAAAACGCUCCAGAAACCAUAACUGGCCCGCGAGAAGAAAAGGCCGCGAACGGUCCGCGGCUCUCACCGGGGAAAAGGCAGAUCCCAGCGAGACGGACGACCAGAGAGCUCCCAGAAUCGGCAGCGGCGCACGCGAACAUGGACCAGGAACGCCCAUUCGCGGUCACAAACUACCAACAGCGAAGAACAGACAGAAAAAACAAACAGCCAAAUCAGGAGCAAGAACAGAUGGAUGCACACAUACCUCUACCCUCCUCCUGCUGCCCCCCUUCCUCCUCCACGAAAGAACUCUCUGUUACCCUUCAAGAUUUGGUUCCCCCUACUCUUCGCCCUCUCCCUCCUCCGAGGAUCCGACUCCAAGGCACAGGGACAACGACCCACGAUGAGCAGGUCGAACUUCUCGCUCAUGGCGCGCACCACGGACGCCGUGCCCUCCGCAUCCUCCACCGUCUUCUCCAUGUACACCACCCCGCUCGUUGUCCCCUCCAGAACUCCUGCAGCAGCUCCUCGUCCCUCGCCGAUCAACCGGUUAGCAGCCUGUGGCACACCAGGAACAUUCAUGGGGUCCAUCAACCGGUCGAUCAAGGGGCAUGGAGGAGGAGAAGGGAGUUUAGGGUUAAAGUUCAUGGGUUGUACCUGAUUGGAGACACGGUCGAGGGUCGCCCGGGCGGCCGCGUCGGGCACCUUGCGCAGGUCACACACCUCCAUCACCCACCGUCGCCGAAUCGCCGAUACACGCCAACACAGCGUGGAUUCAAAUGUGUUGAAGCCUAUGGCGGAUAAGCAAGCGGGCAGGAAGCUCGGCUCCUGUGGGUGGGGAUCGCAGGAGAUGUGAGAGGGACUGGAUGAAGGAACUACCGUGGAGGCGGGGCGACAGAGGGAGGACCGCGGUGAGGGGCCAGUGGGGGUGCGGGAGGCGGCGCAGCAGAGGGAGGGCUGCUCGCGCGGCGCGGAAGGCUGGGGGCGGCGUGGGCGGCGUGGGUGGACUGGGGGCGGCGUGGGUGGACAGGCAUGAACGGACGGUGCAGAUUCACAGAGGCUAACGGACGAUCCAGAUCUCCUGGAGGCAGAACGCAAAAAGGCAGGCUACCCUUAGAGCCUUAAUAAGUAGUAUAGAUUCAUAUUUAAUUGAAAGCAUAGGUUUCGAACGCGCUUCAUUCUAAUGCUAUGUUUGGAUCCUCCUGUUAAUUGUUUGUUAGUGGCUAACAAUUAGCCGGUGUAUGUUUGGAGUCUUAGCUAAUAGACAUCUAAAACACAGUAAAUAUCCUGUUUAGAGAAAGGAAAGAAACGAUCUAUUAGUACAUAUUAGCAAGGUUAAAUAGCUAAUGGGCAAACAAUUUGGCAGCCCUCUCGUUUAGAGUCCAAGGUGCUAAAAUUAGCUGACAAACAAUUUGCUAAAUGGAUUCAAACAGGCUCUAUGAAGUGCAAAAGCUUCAUUCAUUCUUUAAAAUAUACUAUAAAUAUGGUGCUAACUAUUAGAAAUAUACCCUAGAGAUAAUCAUAAAGAUAAGCAUAUUUCUUUGUAUCCAUAAUGUCGGUGUUUUGGACCCGCGAGGACCCUCAACCAACUAGUGAAUUUGUUGCUGCGUGUCCCUGCCCAGAUGGGUUGAUGCAAGAUGGAACACAAGCGGGGGGAAUGAGGCUUAUAUUACCUUGCACCGGGGUGCUCGUAGUAGGGGUUACAAGCGUCGUGAGAGAGAGAGGGAGAGAGAGAGAGUUCGAUCUUGUGGUGAGGUGCCUGAGCUGGCCUCCACCGCGUCUCUCCUACUCUGCCUGCCUCCGCUCGUCCCCUUCUCCCUGCGUGCGUGUGUGUUUUCUACGUCUCUCCGUUCGUCCCCCUCCUCUGUAGGAAGGCCCUGGACGUCCCCUUUUUAUAGAUACAAGGGGAUGGCCCAGCUGUACAAUGGGGUGUAGCUAUGUGCUAACGUGGCUGGCGGAGGAGUGCCUUGAGCCCUGCACGUGUGCUAACGUGACUGUCGGAGAAGUGCCUUGAGCCCUGUAGAAGCAUAGCUGGCGGUGCGGCAUAGAUCCUGCUGACAUUUCCUUGCUUCCGUAGGGGGUUGAGAGCAACCGACGUCAUGGGUGCACGCGGGGAACCAUCAUUACCUGUUACCGGAGUAACCUUAGAUGGGACACCGGUCUUGUUCCUUCAUAGCCUGAGGCAGCUAGCUAGGAGUAGGGUAAUGAUGUAUCCCCUAUAGCGUAGUCGGUCCGAGCCCGAGGUCGGGCGAGGCAGAGAUUUCUCCUGAGGCCGAGGUCGAGGUCGGGCGAGGAUGUGACUCCUCCCGAGGCCGAGGCCUAGGGUCGGGCCAGGCGGAGACCUUCUCCCGAGGCCGAGGCUGAGGCCGAGGCCUGAGGUCGGGCGAGGCGGAGCUCCCUGUUGCGCCCGAGGCUGAACUCGUGGGAGAUUGUGACUGUUUUACCCUGGUGGUUGGCACAGUAGUCGGAACGGGGUGAAUAGCGUUGUUUUCCUGUCAGAACGGUCAGUAAAGGGGCGAAGUGACUGCGGUCACUUCGACCUGGCCGACUGAAGCGCGCGUGUCAGGAUAAGGUGUCAGGCGAUCCCCGCAUUAAAUGCGCAUGCGAUACGGUCGGUUGGUAAGGCGAUUUGGUUGAGGUCGCUGCACGACAAAGUCUGCCCGAGCUGGGCUUCGGGCGAGCCGAGGGUGCGCCCACUGCCUGAGGAGGCCCUCGGGCGAGGCGUGAAUUCAUCCGGGACUACUGUUCCCGCCCGAGGCUGGGCUCGGAUGAGGUCGCGUCCCUCGGUAGACGUGGUCUUGACUUGAACCGCGCUUUAUUAGCCAUGUAUGGUUUGUUCUGAAGAUGUUUUCCAGCCGGAUUAAGGAGCAUUGGGGGUACCCCUAAUUACGGUCCCCGACAGUAGCCCCCGAGCCUCAAAGGGAGUGUAGGUACUCGCUUUGAGGUUCUACCGGAUUUUUUGCAAGGGGACCAGCCCUUCUCGGUCGUAUUUUGUUCCGAUGGGUGCGCGCGAACGCACCCGUCGGGUGUAGCCCUCGAGGCCUCGGAGGAGUGGUUUGACUCCUCUGGGGUCUUAAUUCUUUUCGUGUUGCCUCGGUCAGCCUUGUUGUUCCCUCAUGCGGCCUGGCCGUAGCCCGGGUGCAUGGUCAGGCUCUGAGUUUUUAAGCUGGUUUGUUGAUGUGGUCAACGGUUUGGCCGUAGCCUGGUGCGAGAGCAGCCCCCGAGCCUCUGCAUGGAGCGAGAGGACGAUCAAGGACCAUCUCGACUUUUAUUGUACGGCCCUUCGUCGCCUCUCUGCAAGGAGGAAGGGGGGGAGCGCCAUGUUACCCUCGGAGGGCACCGAACAUGGUGUUUCCAGUGAGUUGCUAGCGGGUGAUCCGAGUGGACGCCCGAGCCCCGUUCGAUAAGGGUCGGCUAGUGGCCCAGAGGCGCGCUCCAAAAGUACGUGCAGGUGAUUUGCUAGACCCGGACCCAUUCGAUAGGGUUCGAGGGCUCGAUGCCUCCUCCGGUGGGAUUCCUGAAAGGGAAUUAGGCUUACACCUAUUUCCUAAAUGAUUUUGGUGGUUGAAUUGUCCAACACAAAUAAUUGGACUAACUAGUUUGCUCUAGUGAAUAAGUUAUACAGGUGCUAAAGGUUCACACUUAGCUAAUAAAAAGACCAAGAAUUGGGUUCAAACAAAGGAGCAAGGGAUAACCGAAGGCAGCCCUGGUCUGGUGCACCGGACUGUCCGGUGCACCACCGGACAGUGUCCGGUGCACCAGGGAACUCCAAGCUGAACUUCGCACCUUCGGGAAUUCUCAGAGCCGGCGCGCUAUAAUUCACCGGACUGUCCGGUGUACACCAGACAGUGUCCGGUGCUCCAAGAGGACGCGGCUCUGAACUCGCCAGCUUCGGGAAUUCGCAUCGCCUGCUCCGCUAUAAUUCACCGGACAUGUCCGGUGUACACCGGACUGUCCGGUGUAACUGCGGGGCAACGACUACUUCAGGCGCCAACGGCUACCUGCAGCGCAUUAAAUGCACGCCAGCGCGCGCAGAAGUCAGGCACGCCCAUGCUGGCGCACCGAACAAUCCACAGUGCAUGUCCGGUGCGCCAUCGGACAUCCAGGCGGGCCCAGCAGUCAGAGCUCCAACGGUCGGAACCCUAACGGUCUGGUGACGUGGCUGUCGCACCGGACAUGUCCGGUGUGCACCGGACUGUCCGGUGCACCAUGCGACAGACAGCCCCACCAAACGGCUAGUUUGGUGGUUGGGGCUAUAAAUACCCCCAACCACCCAACAUUCAAGUCAUCCAAGUUUUCCUACUUCAACCACUUACAAGAGCUCUAGCAUUCAAUUCUAGACACACCCAAGUGAUCAAAUCCUCUCCAAAUUCCACACAACGCUUUAGUGAUUAGUGAGAGAGAUUUGCUUGUGUUCUUUCGAGCUCUUGCGCUUGGAUUGCUUUCUUCUUUCUUUGACUCUUCAUUGCGAUCAAACUCACUUGUAAUUGAGGCAAGAGACACCAAUCUUGUGGUGGUCCUUGUGGGAACUUUGUGUUCCAAGUGAUUGAGAAGAAAAGCUCACUCGGUCCGAGGGAUCGUUUGAGAGAGGGAAAGGGUUGAAAGAGACCCGGUCUUUGUGACCACCUCAACGGGGAGUAGGUUUGCAAGAACCGAACCUCGGUAAAACAAAUCCACGUGUCUCACUCCUUAUUCGCUUGCGAUUUGUUUUGCACCCUCUCUCGCGGACUCGAUUAUAUUUCUAACGCUAACCUGGCUUGUAGUUGUGAUUAUUUUUGAGAAUUUCAGUUUCACCCUAUUCACCCCCCCUCUAGGCGACUUUCAAUUGGUAUCAGAGCCCGGUGCUUCAUUAGAGCCUAACCGCUCGAAGUGAUGUCGGGAGAACUCGCCAAGAGGGAAAUGGAGACCGGCGACAAGCCCGCUACAAGCCACCGGUCAACUUCAUCGGAAGAGUCCCGCAACAAGAGGAAGGAGAAGAAAAACUCCUCCAACAAAGGGAAGGAAAAGAAAUCCUCUUCCCACAAGUCGGAUCGGAGAGACAACAAACACAAGAGGAUGAGGAAAGUGGUCUACUACGAGACCGACUCUUCAUCACCAUCGACCUCCGACUCCGAUGCACCGUCCGUUACUUCUAAGCGCCAAGAGCGCAAGAAGUAUAGUAAGAUUCCUCUACGCUAUCCCCAUGUUUCAAAACGUACUCCUUUGCUCUCCGUUCCAUUAGGCAAACCACCGGUUUUUGACGGUGAAGAUUAUAAUAUGUGGAGUGACAAAAUGAGGCAUCAUCUAACCUCACUCCACACAAGCAUAUGGAAUGUUGUUGAGUUUGGUGUACAGGUACCAUCCGUAGGGGAUGAAGACUACGACUCGGACGAGGCGGCCCAAAUUCACCACUUUAACUCCCAAGCCACUACUAUACUCCUCGCCUCUCUAAGUCGAGAGGAGUAUAAUAAGGUGCAAGGGUUAAAAAGUGCGAAGGAAAUUUGGGACGUACUCAAGAACACGCACGAGGGAGACGAGGUGACAAAGAUCACCAAGAGGGAGAUGAUCGAGGGGGAGCUCGGUCGAUUCAUGCUUCACCAAGGGGAGGAUCCACAAGCUAUGUACAACCGCUUGAAGACCUUGGUGAACCAAGUGCGCAACCUCGGGAGCGAAAAAUGGGAUGACCAUGAGAUGGUCAAGGUUAUUCUUAGAUCCCUCGUAUUUCUUAACCCUACACAAGUUCAAUUAAUUCGAGGUGAUCCUAGAUAUAAACUAAUGUCUCCCGAGGAGGUUAUAGGAAAAUUUGUGAGCUUUGAGCUAAUGAUUAAAGGCUCAAAGAAAAUCAUCGAGCAAGGCACCUCCUCCACACCCGAGGCACAACCUGUCGCAUUCAAGGCAACGGAAGAAAAGAAGGAGGAGGCUACUCCAAGUCGAACACCCAUCGACGCCUCCAAGCUCGACAACGAGGAUAUGGCGCUCAUCAUCAAGAGCUUCCGUCAAAUCCUCAAGCAAAGGAGAGGGAAAGACUACAAGCCCCGCUCCAAGAAUGUGUGCUACAAAUGUGGUAAGCCCGGUCAUUUCAUUGCUAAAUGUCCAUUAUCUAGUGAUAGUGACAAGGGCGACGACAAGAAGGGGAGAAGAAAGGAGAAGAAGAGGUACUACAAGAAGAAGGGCGGCGAUGCCCAUGUUUGUCGGGAGUGGAACUCCGAUGAAAGCUCUAGCGACUCCUCCGACGACAAGGACGCCGCCAACAUCGCCGUCACCAAAGGCCUUCUCUUCCCCAACGUCGGCCACAAGUGCCUCAUGGCAAAGGACGGCAAAAAGAAGAAGGUUAAAUCUAAAUCCUCCACUAGAUAUGAGUCUUCUAGUGAUGAAAAUGCUAGUGAUGAGGAAGAUAACUUACGCACUCUUUUUGCCAACCUCAACAUGCAACAAAAAGAGAAACUUAAUGAAUUGGUUAGUGCUAUUCAUGAGAAGGAUGAUCUCUUGGACACCCAAGAGGACUUCCUUAUUAAAGAAAAUAAGAAGCAUGUUAAGGUCAAAAAUGCUUACGCUCUAGAAGUAGAGAAAUGUGAAAAACUUUCUAGUGAGCUAAGCUCUUGUCAUGAAACUAUUGACAACCUUAGAAAUAAAAAUGCCAAUUUAUUAGCUAAAGUUGAUUCUCAUGUUUGUAAUGUUUCAAUUACCAAUCCUAGAAAUAAUGAUGAUGAUCUACUUGCUAGGAUUGAAGAAUUGAACAUUUCCCUUGCUAGCCUUAAAGUUGAAAAUGAGAAAUUGCUUGCUAAGGCUAAAGAUUUUGAUGUCUGCAAUGUUACUAUUUCUAACCUUAGAAGUGAAAACGAUAUAUUACAUGCUAAGGUUGUAGAAUUAAAAUCUUGCAAACCCUCUACAUCUAUCGUUGAGCAUGUAUCUAUUUGUACUAGAUGUAGAGAUGUUGAUAUUAAUGCUAUUCAUGAUCACAUGUCUUUGAUUAAACAACAAAAUGAUCAUAUAGCAAAAUUAGAUGCUAAAAUUGCCGAGCAUAACUUAGAAAAUGAAAAUUUUAAAUUUGCUCGUAUUAUGCUUUAUAAUGGGAGACACCCUGGCAUCAAGGAUGGCAUUGGCUUCCAAAGGGGAGACAAUGUCAAACUUAAUGCCCCUCCUAAAAGAUUGUCUAAUUUUGUAAAGGGCAAGGCUCCCAUGCCUCAGGAUAACGAGGGUUACAUUUUGUACCCUGCCGGUUAUCCCGAGAGCAAAAUUAGGAGGAUUCACUCUAAGAAGUCUCACUCUGGCCCUGUUGGGGACUUGUUCUCAAAUGCUAUGAGUCAAGAACAAGGCAACAUAGAAAAUGUUAAUCGGUAAAGUCCUUCGUCCUUCGAAGCAUUAUUCCCCUUAGGAUAUAAUGGUUUUCGGACGAAGGUUAUGAAGGGCGUACCUUCAUAAAUACAUUAUACAAUGACGAAGGAUGAAUUGUAAGGAAUAUAAAGGACAACAUAAACAAUUAUAUAUUACUAUUAUGUAUAAACAGAAAUAACGUUGGAUUACAAAUGUACCUUCAACUUGAAGGAGAUGAAAGUACAAGCGUGACGCAAAAGCGAAUGCCAAAUCAGCGUGAACAGUACGGGGGUACUGUUCACCUAUUUAUAGGCACGGGACACAGCCCAUACAAAAUUACAUUCAUACCCUUUACAUUUGAUAAUAAUUCUAUAGUAGUCUAUCGAGGUCUGAAUAGCCUUUUCAUCUCUAAGUCGGUUUCAUUUUCUGCUACCACGCCGAAGCUUUCCUGCUCACAUCUUCGGCGCUGUAUCGACCUUCGUAUUAUUCUGGUCUUCUUCUGUCGCGAUACCGACUUGAGUCCGAAGAUACCUGCUCACACAUUAUACUCCAGAAAUACUGUUAAAUCCUGUUUUUGAGGACCUUCGUAAGCCGAAGGCCCCCAACAAAUAAAGUCUAACCAUCAAGGAAGGAUCAGCCUUGCCUCGGCAAAGCCCUACCCUCCCUCGGGGGCUAGAAGUGGGGAACCCCCUCUGCAUCAAAAUUUUCCUCCGAAAAGUUUUCUACCAAAACGACUUUCGUGCUUUUCGACUCAUAUCGAUAACAGAAUCCUAAAAAGGACGAGAGGAACCUUAAACGGCAAGGCCGACCGAACCGAGGGACUCCUACGCCUCCGGGAUACGGAUACCUCACUCAUCACCUUCCGCGAAAAGUAACUCACGCUCGGAUAAGCGAUUCUGCUACCGAACAAGUCCUAACGCUCGAAAACUUUUCUACCAAAACGAAUUUCGUGCUUUUCGACUAUAUUGAUAACGGAAUCCUCAAAACGACGAGAGAACACGUAAGCAGCAAGGCCGACCGAGCCGAGGGACUCCUACGCCUCCAGGAUACGGAUACCUCACUCAUCACCUUCCAUGAAAAGUAACUCACGCUCGGAUAAGUGAUUCCGCUACCGAACAAGUCCUAACGCACGAAACAAGAGGAAAGAAAACGCAGCUUUAUAAUUCGACAAUUAAAAUGUUUAGGCCCCAACGGUCGCAAAAAACAUACGCAUACUUAAAACAAACUGUUCCUGCAGGCUCAGACAUUGGCAGGGGGAGGAGCAGCACGCUCGGCGUCAUUUCCACCCUCGGCAGAAUCUGGCCCGGCCUCGGACGGCGACACGGGCGGAAGGAUCUCCACCUCAAAGGAGGAAGCCAGCGCCGUGCUUGGGCCCUCGACAGCCGCGUCAAGCCUCUGGACCUCGGCUAAGGCAGCCUCCUCUUCGUCGGGUAAGCAGUACCCCUCGCUGACCCGCUCCAGAUCCACGUCGUAGUGGGAAGCAAGCACGGCGAAGGCCCGCCUAACGUCGUGGUGCAGCGCCCCGCGGAGUCUGCUGCGCACAUGGCCGCCCAAGGCCCACAGAUGACUCUGGGGGGGGAGCUACCCGAGGGGACGCCGUCGAGGCCGAAGGCCUGGCAAAAGGCCGAGAUAGCCUCGGACAUGGCCGCACGGUCGGCCUCCUUCUGCUCAGCCGCCUGGGCAAGCACCUUGCAGCUCUUGACGGACUCGUUAAGAGCCAUCUCGAACCCUGCAGACAGCAGGACAACAUUCUUCAGAUGCAAGGAGAAGAAUGGAGACAUAAACAAAGUCACAGAGCGGGCAAAACAAACCUUUGGCCCGGGCACGCUGCUGUGAGGCCAUGGCUCGGGCAGACCGGGCAGACCCGACGACCACAGCCAGGCCCUCCGCAAGGGUCCCAGCCCGAGCAGUCGCCUCGGGUCUAGAAAGGGGGUUCCCCCCUUCUUGGCGCCCACUCCAGGGUUCCCACCCUACGACACGGGGGCUAGGUCCCACACGUCAUGCGAGCUGACCCGAAACGCGAAGAAGGCAAACCGCCUCACGCGAAGCACGCAACCGCCCCGCAGUUAUAAGCAUUCCCUCAUCCUCACCGAAACCAGCGGUCGAAAGGGCGGACCGCCGCGCAAGAAGCAUGCAACCGCACUACGGUUGUGCACCCUUUUAGCUUCGUCGCAUCCGACGGUCCAGCAUGGGGCCCCGGUCCCACAUGUCAUGUAACCGGUGCUCCGGUUGCUACGUGCAAGGAAACCACACCGCCACUUGCGCCAAUGCCACGUCUUCUCGAAUGCAGAACCAGUGCAGCGAUUCGAGGCAGUCCCGCGCGUGACCCAACAGUGCCAAUUAAGUGAAACGAUCACGGGUCAGUCAGCCGCGGAGAUAGGCACGACGAUCGAUAUGAUCAGAGGCGGGCCGGCAGUAAUUGCAGCAACAGACGUGCGGAAGCAGCGGUCCAAUCACCUACAGGCUCGCAUCCUCUCCCGAAGCGGCAGGGGAGCCCUCUCCCACGGCAUAAAGACGACGCACCCGUGUUCCGUUCCUCGAACGACUCGUGCAUGCGCAACAGACGCCCCGCGAAUCGCCCAUCCCGUCGCAUUAACUUUUUGGUAGGCAAGCGACACCUCCGGCAGGCGAAGCGGGCGCCGUUUCACCUCCGUCAUGAUGACCGCGUCAAAAAAGGUGCGCCACAUUAUUCAAAUUCAUAUCCUUUUUCUUUUCCUCUCUCUCUCUCUCUCUUGCCACAGGGACCGGAAAAGGGGAUAUUUCGAAAAAGGAUCCUUCUAAGCGAAGGAAACAGGCCCCGAGCCCUCCUACUAAUCAGGGGUUCGAAGGUUGCGCCCUUCGGGGUUUGGCAACCGCCCCAGAGCAUUCGGGCUUUGAGCCCUCUACUGAUAAGGGGUUCGAAGGCUGGCCCUCGGAAGUUUUUGAUAGCCACCCCAGAGCACGCAGAGUCAGGGAUGACCCUGGGUACGUCUGUUACAUGGCCGAGGCUCGGGCUACGCUCCCGAGGUUUCCUAGGACAUUUCCGAGACCAACGGGAACAAUUUGUAAUGGAAUUGAAAGUCGCCUAGAGGGGGGUGAAUAGGGCGAAACUGAAAUUCUCAAAAAUAAUCACAACUACAAGCCGGGUUAGCGUUAGAAAUAUAAUCAAGUCCGCGAGAGAGGGUGCAAAACAAAUCGCAAGCGAAUAAGGAGUGAGACACGUGGAUUUGUUUUACCGAGGUUCGGUUCUUGCAAACCUACUCCCCGUUGAUGUGGUCACAAAGACCGGGUCUCUUUCAACCCUUUCCCUCUCUCAAACGGUCCCUCGGACCGAGUGAACUUUUCUUCUCAAUCACUUGGAACACAAAGUUCCCACAAGGACCACCACAAGAUUGGUGUCUCUUGCCUCAAUUACAAGUGAGUUUGAUCGCAAUGAAGAGUCAAAGAAAGAAGAAAGCAAUCCAAGCGCAAGAGCUCGAAAGAACACAAGCAAAUCUCUCUCACUAAUCACUAAAGCGUUGUGUGGAAUUUGGAGAGGAUUUGAUCACUUGGGUGUGUCUAGAAUUGAAUGCUAGAGCUCUUGUAAGUGGUUGAAGUAGGAAAACUUGGAUGACUUAAAUGUGGGGUGGUUGGGGGUAUUUAUAGCCCCAACCACCAAACUAGCCGUUUGGUGGGGCUGUCUGUCGCAUGGUGCACCGGACAGUCCGGUGCACACCGGACAUGUCCGGUGCGACAGCCACGUCACCAGGGCGUUAGGGUUCCGACCGUUGGAGCUCUGACUGCUGGGCCCGCCUGGAUGUCCGGUGGCGCACCGGACAUGCACUGUGGAUUGUCCGGUGCGCCAGCAUGGGCGUGCCUGACUUCUGCGCGCGCUGGCGCGCAUUUAAUGCGCUGCAGGUAGCCGUUGGCGCCUGAAGUAGCCGUUGCCCCGCAGUUACACCGGACAGUCUGGUGUACACCGGACAGUCCGGUGUACACCGGACAUGUCCGGUGAAUUAUAGCGAAGCAGCCGAUGCGAAUUCCCGAAGCUGGCGAGUUCAGAGCCGCGUCCUCUUGGAGCACCGGACACUGUCCGGUGUACACCGGACAGUCCGGUGAAUUAUAGCGCGCCGGCUUUGAGAAUUCCCGAAGGUGCGAAGUUUAGCUUGGAGUUCCCUGGUGCACCGGACACUGUCCGGUGGCACACCGGACAGUCCGGUGCGCCAGACCAGGGCUGCCUUCGGUUAUCCCUUGCUCCUUUGUUUGAACCCAAUUCUUAGUCUUUUUAUUGGCUAAGUGUGAACCUUUAGCACCUGUAUAACUUAUUCACUAGAGCAAACUAGUUAGUCCAAUUAUUUGUGUUGGACAAUUCAACCACCAAAAUCAUUUAGGAAAUAGGUGUAAGCCUAAUUCCCUUUCAAUCUCCCCCUUUUUGGUGAUUGAUGCCAACACAACCCAAAGCAAAUAUAGAAGUGCAUAAUUGAACUAGCUUGCAUAAUGUAAGUGCAAAGGUUGCUUGGAAUUGAGCCAAUAUAAAUACUUAUAAGAUAUGCAUGGAUUGUUUCUUCAUUUUUAACAUUUUGGACCACGUUUGCACCACAUGUUUUGUUUUUGCAAUUUCUUUUGUAAAUCCUUUUCAAAGUUCUUUUACAAAUAGUCAAAGGUAAAUGAAUAAGAUUUAGCGAAACAUUUUCAAGAUUUGAAAUUUUCUCCCCCUGUUUCAAAUGCUUUCCUUUGACUAAACAAAACUCCCCCUAAAUGAAAUUUUCCUCUUAGUGUUCAAGAGGGUUUUAGGAUAUUGAUUUUGAAAAUACUAUUCUUCUCCCUCUUUUGAACACAAUAAGAUACCAAUUUGAAAUUUAUCAAUUGAUAAUCAUACCAAUUGAAAAACUCUUUUAAAAUUAGGUGGUGGUGCGGUCCUUUUGCUUUGGGCUAAUACUCUCUCCCCCUUUGGCAUGAAUCGCCAAAAACGGAGUCAUUAGAGCCCUUAGAAUUACUUGCUUCCCCUUUGGUCAUAAAUAAAUGAGUUAAGAUUAUACCAAAGUAGAAGAGUGGUCUCUCCCCAAAGAAGGAGAGUUGCUCGGAGUGACGACGAAGGAUGAGUUACGGAGUGGAAGCCUUUGUCUUCGCCGAAGACUCCAAUUCCCUUUUAAUACACCUAUGACUUGGUUUGAAAUAGACUUGAGAACACAUUAGUCAUAGUAUAUGAAAGAGACAUGAUCAAAGGUAUAAAAAUGAGCUAUGUGUGUAAAAUCAACAAAAGAAGUUCCUAGAAUCAAGAAUAUUUAGCUCAUGCCUAAGGUUGUUAAAAGUUUGUUCAUCUAGUGGCUUGGUAAAGAUAUCAGCUAAUUGAUCUUUUGUAUUAAUAUAUGCAAUCUCGAUAUCUCCCUUAUGUUGGUGAUCCCUUAAAAAGUGAUACCGAAUGGCUAUGUGCUUAGUGCGGCUAUGCUCAACGGGAUUAUCCGCCAUGCGGAUUGCACUCUCAUUAUCACAUAGAAGAGGAACUUUGGUUAACUUGUAACCAUAGUCCCGCAGGGUUUGCCUCAUCCAAAGUAGUUGCGCGCAACAAUGGCCUGCGGCAAUGUACUCGGCUUCGGCGGUAGAAAGAGCGACCGAAUUUUGCUUCUUUGAAGCCCAAGACACCAAGGAUCUCCCCAAGAACUGGCAAGUCCCCGAUGUGCUCUUUCUAUUAAUCUUACACCCCGCCCAAUUGACAUCCGAAUAACCAAUCAAGUCAAAUGUGGAUCCCCGAGGGUACCAAAGUCCAAACUUAGGAGUAUAAGCCAAAUAUCUCAAGAUUCGUUUUACGGCCGUAAGGUGAGAUUCCUUAGGGUCGGCUUGGAAUCUUGCACACAUGCAUACGGAAAGCAUAAUGUCCGGUCGAGAUGCACAUAAAUAGAGUAAUGAACCUAUCAUCGACCGGUAUACCUUUUGAUCCACGGAUUUACCUCCCGUGUCGAGGUCGAGAUGCCCAUUGGUUCCCAUGGGUGUCUUAAUGGGCUUGGCGUCCUUCAUUCCAAACUUGUUUAGAAUGUCUUGAGUAUACUUCGUUUGGCAAAUGAAGGUGCCCUCUUGGAGUUGCUUUACUUGGAAUCCUAGAAAAUACUUCAACUCCCCCAUCAUCGACAUCUCGAACUUUUGUGUCAUGAUCCUACUAAAUUCUUCACAUGUAGACUCGUUAGUAGACCCAAAUAUAAUAUCAUCAACAUAAAUUUGGCAUACAAACAAGUCAUUUUCAAGAGUUUUAGUGAAUAAAGUAGGAUCGGCCUUUCCGACUUUGAAUCCAUUAGUGAUAAGGAAAUCCCUAAGGCAUUCAUACCAUGCUCUUGGGGCUUGCUUGAGCCCAUAAAGCGCCUUAGAGAGUUUAUAGACAUGGUUAGGGUACUCACUAUCUUCAAAACCGGGAGGUUGCUCAACAUAGACCUCUUCUUUGAUUGGUCCAUUGAGGAAGGCACUCUUCACGUCCAUUUGGUAAAGCUUGAAGCCAUGGUAAGUAGCAUAGGCUAAUAAUAUGCGAAUUGACUCAAGCCUAGCUACGGGUGCAUAGGUUUCACCAAAAUCCAAACCUUCGACUUGUGAAUACCCCUUGGCCACGAGUCGAGCUUUGUUCCUUGUCACCACACCAUGCUCAUCUUGCUUGUUGCGGAAAACCCACUUGGUUCCUACAACAUUUUGAUUAGGACGUGGAACCAAAUGCCAUACCUCAUUCCUCGUGAAAUUGUUGAGCUCCUCUUGCAUCGCCACCACCCAAUCCGAAUCUUGUAGUGCUUCCUCCACCUUGUGUGGCUCAAUAGAGGAAACAAAAGAGUAAUGUUCACAAAAAUGUGCAACACGAGAUCUAGUAGUUACCCCCUUAUGAAUGUCGCCGAGGAUGGUGUCGACGGGGUGAUCUCGUUGGAUUGCUUGGUGGACUCUUGGGUGUGGCGGUUUUAGGGCAUGUUUGGUUCGUUACCCCAAUUGCCACACUUUGCCUAACUUUUUUGCCUAAGGUUAGUUAUUCAAUUCGAAUGACUAACCUUAGGCAAAGUGGGGCACAGUUAGCCACAAACCAAACAAGCCCUUAGUUCUUCAUCCUCCUUGUCUUGGUCAUUUGCAUCUCCCCCUUGAUCAUUGCCGUCAUCUUGAGGUGGCUCAUCUCUUUGAUCUUCUCCUUCAUCAACUUGAGCCCCAUCCUCAUUUUGAGUUGGUGGAGAUGCUUGCGUAGAGGAGGAUGGUUGAUCUUGUGCAUGGGGAGGCUCUUCGGAUUCCUUAGGACACACAUCCCCAAUGGACAUGUUCCUUAGCGCGAUGCAUGGAGCCUCUUCUUCACCUAUCUCAUCAAGAUCAACUUGCUCUACUUGAGAGCCGUUAGUCUCAUCAAACACAACGUCACAAGAAACUUCAACAAGCCCUGAGGACUUGUUAAAGACUCUAUAUGCCCUUGUGUUUGAGUCAUAUCCUAAUAAAAAGCCUUCUACAGUUUUAGGAGCAAAUUUAGAUUUUCUACUUCUUUUAACAAGAAUAAAGCAUUUGCUACCAAAAACUCUAAAAUAUGAAAUAUUGGGCUUUUUACCGGUUAGGAGUUCAUAGGAUGUCUUCUUGAGGAUUCAGUGUAGAUAUAACUGGUUGAUGGCGUAGCAAGCGGUGUUGACCGCCUCGGCCCAAAACCGAUCCGAAGUCUUGUACUCAUCAAGCAUGGUUCUUGCCAUGUCCAAUAGAGUUCUAUUCUUCCUCUCCACUACACCAUUUUGUUGUGGCGUGUAGGGAGAAGAGAACUCAUGCUUGAUGCCCUCCUCCUCAAGAAAGCCUUCAAUUUGAGAGUUCUUGAACUCCGUCCCAUUGUCGCUUCUAAUUUUCUUGAUCCUUAAGCCGAACUCAUUUUGAGCCCGUCUCAAGGAUCCCUUUAAGGUCUCUUGGGUUUGAGAUUUUUCCUGCAAAAGAAUACCCAAGUGAAGCGAGAAUAAUCAUCCACUAUCACAAGACAAUACUUACUCCCGCCGAUGCUUAUGUAAGCAAUCGGGUCGAACAGAUCCAUGUGGAGUAGCUCAAGCGGCCUGUCGGUCGUCAUGAUGUUCUUGUGUGGAUGAUGGGCACCAACUUGCUUUCCUGCUUGGCAUGCGCUACAAACCCUGUCUUUCUCAAAAUGAACAUUGGUUAGUCCUAAAAAUGCGCUCUCCCUUUAGAAGCUUAUGAAGAUUCUUCAUCCCAACAUGGGCUAGUCGGCGGUGCCAGAGCCAACCCAUGUUAGUUUUAGCAAUUAAGCAAGUGUCGAGUUCAGCUCUAUCAAAAUCUACCAAGUAUAGCUGACCCUCCAACACUCCCUUAAAUGCUAUUGAAUCAUCACUUCUUCUAAAGAUAGUGACACCUACAUUAGUGAAAAGAUAGUUGUAACCCAUUUUGCAUAAUUGAGAUACAGAAAGCAAACUGUAAUCUAAUGAAUCUACAAGAAAAACAUUGGAAAUAGAAUGGUCAGGAGAUAUAGCAAUUUUACCCAAUCCUUUGACCAAACCUUGGUUUCCAUCCCCGAAUGUGAUCGCUCGUUGGGGAUCUUGGUUUUUCUCGUAGGAGGAGAACUUCUUCUUCUCCCCUGUCAUGUGGUUUGUGCACCCGCUGUCGAUGAUCCAGCUUGAGCCCCCGGAUGCAUAAACCUACAAAACAAGUUUAGUUCUUGACUUUAGGUACCCAAACGGUUUUGGGUCCUUUGGCAUUAGAAACAAGAACUUUGGGUACCCAAACACAAGUCUUGGAGCCCUUGUGUUUGCCCCCAACAAACUUGGCAACUACCUUGCCGGAUUUGUUAGUUAAAACAUAUGAUGCAUCAAAAGUUUUGAAUGAAAUGUCAUGAUCAUUUGAUGCACUAGGAGUUUUCCUUUUAGGCAACUUAGCAUGGGUUGGUUGCCUAGAGCUAGAUGUCUCACCCUUAUACAUAAAAGCAUGAUUAGGGCCUGUUGGGGACUUGUUCUCAAAUGCUAUGAGUCAAGAACAAGGCAACAUAGAAAAUGUUAAUCGGUAAAGUCCUUCGUCCUUCGAAGCAUUAUUCCCCUUAGGAUAUAAUGGUUUUCGGACGAAGGUUAUGAAGGGCGUACCUUCAUAAAUACAUUAUACAAUGACGAAGGAUGAAUUGUAAGGAAUAUAAAGGACAACAUAAACAAUUAUAUAUUACUAUUAUGUAUAAACAGAAAUAACGUUGGAUUACAAAUGUACCUUCAACUUGAAGGAGAUGAAAGUACAAGCGUGACGCAAAAGCGAAUGCCAAAUCAGCGUGAACAGUACGGGGGUACUGUUCACCUAUUUAUAGGCACGGGACACAGCCCAUACAAAAUUACAUUCAUACCCUUUACAUUUGAUAAUAAUUCUAUAGUAGUCUAUCGAGGUCUGAAUAGCCUUUUCAUCUCUAAGUCGGUUUCAUUUUCUGCUACCACGCCGAAGCUUUCAUGCUCACAUCUUCGGCGCUGUAUCGACCUUCGUAUUAUUCUGGUCUUCUUCUGUCGCGAUACCGACUUGAGUUCGAAGAUACCUGCUCACACAUUAUACUCCAGAAAUACUGUUAAAUCCUGUUUUUGAGGACCUUCGUAAGCCGAAGGCCCCCAACAGUAGCCCCUCGCAAUAUUAAUUUGUUUAAAAUAAUAAAUUUAGAUUGCGACAUGGACGAAGGCUUUACGCCGAAGGUCCGAAAAAACACCUUCCCUUUGCUAGAAUAGCAACAUUCACUGACAAGCGGGGUUUUUCCACGCCGAAGGUCCGAAAAAACACCUUCCCUUUGCUAGAAUAGCAACAUUCACUGACAAGCGGGGUCUUUCCACUUUCAACGCACUGGGCGUAUAAAUAAGAUCAUACCGCAAACUCAUUUGGCACGCUUUCUUGCCAUCUGCUCCCGCUCACUCAAUUUUUAGCUUUUGCGCACCAAGAUUUGCUGAGCUUUUAAGUUUUGAAGCUUCGGCAUUGAAAACAAUUUUUUAGUAUUCCCGAAAAUGUCUGAAGAUAAGAAGGCUGCUACCGAGAUGAAGCUAAGUCUCGAUGAAGAGAAAAAUCUGGGGUUUCUUAUAGCAAUGUCGAAGACCAACACAGAAAAAAUCACCAAGGAGAUUCUAGAAGGUUUGUCUGAGGAUACUGGUGAAAGCGACAGUUAUGAUGUGGACAGCGGUGGUGAAGACUCCGAAGAUCGUCCCUGGCGACCAAGCCAUUCAGUUUAUGGUAAAUCAACUAUCAAAGAGAAUCAUCUUGUCAACAUGAGAGGAAGGUAUUUCCGGGAUUUGUCCGUUGUGAGGGCCAACGAAGGGGAGAAGACUUGUCCACACCCUGAAGAGAAUGAAGUCGUAGUGUACCGAAGCUUUUUGAAAGCUGGACUAAGAUUUCCCCUAAGCAGCUUCAUUGUAGAGGUGCUGAAAAUAUUCGAAGUCUAUCUUCACCAACUUACCCCUGAGGCAAUCAUAAGGCUGAAUAUCUUCGUGUGGGCCGUGAGAAGCCAAGGUUUGAAGCCUGAUGCAAAAAGUUUCUGCAAUAUACACGAAUUAUCAUACGAAACAAAACCUUGGGGUAAGGAACAGUAUCACAAUAAUUUUGGCUGCUACAGCUUCGUUUCUCGGUCCGAGUCAAGCUGUCCCGUGCCAACCUUUCGGAAGAGGUGGCCCGGCGACUGGAUGACAGAAUGGUUUUAUGUGAAGAAUGACCUGACAGUACGAGAAGAUAUCAAAGGUAUAAUUAUGCGCCCUAUUUGGCAAAGCUUCGGCCUUCGGAGGCCGAAGGUUGAAAUGAAUGAAGCUGCCGAAGAAUGCUAGAGAGCCUUCGGCGUUAUCUGUUCUUUUAUUGGAACUAGAGAUUUAGUACAAGAGCAUAUUGCCUUCAGGGUAUGGCCGCUCGCGGAGAAAUGGGAAAUGCCGCAAGAAACCAUAAAAGAGGCCGACGAAGGUGGACUUAUCAGGCUGAAGUACACUUUUAAGUUCGGAGAUAAAUUCGUUGAGCCAGAUGAUGACUGGUUAAAAAGCAUUGAAAAUUUAAGUGAUGAACUGCUUGGGGCUUAUUCGAAGGCCGAAGAUACUGCACUGUCAGCAGCCUUCGGAGGCCGAAAAAAGAAGAGGCUGAAUCGGGUGUUUGAUGCAAUCGGGUUCGUCUACCCUGACUAUCGUUACCCCAUUCGAGGGCAGAAGAGAAAAAACACAACCUCUGCAAAAGAAGAAGCUGCAACUGCUCCUAGCGAGCCAGAAUCGAAAAGAAAAAGGAUAAAGGUCCUCACACAUCGGCCGCGCUAUAUUGAACCAGCUUCGGUGCCCGAGUUCACCGGAGAAACUUCUUCGGCCACCGAGGCUGAAAAGCCAAUCAAAUCAACCUUGCUGCCAGAAGUUGCAGAAAUGGCCGAAGCGCCAACAAGGAUAGAAUUGAAAGAACCGAAGAUUUUGCUACCAGAAACCAAAGAGAUGGCCGAAGAGCCAUCCACAGAAAAAAUGGAAGAAGUGAAAAAACCAACUGAAGAAAAAACAUCAGAAGUUUUGAGUCCUGCAGCGAAUAUUGAGACAGUAAAAAAUCAAAAAGUGCCAGCAGUGACUCCGAAAAGAAAGAGAAUGGCAAAUGUGCUAGAUGUACUGGAAACAAUUAAAUCUUCAAGCACACCUCCGAAGAAGACUACUGCCAUUCCCGAAGCGAAAACUGAAAUUUCUGAUACUAAAGCUCCAGAGCAAGAAACUGAAGCCGAAGCUGGGUCCUCAGAGCCCGCGAAGAUAAAAUCCUUGGAAACUGAGGAAGAAAAAAUAACAGAGCCAACUUUUGUUGAAGAAAUCGGUGUCAUUGCCCCCGAAGCAUCCUCCAAAGUCCGUGAUUAUAUUGUUCGUCAUGCUUCGGGGAAAAAACUAUCAGAAAAAGAAGAGCAAGAGGCCCAGCGCUACGCCCAAAAACUGAAGUAUCCAAAGGGGGCGUUAAUAUUCAAUGGCAGUGGAGAAGAAGACUUUUUAUAUUGUCUCCCUGACAGCAAGGAGAUUUCUGUCUGUCGGGAGAUGAGCAAAAGCUUCGGAUUCCCAACACUAGAAGACGGGCUCUCGGUGCUGUCGAAGAACGAUCUGGCCGACAGCCUGGCAUAUAAUAGCUUAAAGGUGCAACAAAUGGGAUCUUUGUAUUUUUUGUUGUGACCAAAAUUUUUCAUUUACUUAAAUCUAUUGACGCACACAUAUUUCUCUUUGCAGGGCCUGAUACUUAGCAAUGCCCUCAGGACACAGAAAGAUGCUGAAGACGAAGGGUGCGCUAUAGCCCUGAGCAACCUUCGUUCCGAAGUAAUUGAACUGAGGAACGAAGGUCUUGAAAAAGAUAAAAUAUUACAUUCAUUGAUAAAUAAAAUAAAGGAAGACGAAGCUGCUUUUAAAGGUCAAGCUGAGGCUCAGAAGCGCGAAAUUGAAGAUCUUCGGAAACAACUGGCCAGAGCCAAGGAAGAACGCAUACUUGAAGAAACGAAGCGAGAACUCAGCGACCAAUGGGCAGAUCACUUAGAAGGAACUGUUGAAGAGCUUCGUUCGUCCAAGAAGAGAUGCUAUAACAAAUCUAUAGAGUGUGUUAAGAAGUUAAAAGCUAGCUUCGCCAGAGUCGGCGCAUUCUCAAGUGAAGAAAACUUCACAAGAGGCAAUCCCGAAGGUCCCAUCGAAUGGAUCGACCACGAAGCUGAAGCCUUCGAGGAAAUUUUAAAUAGCCGUGGAGAUAUAUGUGCUUUCUCGGGUGCCAGAGGAAUUGCCACUAUUUUAGAGAAAAAGGGCUGCGAACAUGUAAAAAUUUUAGUGCAAUCCGAAGCUGCUUUGUCCUUUGAAGAUGCAAGAGAUCCUUCGGCUGAAGCUAGCAUGGGUGGUGGAAAAAUUUUCACUGAUAUCUGGGAUAAUGGUGGCCGAGAAAUGGCCGGAGAAAUUAUUCGAAAAAGUGAAAAGGGCAUUCACGAUGCUAGAGAAGUGGCUGAGGCUGCUGAAAAAAGCGCAGAGCCCGAAGGGCAAAUAGGUAUCAACUGAUGGUUUUAUUGUGUUGUAAUUUUCGAUUUUAAACUUCGUUCGCAAUUUGUAAUAGCAAUGUAGCCGUAUCCUGUCCUCCUUCAGAUCCUACCAAAGCGUCUUCGGGACCUCCCCCGAAAGGAGACGACGAAAUUAAAGAGAUGGCUGAAGCUAUCAUGGAUGAAGUUGUUAAUCGGCUCCUGAACGAGGCUGCAGAAGUCGUUUUGAGAGAAGAUUAAGUAUUAUUGUAAAAACCUCUGAAAUGUAAUAUAUUGUAACAUUUUGUAACCCUGAAUGUAAUAUACCUGUUUUUGUUGUUCAAUUCUUUACGAUGCAUGAAAUUUUACACGUACCGUUUUUGAGUAUUUGACGAAAAAACACCUUCCCUUCUUUUCAUGCUUCGUGAAGAAGAAUUUUUCUUUGUCACAACAAUAUCCAGUGUUCUGAUGAAUAAUAUCCAGGCUUCGUGAAGAUAUUUUCCGAAGCUACACUUCCGAAGAUUAAUAAUGUGUCUCCUUGUGACAUCAUGAUUCUUCCCUUUUUCCAAAACGUUCUUCUGUAGAUCGAUAUUGUGUCCACCUCUUGUGCCAUUUGCAACAUGAUGUAUGAUGCUUAUGCUAUGCGAAAUGAUGCGAUGAUGUUAUGUUAUGUGAGGUAAUGUUUAUUCCGAAGAUACAUACGCAUCCCUGCAAUAAAACACAUAAUCUUUUAUAAGCCUCCCUUAGGAGCUUCUUCGCCUUUUACUUCAGCGGAAUCAGCGUUUAUUUUUCGCUGUAAGCCUCCCUUAGGAGCUUCUUCGCCUUUUACUUUCAGCGGUAUCCGCGUUGACUUUUCGCGCUUCGCCUUUUACUUAGGCGGUAUCAGCGUUGACUUUUCGUUGUAUGCUCUGCAUUCCCUUUGGAACGACUUUGGAGCAGAAAACUUACACUGCACUCCUUCUGGAGCGGCUUUUUGUGACUUCGGCAAACUUACUCUGCGUUCCUUAGAACGACUUUUUGUUGCUUCGAAGAAUUUUCGAUGAUUUGAAGGUUCUCUUUGUUAUCACAAAUCUUUAAACUUCAACAACUUAGACCUGUGAAGAAAAUAUAUUUUCCUUGUGGCAAACAACGAAACUAUUUACAUGAAAUCUAAACAAUGUUCUUUAUUACACAGAAAAUAAGACUGAAUAAGAAAGACUGCUAUUAAGGUAGGAUAUUUGUCAAUAGAUGUGCUUUGACUCUGGCACAGUGUUGUUGACUGUACGAGCUUCGGACUGCUCUCUGAAGUCCCUUUGGUGUGGAGCAUACUGGCUCCCUUCUGGCUGCUGGCCUUGUUGCAGCGGAGGUGGAGGCGGAGGCUGUUGCCAGGAAGCUUGGGGUUGACUCGCCGAAGCAACAGAAACUGCAGGGUGGUUGCCCACAUAUUCUGGGAUGUAAGGCAAAUGAUACGAAGCAGUAUGCAUGACCUGCUUCGGCUGAGCUUGUUGUGCUGCGGCUUCGGCUAUUUCCUUUUGCUUUUGGAUGGUAACAUGGCACAUCCUGGUGGUAUGGCCUUUGUUCUCACCGCAAAACAAGCAAAAGAUUCUUCUUGGUUGAUCUCCGAAUCUUCCGCCGAAGCCCCUGGCGCCUCUGCCUCUUGGGGCUGGUGGUCGGAAGGAGCCUUGCUGUUGCCCCGAAGCUUGUGAGGAACACUGUGGCCUUUGCUGUUGGCUCCCUCGAUCAUCAUUUUGGGUAGAGUUAUGAAUUGAUCUAACGUGCCUCGGAUAGAACCUUCCUCCGAAGCCCCUGGUCAUUUCAGAAAACCUGAAAGCCUCCUCCCUUCUUUGGCGAAAAUCAUUAUCGGCCCGAAUGUACUCGUCCAUCUUCUGGAGCAGCUUCUCCAAAGUUUGAGGAGGCUUCCUAGCGAAGUACUGAGCUGACGGUCCUGGCCGAAGCCCCUUGAUCAUGGCCUCAAUGACAAUUUCAUUGGGCACCGUUGGUGCCUGUGCCCUCAAACGCAAGAACCUCCGGACGUACGCCUGAAGGUAUUCUUUGUGAUCCUGGGUGCACUGGAAUAGAGCUUGAGCAGUGACCGGCUUCGUCUGAAACCCUUGAAAGCUAGUUAACAACAAGUCCUUCAGCUUCUGCCAUGAAGUAAUCGUUCCUGGUCGAAGGGAGGAAUACUAGGUUUGAGCAACACUCCUGACAGCCAUAACAAAAUAUUUGGCCAUGACUGCAGCAUUGCCACCAUACGAAGAUACUGUUGCUUCGUAGCUCAUCAAAAACUGCUUCGGGUCUGAGUGGCCAUCGAAUACGGGAAGCUGAGGCGGCUUGUAGGACGGAGGCCAAGGUGUGGCCUGCAGCUCAGCGGACAGAGGAGAAGCAUCAUCGAAAACAAAAUUCCCAUGAUGGAAAUUAUCAUACCAGUCAUCUUCGUUGAGGAAACCCUCCUGAUGAAGGUCUUGGUGCUGAGGCCUUCGGUGCUGCUCAUCCUGAGCAAGAUGACGAACUUCUUCAGAGGCUUCGUCUAUCUGCCUUUGCAGUUCAGCUAGCCUGGCCAUCUUUUCUUUCUUCCUCUGCACCUGUUGAUGAAGCAUCUCCAUGUCUCUGAUUUCUUGAUCUAUCUCGUCCUCUGGUGGUGUCGGGCUGACAGCCUUCCUUUUCUGGCUUCGGGCCUCCCGAAGGGAGACUGUCUCCUGAUUGUGGUCCAGCGGUUGCAGAGCUGCAGUCCCAGUCGCUGAAGCUUUCUUCGGCGCCAUAGCGAAGGUUUAUGAUCGCCGAAGGUGUUCAAAAAACUCAAAGAGUGGAAGUGAGUUCACCGGAGGUGGGCGCCAAUGUUGGGGACUUGUUCUCAAAUGCUAUGAGUCAAGAACAAGGCAACAUAGAAAAUGUUAAUCGGUAAAGUCCUUCGUCCUUCGAAGCAUUAUUCCCCUUAGGAUAUAAUGGUUUUCGGACGAAGGUUAUGAAGGGCGUACCUUCAUAAAUACAUUAUACAAUGACGAAGGAUGAAUUGUAAGGAAUAUAAAGGACAACAUAAACAAUUAUAUAUUACUAUUAUGUAUAAACAGAAAUAACGUUGGAUUACAAAUGUACCUUCAACUUGAAGGAGAUGAAAGUACAAGCGUGACGCAAAAGCGAAUGCCAAAUCAGCGUGAACAGUACGAGGGUACUGUUCACCUAUUUAUAGGCACGGGACACAGCCCAUACAAAAUUACAUUCAUACCCUUUACAUUUGAUAAUAAUUCUAUAGUAGUCUAUCGAGGUCUGAAUAGCCUUUUCAUCUCUAAGUCGGUUUCAUUUUCUGCUACCACGCCGAAGCUUUCCUGCUCACAUCUUCGGUGCUGUAUCGACCUUCGUAUUAUUCUGGUCUUCUUCUGUCGCGAUACCGACUUGAGUCCGAAGAUACCUGCUCACACAUUAUACUCCGAAAAUACUGUUAAAUCCUGUUUUUGAGGACCUUCGUAAGCCAAAGGCCCCCAACAUUAUUUAUGCAUGUAAAGAAAGCGAGAUACAUGAACGACUUGAAACAUUUUAAGGGUAAAAGCGACGUAGUUGUUCGAUGUUCCAAGCGUUGUUGUAGACCUCGCCUUGAUCGUUGGCCAGCUUGUAUGUCCCGGGCUUCAAAAUCCUGGCGAUGAUGAACGACCCUUCCCAGGGAGGAGUAAGCUUGUGGUGCCCUCGGGCGUCUUGUCACAGCCGAAGUACCAAGUCUCCCACUUGGAAGCCUCGGGGCCGAACCCUUCGGGCGUGUAGCGUCGCAGAGACUGCUGAUACCGCGUCGAGUGUAGUAAGGCCACGUCCCGAGCCUCUUCCAGCUGGUCCAAUGAAUCCACUCGGCUGGUCUGGUUGCUUUGGUCGUCGUAAGCCUUUGUCCUCGGGGAACCGUAUUCCAAAUCCGUGGGUAAGAUGGCCUCGGCCCCAUAGACUAGGAAAAACAGCGAGAAGCCCGUGGCCCGGCUCGACGUCGUCCUCAGACUCUAAACCACCGAGGGUAGUUCUUUUAUCCAUCGCUUGCCAAACCUGUUGAGGUCAUUGUAGAUCCUCGGUUUUAGUCCCUGCAAAAUCAUACCGUUGGCGCGCUCCACCUGCCCAUUUGUCAUUGGGUGAGCUACGACGGCCCAGUCCACACGGAUGUGGUGGUCUUCGCAGAAGUCUACGAACUUCUUCCCAGUGAACUGCGUGCCAUUGUCGGUGAUGAUGGAGUUUGGGACCCCAAAGUGAUGGAUGAUAUUUGUGAAGAACGCCACCGCCUGCUCGGACCCGAUGCUGGUUAAGGGUCGGACCUCGAUCCACUUGAAGAAUUUGUCGAUGGCGACCAGCAGGUGCUUGAAGCCCCCGGGUGCCUUCUGCAAGGGACCGACGAGGUCCAGACCCCAUACGGCAAACAACCAAGUGAUGGGUAUUGUCUGCAGGGCUUGAGUAGGCAGGUGCGUCUGUCUCGCGUAGAAUUGACACCCUUGGCAGGAGCGUACAAUCCUAGUGGCAUCGGCCACCGCGGUCGGCCAGUAGAAACCUUGUCGGAAAGUGUUUCCCACGAGGGUUCGAGGUGCUGCAUGGUGACUGCAAGCCCCCGAGUGUAUUUCUUGUAACAGCUCUUGUCCUUGGGCGACAGAUAUGCAUCGUUGGAGAAUGCCUGAGGGGUUGCGGUGGUACAACUCUUUUUCAUCACCCAGUAAAACGAACGACUUGGCGCGCCGAGCCAGUCUCCGAGCUUCGGCCUUGUCGAGGGCAACUCUCCUCGGAGGAGAUAUUCCAGGUACGGGGUCUGCCAAUUUUGGUUUGGCGCAACCCCAUUCCGCUUUCCCUUGAUGCACAAGGCCUCACCCUCGGCGGUCGAGGGUACCUCGGGCUGGGCCGAGGUCCCCUCGGGUUCGGGUGUGUCGUUGAUUUUGACGGAUGGUUGAUAUAUGUCCCUAGAGAAGACAUUCGGGGGAUCGUUCGCCCGAGGCUAUUUUAGCCAGCUCAUCCGCGGUCUCGUUGUACCGUCGAGCAACAUGGUUGAGUUCCAGCCCGUAGAACUUAUCUUCCAAGCGCCGAACUUCAUCGCAAUAGGCCUCCAUUUUCUGAUCGCGGCAGUGGGAGUUCUUCAUGACUUGGUCAAUGACAAGCUGCGAGUCGCCCCGAGCAUCGAGGCGCCGAACCCCUAGCUCGACGGCGAUGCGUAACCCAUUAACCAAAGCCUUGUACUCGGCCACAUUGUUUGACGUCGAAAAAUGGAGGUGUAGUACGUAGCGCACAUGUUUCUCGAGGGGUGAGAUGAAGAGCAAGCCAGCACCUGCUCCUAUUUUCAUCAGCGACCCAUCGAAGUACAUGGUCCAAAGUUUGGCCUGGAUUGGAGCUGUCGGCAAUUGGGUGUCGACCCAUUCAGCCAGGAAGUCCGCCAAGACUUGGGAUUUUAUGGCCUUCCGAGGGGCAAAUGAAAUUUUUUCGCCCAUGAGUUCCACUGCCCAUUUUGCUAUCCUACCCGUGGCCUCUCGACACUGGAUGAUCUCUCCCAGGGGGAAGGAUGACACCACAGUCACCGGAUGAGACUCGAAGUAGUGUCGCAAUUUUUGUCGUGUCAGAAUUACUGUGUACAGUAGCUUCUAGAUUUGUGGGUAGCAGAUCUUGGUCUCAAAUAGCACCUCGCUGAUGAAGUAGACCGACCUCUGGAUGAGCAGUGCAUACCCUUCUUCCCGUCUCUCGACUACGAUCGCAGCGCUGACCACCUGAGUGGUUGCGGCUACGUAAAUCAAGAGGGCUUCUCCCGCAGCGGGGGGCACCAAGAUGGGCGCAUUAGUAAGGAGUGUCUUUAAGUUUCCGAGGGCUUCCUCGACCUCGGGGGGUCCAAGUGAAGCGCUCGGCCUUCCUCAAGAGGCGGUAUAAGGGCAAUCCUUUCUCGCCAAGGCGCGAGAUGAAGUGGCUCAGAGCCAUAAGGCAUCCCAUGACCCUUUGUACUCCUUUUAAAUCUUUGAUGGGUCCCAUGUUGGUGAUGCCUGCAAUUUUCUCUGGGUUGGCCUCGAUGCCUCGUUCGGUGACGAUGAACCCCAGGAGCAUGCCUCGGGGGACUCCGAAGACACACUUCUCGGGAUUGAGUUUUACGCCCUUUGCACGCAGGCACCCGAAAGCUACCUUGAGGUCGGAGAGGAGGUUGGAGGCUUUCCUUGUUUUGACGACGAUGUCAUCGACAUAAGCCUCGACCGUUCUGCCGAUGUGUUCUCCGAACACGUGGUUCAUGCACCUUUGGUAGGUUGCACCUGCAUUCCUCAAGCCAAAUGGCAUGGUAGUAUAACAAUACAUGCCAAAAGGUGUGAUAAAAGAAGUCGCGAGCUGGUCGGAUUUUUCAUCUUGAUUUGGUGAUAGCCUGAAUAGGCAUCGAGGAAAGACAGGGUUUCGCACCCAGCAGUGGAGUCCACAAUUUGAUCGAUGCGAGGCAGAGGGUAGGGAACCUUUGGACAUGCUUUAUUUAACCCAGUGUAGUCUACGCACAUCCUCCAUUUCCCACCUUUUUUCUUUACAAGCACAGGGUUAGCUAGCCAUUCUAGAUGGAAUAACUUUUUGAUGAACCCUGCAGCCAUCAGCUUGUGGACCUCCUCGCCUAUGGCCCUACGCUUUUCUUCAUCAAAGCGGCGCAUGGGCUGCUUCACGGGUCGGGCACCGGCUCGGAUGUCCAGUGAGUGCUCGGUGACAUCCCUCGGUAUGCCGGGCAUGUCCGAGGGACUCCACACAAAAAUUCGGUGUUUGCGCCGGAGAAAGUCGACGAGCACUGCUUCCUAUUUGGGGUCGAGCUCAGAGCUGAUCCUGACUUUCUUGCCGGCGUCGUUGCUGGGGUCGAGAGGGACAGACUUAACUGCCUCGACCGGUUCGAAGUUGCCGGCGUGGCGCUUCGCAUCUAGCACCUCCUUGGAGAGGCAAUCUAGGUCGGCGAUGAGGGCCUCGGACUCGGCGAUGGCCUCAGCGUCCUCCACGCAUUCCACGUCGCACUCGUAAGCGUGGCGGUAAGUGGAUCCGAUGGUGAUGGUUCCGUUGGGGCCGGGCAUCUUGAGCUUGAGGUACGUGUAGUUGGGGACAACCAUGAACUUGGCGUAUCACGGUCUUCCCAGCACCGCGUGGUAGGUCCCUCGGAACCCGACCACCUCGAACGUGAGGGUUUCCUUUCAGAAGUUGGAGGGAGUUCCAAAGCAGACGGGCAAAUCGAGUUGCCCAAGGGGCAGGACGCGCUUACCGGGGACGAUCUCAUGAAAAGGUGCUGCACUGGCCCGGAUCGUGGACAGAUCGACCCCCAAGAGCCCUAGGGUCUCGACGUAGAUGAUGUUGAGGCUGCUGCCUCCGUCCAUGAGGACCUUGGUGAGCCUAGUGUUGCCGAUGACAGGGUCGAUGACGAGCGGGUACCUUCCUGGGCUCGGUACGCAGUCGGGGUGGUCGCCUUGGUCGAAGGUGAUGGGCUUGUCGGACCAGUCUAGGUAGACCGGCGCCGCUACCUUCAUCGAGCAGACCUCCCGGCGCUCCUGCUUGCGGUGCCGAGCCGAGGCGUUCGCCACCUGUCCGCCGUAGAUCAUGAAGCAGUUGUGGACCUCCGAGAACUCCUCUUCCUUGUCGCCCCCUUCUUGUUGUUGCCUUGGUCUUUGCCACCUUCUGCCGAGGGUCCAGCCUUGUUGAAGUAACAUCGGAACUUGUCACACUCCUCAAGGGUGUGCUUGACGGGACCCCUGUGAUAGGGGCACGACUCCUUGAGCAUCUUGUUGAACGUGUUGGCCCCUCCGGGAGGUUUUCGAGGGUUCCUAUGCUCAGCAGCAGCGACGAGAUCCGCGUCAACGGCGUCGCGUUUUGCUUGCACCUUGUUCUUGGCCUUCUUUUUCGUGCCACGCUGGACGGACGCCUCGGGGCAUCUUCCUUCUGUCUUCCCUGAGGCUGCUUGUCAUUCUGGAAGAUGGCUUCAACCGUCUCCUGACCAGAGGCGAACUUGGUGGCUAUGUCCAUCAAUUCGCUCGCCUUGGUGGGAGUCUUGCGCCCUAGUUUGCUCACCAGGUCUCGACAAGUGGUGCUAGCGAGUAAUGCCCCGAUGACGUCUGAGUCGGUGAUGUUGGGUAGCUCGGUGCGCUGCUUUGAAAACCGCCGAAUGUACUCUCGCACUGGCUGCUGGCGGUAGCUUCGGAGAUCCCAUGAGUUCCUAGGGCGCACGUACGUACCUUGGAAAUUUCCAGCGAAGGCCUUGACCAGGUCGUCCCAGUCGGAGAUCUGCGCAGGAGGCAGAUGCUCCAGCCAGGCCCGGGCAGCGUCGGAGAGGAAAAGGGGGAGGUUGCGGAUGAUGAGGUUGUCAUCAUCCGUCCCUCCCAACUGGCAUGCCAGCCGGUAAUCCGCAAGCCACAACUCCGGCCUUGUCUCCCCUGAGUACUUGGUGAUGGUGGUCGGGGCUCGGAACCGGGCCGGGAAUGGUGCUCGUCGUAUGGCCCGACUGAAGACUCGCGGACCUGGCGGUUCGGGUGAGGGGCUCCGAUCCUCCUCACUGUCGUAGCGUCCUCCGCGCCUGGGGUGGUAGCCUCGGCGCACCCUUUUCUCGAGGUGGGCUCGACGGUCGCGGCGGUGUUGCUCACUGCCGAGGCGGUCCGGGGCUGCAGGCGUCCCGUCCCGUGUGCGCUCGGUGCGGACCGAGGCCUCCCGCAUGCGUCGGGAGGAUGUUGCGCGAUGCUCCGAGGGCACCCUCGCCUUCGGGAGGCGGAGCUCUCGGCUUGUCGGACAGCGGCGUCUUCUAGGAGGCCCUUGAGCUCGCCCUGGAUAUGUCGCCCCUCGGUGGUGGAUGGCUCCGCCAUUGUUCGGAGUAGCAUCGCUGAUGCAGCCAGGUUCUGACCGGCCCCGCUGAAAGCCGGGGGCAGCCCCGCCCUAGCAUUGUCGACGAUGUGGUGCUGGACGUCCCGGGCCCGAUGACGCGCUCCUCCGGCGAGUGCCCGGCCUGCCCAGUCCUGCUCAAUGUUUUGUCGGAGCUGCACAAGCCGCCCCGCUUCUUCGCCGAGCUUGGCCUGCAUCUCGCGAAGUUGCUCAAGCUGUGUGUCCUGACCCCCUGCAAGGACUGGGACCACAGCUAGCUCCCGCGGGAUCUCAACGCGAGACGCAGGCACAAGGGCGUCGUCAUCUUCUGGCAUACCGAGGUGGUUGUCUUCGCCAUGAUCCCCCUGAUCGAUGUGGAAACACUCGCGACUUGGGCCAUAACCCUCGUCGUCGAGGCUGUGGUCAUCGUCGGAGCAGCCGGAGAGGCAGUAGUCACAUGCGGACAUGAAGUCUCGCAUGGCGCUGGGAUCACGGAGUCCGGAGAAAUCCCAACCGAAGUCGGGGUCGUCGUCUUCCUCGGAACCCGCGGGUUCGGAGGUUGAGACGGCCGUCAGUCGGUCCUAAGAUGACCACAUAUGAUACCCUGGAAGGUCAGGAUACGCCCUUGCGAAAGCGCUCACCGAAGCGGGGUCACUUGGUGGAUCGAAGCUGAAUCUAAAAGGGACAGGGUGGAAAACGGACGGUACCUCUUGGUGGAGUCGCGUCAGGGACGGAAUGCACAGUUAUCUCAGGUACGAGGCUAACGCCCAGCAAGUCCUUCGUGAGGGUGCUAGCGUCAUCAAUCCACUUGGGGUUGGCACGUUGCGGGGAAGCGACACCCCUCAUUGUCUCAGGUGCGAGGAUGAGAGCACCUAGAGGGGGGGGUGAAUAGGUGAUCCUGUAAAAACUUAAAACUUAAAGCCACAAAACUUGAUUAGGCGUUAGCACAGUUUAUGCCAAGUGGCUAGAGAGAACUCAAAACACGAUAACCACAAGAAAGCAAUCACAGAGUUGACACGGUGGUUAUCCCGUGGUUCGGCCAAGUACAAAACUUGCCUACUCCAUGUUGUGGCGUCCCAACGGACGAGAGUUGCACUCAACUCCUCUCAAGUGAUCCAAUGAUCAACUUGAAUACCACGGUGUUUUUCUUUCCUUUGAUCUUUUCCCGUUUGCGAGGAAUCUCCACAACUUGGAGUCUCUCGCCCUUACAAUUGAGUUCACAAAGAAAUACGGAGUAAGGUGGGAAUGAGCAACGCACACAAGACUCGAAAAUCAGAGCAACAACACGCACACAAGUCGCAACAAGAGCUCGCAAUGCAACACAAAGAGUUCACAACUCCACAAGAGCUCUAUAUGCUAUCACAGUGAAACGAAUGCGUGAGAUUGAUGUCUUGGUGCUUAGAAGAGUUGUAGGAAUGCUUGGUGUUCUCCUCCAUGCGCCUAGGGGUCCCUUUUAUAGCCCCAAGGCAGCUAGGAGCCGUUGAGAACAAAUCCAGAAGGCUAUCCUUGCCUUCUGUCGUCGGGCGCACCGGACAGUCCGGUGCACACCGGACACUGUCCGGUGCCCGAUUUCUUUCCUUAAUAGGCGCAGCCGACCGUUGCCGACCGUUGCAGAUCUGGCGCACCGGACAGUCCGGUGCACACCGGACAGUCCGGUGCUUCCUUCCGACCGUUGGCUCGGCCACGUGUCGCGCGCCGAUCGCGCGGCCGACCGUUGGCCCGGCCGACCGUUGGCUCACCGGACAGUCCGGUGCACACCGGACAGUCCGGUGAAUUUUAGCCGAAGUCGCCGGAGAAAAACCCGAGAGCAGCCUCUUCGGCCGAGGCAGCCUGGCGCACCGGACACUGUCCGGUGCACCACCGGACAGUCCGGUGCCCCAGACCGAAACAGCCCCUUGGCUGUACACAGCCAAGUCUUCUCUUCUCUUCUUCUUUCUGUUUCUAACACUUAGACAAGAUAUUAGUACACAAAACCAAUGUACUAAGGCUUAGAAACAUACCUUUACUUGUGAUUUGCACUUUGUUCAACCAUGGGCAUAUUCUCACUUUUAAGCACUUGUGUUUGCACUCAAUCACCAAAAUACUUAGAAAUGGCCCAAGGGCACAUUUCCCUUUCAAUCUCCCCCUUUUUGGUGAUUUAUGCCAACACAACAUAAAGCAAAUAGAACAAGUGCAAAAUCACUUCAAAUAAAAACUCAAAUUGGUUUUGAUUCAAUUUUGGCAUAUAUGGAUCAUCCUUUGCCACCACUUGGUUUGUUUUUGCAAAUCAAACUCAAAUCUCUAUCUCUAAGUCAAACACACAUGUUGAAGCGUAAAGAGAGUCAUUCCAAACGAGAUUGAUCAAAGAUUUCAAAAACUCCCCCUAAAUCCCAUACCUAAAUCCCAUAAUCAAUACUUCUCCCCACAAGAAGCCAACUUUUCACAAAAGAGACAAUAAGAGACGAAAGCUUUUGACAAACAAAAACUCUAUUCUACUAUUUUCAAAAUCUCUCAAGUGGUAGCUGAUCCAUUUAUCACUUUGGCCUUUAUUUUCUCCCCCUUUGGCAUCAAGCACCAAAACGGGAUCAAUCUUGGCCUAUAUAACCCCAUUGCCUCACCAAAAUCUUCAAUUAAGAGCAAAUGGCAAUAAGAGUUCAUGAGAUGGACUUGGAAUAAGUUACCCUCUCAUCGGAGUGCAGUGGAAGUCUUUCAUGGUCCAAGUCCACCUUUUCCCUUUCAAGCCUCCUUUGAGACUAAAUCAUCAAACUCAAACACAUGGUUAGUCUCAAAGGGUCAAGUUGUAACACAUCUCCCCCUUAACAUGUGCAUCACUUUGCAACAGACUUGUGAGGUCCAGGGAGUGUUUGUACAACUUGAGCACCACAAUAAGCAACAAAAUGCAAAAAGGAACAUGAUCAAAAGCAUAAAUACAUGUAUGCUACAAUUCAAUCCAGGUUCCGCGAAUCUAAGACAUUUAGCUCACUACGCAACCUGCAAAAGGUCUUCUCAUCUAGAGGCUUAGUGAAGAUAUCGGCUAGCUGGUUCUCGGUGCUAACAUGAAACACUUCGAUAUCUCCCUUUUGCUGGUGGUCUCUCAAAAAGUGAUGCCGGAUGUCUAUGUGCUUUGUGCGGCUGUGCUCAACAGGAUUCUCCGCCAUGCGGAUAGCACUCUCAUUAUCACAUAGGAGUGGGACUUUGCUCAGAUUGUAGCCAAAGUCCCUGAGGGUUUGCCUCAUCCAAAGUAGUUGCGCGCAACACUGUCCUGCGGCAACGUACUCGGCCUCAGCGGUGGAUAGGGCAACGGAAGUUUGUUUCUUAGAAUUCCAUGACACAAGGGACCUUCCUAAGAAUUGGCACGUCCCCGAUGUACUCUUCCUAUCGACCUUACAUCCAGCAUAGUCGGAGUCUGAGUAUCCAACCAAGUCAAAGGUAGACCCCUUUGGAUACCAGAGCCCGAAGCAAGGCGUAGCAACUAAAUAUCUAAGAAUCCGCUUCACCGCCACUAAGUGACACUCCUUAGGAUCGGAUUGAAAUCUAGCACACAUGCAUACGCUAAGCAUAAUAUCCGGUCUACUAGCACAUAAGUAAAGUAAUGACCCUAUCAUUGACCGGUAUGCUUUUUGAUCAACGGACUUACCUCCUUUGUUGAGGUCGGUGUGUCCGUCGGUCCCAUCGGAGUCUUUGCGGGCUUGGCGUCCUUCAUCCCAAACCGCUUUAGCAGAUCUUGCGUUGUACUUCGUUUGGGAGAUGAAGGUGCCGUCCUUGAGUUGCUUCACUUGGAACCCAAGGAAGUAGUUCAACUCGCCCAUCAUCGACAUCUCGAAUUUUUGCGUCAUCACCCUGCUAAACUCUUCACAAGACUUUUGGUUAGUAGAACCAAAUAUUAUGUCAUCGACAUAAAUUUGGCACACGAACAAAUCACCAUCACAUGUCUUAGUGAAAAGAGUUGGAUCGGCUUUCCCAACCUUGAAAGCAUUAGCAAUUAAGAAUCUCUAAGGCAUUCAUACCAUGCUCUUGGGGCUUGCUUAAGUCCAUAGAGCGCCUUAGAGAGCUUACACACGUGGUCGGGGUACCGUUCAUCCUCGAAGCCAGGGGGUUGCUCCACGUACACCUCCUCUUGAUUGGCCCGUUGAGGAAAGCGCUCUUCACAUCCAUUUGGUACACCUGAAAGAAUGGUGAGCGGCAUAUGCUAGCAAGAUUCGAAUUGACUCUAGCCUAGCCACAGGAGCAAAAGUCUCCUCAAAAUCCAAACCUGCGACUUGGGCAUAACCUUUUGCCACAAGUCGAGCCUUGUUUCUCGUCACCACCCCGUGCUCGUCCUGUUUGUUGCGGAACCCACUUGGUUCCCACAACAUUUGCUUCGGACGAGGCACCAGCGUCCAAACUUCAUUUCUCUUGAAGUUGUUGAGCUCCUCCUGCAUGGCCAACACCCAGUCCGGAUCUAGCAAGCUCCUCUACCCUGAAAGGCUCAAUAGAAGAGACAAAGAGUAAUGCUCACAAAAUUAACUAAUCGAGAACGAGUAGUUACUCCCUUGCUGAUGUCACCCAGAAUUUGGUCGACGGGAUGAUCCUUUGAAUCAUCGCUCGAACUUGGGUUGGAGGUGCUGAGGUGCUUCUUCCUCUUCAACUUGAACAUCCUGUGCUCCCCCUUGAUCAUGCGCCUCCAUUGAGGUACCUGUUCGUUAUCUUGGGUUGGGGGAUGCACCAUAGUUGAGGAAGACGGUUGAUCUUGCUCCAAGUGUUCCUGAGGCCGUACAUCUCCAAUCACCAUGGUGGUAUUGCGGCGUUGGAACGUCUUCUUCAUCGGUUAGUAACUCAUACGACGUCUUCUUGAGGAGGCGAUGAAGGUAGACCUGUUGAUGGCGUGGCAAGCCGUGUUCACGGCUUCCGUCCAAAAGCACUCGGGGGUCUUGAACUCUCCUAGCAUCGUCCUCGCCAUAUCGAUGAGCGUCCUGUUCUUCCUCUCUACCACACCAUUUUGCUGUGGUGUGUAGGGAGCGGAGAAUCAUGCUUGAUCCCUUCUUCUUCAAGGAUUCCUCCACUUGAAGAUUCUUGAACUCGGACCCGUUGUCGCUCCUUAUCUUCUUCACUUUGAGCUCAAUCAUUUUGAGCUCUCCUGAGGAAGCGUUUGAGGGUCACUUGGGUUUCGGACUUUUCCUGCAAAAGAACACCAAGUGAAGCGGGAAAAGUCAUCAACAAUAACUAAACCAUACUUACUUCCUCCUAUGCUCAGAUAGGCGACGGGUCCAAAAAGGUCCAUAUGCAGCAUUCCAAGGGUCUUGAUGUCGUCAUCACAUUUUUGGUGUGAUGAGAGCUCCCACCUGUUUCCCUGCUUGACAAGCUGCACAAGGUCUAUCUUUUUCGAAUUGAACAUUAGUUAGACCUAUCACAUGUUUCCCUUUAGAAGCUUGUGGAGGUUCUUCAUCCCACAUGUGCUAAGCGGCGGUGCACAGCCAGCCCAUGCUAGUCUUAGCAAUUAAGCAUGCAUCUAGACCGGCCUCCUCUUUUGCAAAAUCAACUAAGUAAGUUUGCCGUCUAAUACACCCUUAAAAGCUAGUGAACCAUCACUUCUUCUAAAGACAGACAAUCUACAUUUGUGAAUAGACAGUUAUACCCAUGUUGCAUAAUUGACUGACAGAUAGAAAUUAUAACCAAGAGACUCUACUAAAAACACAUUAGAUAUAGAGUGUCAUUAGAAAUUGCAAUUUUACCUAGCCCUUUUACCUUGCCUUGAUUCCCAUCACGAAUAUAAUUGAAUCUUGGGAAUCCUUAUUCUUGACGUAGGAGGUGAACAUCUUCUUCUCCCCCGUCAUAUGGUUUGUGGCAUCCCCUGUCUAUAAUCCAGCUUGAACCCCGGAUGCAUAAACCUGCAAGGCAAUUUAGGCUUGGGUUUUAGGUACCAACUCAUGUUGGUCCUGCAGGUUAGCACAAAUAUCCUUAGGGACCCAAAUGCAAGUUUUGUUCCCUUGCAUCUUGCCCUAACUUCUAGCAAUUACCUUUUUACCCUUUCUACAAAUAGCAAAGGGAGCAUUGCAGGCAUAAUAAAUGGUAGAAGGUUCAUUUGCUACUUCCUAGGAGCAUGAAAUACAUUCUUUUAGGAACACAUUUUUCCUAGUAACAUUUCUAUCAUACAUAUGAAGAACUAGGAGCAAACAUGGCAUGAGAAUCAUAACAUGUGAAUCAUUACAAGCAUUUUAGCAUGUCUCCUAUCAUGGUACAUGAAAGCAUGAUUCUUCUUAAACUAUUGCCAUAGGAGCCUUCCUUUCUCUUGGUGGAGAUAGGAGUCUUAUGGCUUGUUAAGUUCUUGGCUUCCCUCUUGAAGCCAAGCCCAUCCUUAAUUGAGGGGUGUCUACCAACCGUGUAGGCAUCCCUAGCAAUUUUAGUUUAUCAAAUUACUCUUGCUAGUCUUAGUUGAGCAUUAAGACUGAAGCGUCCAAUCCUCUGGGACUCAAAUGUGAUACAUUACUAGUCCAGGAGGCUAGUAACAAUUUAUACAUCAGAUGAUACCAAAUCUGCUUAACGAGACAAACCUACAAGGUGGCGAACAACUUUAAGAGUUGGUCCACAACUCGGGAAUAUAUCAGAGUGGGGCUGAAGCAGCCCGAUAUACGCAGCGAAGCAAUUCAGCGGUCCACAACCACAGGCAAGGUUGGGAACAGUCGUAAUCUUACCGAUUCCUUUUCUGAAAAACAAAAUAAGCAAGGGUGAGUACAACGUACUCAGCAGCCACCUUCACCGCGGAAUGGGGAAAUCAGAUAUAAUGCAUGGAAUAUGUAGAGCUCAGGAUAUUUGCAGAAACACAAUAUUUUAUGCAGGGUUGUUUUGAAAAACAUUUUGUAUUUUGCAAAGUGCAUCCUCUCCAAAGGAGCAGGAGUUUUUCAGUAUUAUAACAAAUCCCCUGGACUAAACCAUCCAGGUAUCUCAGCAGUUUCCCACUGGUUUUCCUUUUUCAAAACAGCUAUGGAUUCCGUCCACCUAGUCACGGUCAACCGCGAACCUUUUAAAACCACUUUUCUCAACCAUUCUUUUUUUGGAAACAAAACAUUAAUUGCCAUACCAUACCAGACUCGUCCAUUCCUGUGGACACGGACUAUUCGAAUAGGUUUUCAAACUCUGCGCAGAGGUGUACACUUUACCCAUAGUCCGGCUCUGCGAUUCAUAGCUAGUGAGACCCGAAUCCGAAUCUCUUUCUUUCCCGCACGUCUAACCUUAACGGUUAUCCGGAAGGAGUCAGGCCACCGCAUGUCCAAACCGGACAAAACUUUCCCCUCCUUAUCCUCCGGUGCUCCCAGCCUUCAUAACCCUAGGGUUGGACCGUACGAGUUCAGAUUGAGUGACUGCCCACACAGUCUCGAGUGGUUGUACUAUUAAAGAGUACAGGUAGAGAAGAUGACAAACCGGUCCUUAUCGAGGGGACAAUCCUUCUGCUCACGCCUAACCAGCUGAGCCAUACCUUAGGCCUCCCUAACAGGGAGUCCUGAUUAUCCACUCACAAGGUGAUAGGGUGAAACCUUCAUCAUACACAUUUUGAAAAGCAUUUUCUUUUGAAACUCACACCUUUUCUCAAUAUUUGUACAAUAUAUUAAGGAUUGAUUGCGGCAGCGGCUUGGGUGGCCAUAAUAAUUGUCUAAAUCAUAUCAUGCAUAAAUAAGGCUGAGGGUUGUGGUUGAAAGACAUAGGUAAUUUAUGCAUCAAAGGGAUCAGUGAGCUUGCCGUGUUAUUUGGCGAAGGGGAAGGGAGCUCGCGGAACUGGCUUUGGUCACUGCCUGGCGUAGACUUGCAGAUCUGGCCUCCAGAGACGGCACGAACGCUCCGAUAACUAUGCAACAUGAACAAGCACAUACAAACAAAAGUAUAGCAACAUAUUUAGUAUAGUGGUCAGAAUAGCGAUAUAUGGAUGGGUAGAGUCUUGAGUAGAAUCUGUGUAUGUGGUGUUGAGUAUACUAGUGGUGGAGCGGAGGUGUUACAGGAGGUGGACUGAAGGCGAAGCGAACUAGCGUUAGUCGGCAGAGCGGAGUACUGGUGGGUGGGAGUUUUCUUGGCUGAGGGUGUGGAGUGUGUGUGGAGAGGGAGAGGGUAGCUGGGUGUAUUUAUAGCUGGGUGUAUGUGGUGUAGCACAGUAAAGUUCACUGUGGUGAGAAUAGUGAGAAUGAAUCGUUGACUUAGUAUGAACAGGAGAGUCAUAUGCAGAUAUGGGACGAGAGUAUUUUGGGAGUCUUCUGGAACAUGAACCAUGCUUAAGGGAUGACAUGGUUGGAUAGGGAAUAGUUUGAUAAGAAUUUAGAAACGAGAUUAUUGGAUCUGAGUUUGGGAGCCUGGUUCGAAGGAAUCUCAAAGUUAAGCGUGCUCAACUUGGAGAAACCUGAGAUGGGUGACCAGAUGGGAAGUUCCUAUGGAAGAAAAUCCAGUCACCGGAGUUCGUAUGACUGGAAUAUGGGUCUGGCUGGUCUUAGGUGGACUGGACAACAUGAUGUAGAGUAGUUGAAAUUUGGGAUGACUAGAUGACCGAUGAAUAGUAACGAUGAAUAGUGGCGAUGGAAAAGAAAUUAUAGAUAUCAUCGAUGAAUAGUAACGAUGAUGAAUAGUAAUGUAAAUAGUAACGAUGAUGAAUAGUGUAUGUGAAUAGUAACGAUGAAUAGUAAUGGUGAAUAGUAAUGGUGAAUAGUGAUAGUGAAUAGUUCGUAUGAACGAACGAUGAACGAUGAAUAGGAACUAUGAACGAACGGACGAACGAACGAUCGGAAUUUCGGCAGCAUAACGGCAGGAAAAGAUUAUUUGGACGAACGAACGAACGAACGAUCGAAUGAUCGUACGAACGAACGAUCGGAAUUUCGGCAGCAUAACGGCAGGACAAAGAUUAUCUGGAAGAACGAUGAAUAGGGACUAUGAACGAACGAUGAACGAUGAAUAGGGACUAUGAACGAACGAUGAACGAUCGAAUGAUCGAACGAACGAACGAUCGGAAUUUCGGCAGCAUAACGGUAGGAAAAAGAUUAUUUGGACGAACGAACGGACGAACGAUCGAACGAUCGGACGAACGGACGAACGAACCAUGAACGAUCGAAACGAACGAUCGAACGAUCGGACGAACGAACGAACAAACUAAGAACAGGGGACGAACGAUCGAAGAACGAUCGAACGAUCCUUGUGCUAGUGUGUGCUUGUGUGGAACAUGGAGUGGGUGAUGUGUGGGGGGGGAGAGAGUUGCCAUGAAAUGGCUUGGGGUGGGAUGAGAGGAGGCCCUUGCCCCUCUAUUUAUAGCCAUGGUGGGGGGAUUAGGGGGAGGGAUGAGAGGAUUAGUGGAGGAUGAGAGGAUUAGUGGGAGAUGUUAGCAUGUAUUUGUCUUGUAUAAGUGAGAUUAGCUUGUAGAGCUCACCGUAUGACACUGGAGGCAUACGUAUACGUAUGAGCAUGAAGGAAAGUUAUGAAGAAAAUAUUUAUAGGGACUUGAAAAUGAUUCUGAGUAUUUCACAGAGGAAAAUAUCUGGAGAUAUAUCGUGGAUAUUUGGCCAGUAUUUCUUGGAAAGACUGAAGGGAUACUAGGGAAUUCUGGCCGGUAUUCUGAAAGAAUUGAGGGGAUCACUGGGAAAAUUUGUAGGAUAUUUGAGGAGAUUUAGGAGAAUAUAGACACUAUAUUUAUUGUUGAUAUCAACUCGCAAACAAACAUUUGAAAUGAAAUUGAAAUUCAUUUUGAAUUUAGGCGAUUUGAGAAAAUUUCAGAUUUGAAUUUUUGGGAUGCUACAAAUCUACCCCACUUAAAAGGAAUCUCGUCCUCGAGAUUCGGUUAGAAGGGUUAUGGGUAUAGCUUUACUUCAGCUACAUAUCUUCACUUUGCACUCUUCGAGGAGAUGGAACUUCAACAAAAUCUGGCCUUUGAGGGCAUCGGUUGCUGAUUGCAAACGCUGAUUCUGGCUACUCAAGAUCAUCUUCAGGCUUCUAGCUUUCGCUUGGCAGCUAGCUUAUUGAAGAAGCAUCGAUGCCAACACAAACCUUUCUCUUGCGAACUCCCCAUGGAUUCCUUCCUUGAUUGUCUUCUGGUGCUUCAUCAACAAACUUGGGUGACCACUUCUCCAUCCAGAAACUUAUAUGCUUUGAUGAUCUGGUCCUCCACAAGCUUGCUACAGACCUUCUCUUUUUCUCCAUAGCAGGAACCUUGCUGGAACACUACCCCACUUAAAAAGAAAGAGGGUAGAACUCUUGAAUCUUGGGGAUUUGCAACUCCUUGAAGUACCUCAUAACAAAGGUGUUACGGGGCUUCUUCUGCUGUUGCUGCUUGAGCAGGCUGCGGAGAAAUGACUGACACAGGGUUGAUUCUGGGCACACCUUCUUCUCAUCUUCUCUUCACUAUCUUCUUUUCUCUUCUCACUUUUCACUUUUCACUGUCUCUUUCUUUCUCUUUGCUCUUCCACUCGAGAUUCUAUCAAAGAGUAUUACAUCAUACAGAGGAGGAAACCGAAGAUGUUGAACUAUACAACAGUCUUCAACCCAAGAAUCACCAGCAUUGUGAUCUUAGGGGCGAGGGAGUGGAAAAAUGGAGUUGCUUGCGAUUUGGCAGAGGGGAUUUAUCUGGAGUGUGCUUUUGCUUUGAGCGAGAUGGGAGUUGAGGGAGAUGGUGGGGGGGGGGGGUUUAUAGGCGAGCGGGGUGUUCGGUUGCGGAGCAGUGGUGAUGGGUAGGUGCUACGCGGCAGCGGGUGCGAUAGGGGAGGGGGGCCUGGUGUUGCUGCGAUGAUGGUGGCGGUGGGUGUGCUGCAAAGGUGGCGUGGGCGGCGGUGGUAGUGCGCUGCAAAGGGGGGCGUGGGGCGGUGGUAGUGCGCAUGGAGGCGGGCACGCGUGGGGGGGGCACGGGUGAGUGGUGGGGUCGAUGACCCUGAUGUUUGUGGUCUCUGGUUCCAGAAUCUUUGCCUCUGUGUAUGGUAAUAACUCCUUCUGUCCUCUUUUCCUGUUUACUUUGACUCCAGGGGCAGUGCUUUGAUUCUCCACGGUCGGUCCUUUUGACUGAGCGGCUGGACUGGCUUCUUCUGUAGCUUGUUCCAGGCUUCAAGGGUAAGCUUCCCGGUAUCUUCUGGGUAAGACACUUUUCUUGAGAUGGGUUAAGAUGAGAAUGGAAGCAUAAGGUGAGGAUUAGAUCUAAUUUGUGAUCUAUGUUUUUAGAGAAAACCUUCUUAAAAAAAACACAAGCUCAGCAAUGAUAAGCACAAACAAAUCAAUGUUUGAUAAGGGAAGAUAGAGUUUUCCAAAGCACGGACUACUCAGAUUCGGGGGUAAGCAUACUACUAUUGCUGGCUCCUGAAUUGAGAACUAUGCUAAAUGCACUUAUGAGCACUAACGUUAAGCAUCAAUAUGCACUCAAAAGGGAGGAAAACAUCAAGCGAAAUUCAUUUUGAAAUGCCCUAGGGGCAACACAAAUAGAGUUUUUUCAAAGCACGGGACUACACGAUUAACUCUCAUACAUGCAGGGCUCUAGCCAAAGUGAAGAAAAACUCACUACCCAAUGCAUGCAGAGGACUGGGCUACUAACUUCAGACCGAAACUUCUUCUGGCAGGCGCACACAACUUCAAUCUGAGACAUCUCCUGGAUGGGUCAAAGGGAGCUGAUGUUGAUGAUUCUUCUGCGCGACUGAGGAUGGCAAACGGGUCGAACUCUUCUUCAAGCGGGACUGGCUCUUGUAGCUCUCAGAGGGCGGUGGUGCUGGCGGGGUGCUUGCAGUCUUUUUGACUCAAGGGAGGUGCUGGAAUCUCUUCAUGGUGAGGGGCUCAAACACCUGGCGGGGAUCUUGGGAGGAUUCAGGUGCUCUUGCUUACCAUACCUAGGGAGACUGGAAUUCCUUCCAAGACUAUGGUCCUUCUGGAGUUCCCAGCUUCUUUUCCUCUGUAGAGACCGGGUGACUUCAAGAAUCUGGGGUCUUCAGCUCUCCUGGGUUGAACUGGGUUGGAUGGAGCGGCUCUUGGAUCCGAGGGCUCUACGUUGGUUAUGGGUUACCAAGUAGGCCUCCAUCAACUUCUGGAGUGCUCAUCCUUGGCUUGCUUCAGGGCUCAACAGCAAUGACUUCACGACUUCCAAGGCAGUGCACGGCUUGAGUGUGGUGAGAUCCACAUGGAGCUGACGUGCGCUUCUCUGCAUCUUCUGCUCGGCAAUCAUUGACGUGUGCCGAGCCAAGAAAUCAUACUGUGCAUCCAGGUGAGCAGGUAGCAGUGAGUACACGACGUGGGGUCAUCCUCAAGCAGUUGCUGCCCUUCCAAUGCACGCAUCCUGCAUCCAACGGACGUUCUCUGAAAGGGCGAAAGAAUCUGAGCGGGUGUCGCCACUUCUUCUUCAUAGAUCUGACACAGGGCCCUCAAUGCCUUGCGAGCGACGACUUGGCAGGUGUCUUUGAAUCUGUGCCAGCAGCAGUGACACUCCAUUCCACAUGGUGUGGACUGGAUCCAAUGUAUACAGUCACGACACACUUCUCUGUGCCAUGCUCGACGAAUCACGACCAUCAUACUCUGGCUGGCUCCUGAUUCCGAGGCGACUGUGCAUGCUCUCAGCAUUGGGGAAACCAUCUUCAUUCUGGCAGAAGCUGGUUUGGCACGGAACCUCCAUCUGACUUCUGAGAGAAGGAAGGGGAAAACAUUUUUGAAAUGAAGGGAUGAGAGCAAGAAUUUUUUUUAAGAAAAUAGUUUGGACUCAAAAACUUUUGAUCAGGCUAAGGGUUAGUCCUGCGGCCAACUAACAGCUCUGAUACCAUGAAGCGUCCCAAUCCUGGGACUCAAUUGAUACAAUUACUAGUCCCAGGAGGCUAGUAAACACAUUUAUACAUCAGAUGAUACCAGAUCUGCUUAACGAGACAAACCUAAAAGGUGGCGAACAACUUUAAGAGUUGGUCCACAACUCGGGACAUAUCAUCAGAGUGGGGCUGAAGCAGCCCGAUAUACGCAGCGAAGCAAUUCAGCGGUCCAACAGCCACAGCAAGGUUGGGAACAGUCGUAACUCUUACCCGAUCUCCUUUUCUGAAAAAACAACAAAUAAGCAAGGGUGAGUACAAACGUACUCAGAGCCCACCUUCACCGCGAAUGGGGAAAUCAGAUAUAAUGCAUGGAUAUGUGAGCUCAGAUAUUUGCAGAAACAGCAAUAUUUUAUGCAGGUUGUUUGAAAAACAUUUGUAUUUUUGCAAAGCGCAUCCUCUCCAAAGGAGCAGGAAGUUUUCAUAUUAAACAAAUCCUGGACUAAACAUCCAGGUAUCUCAGCAGUUCCCACUGGUUUUCAUUUUCAAAACAGCUACUGGACUUCCGUCCACCAUAGUCACGGCUCAACCGCGACCUUUUAAAAACCACUUUCUCAAACCACCUUUUUUUGAAAACAAAACACUAAUUGCCAUACCACACCAGACUCGUCCAUUCUGUGGACACAGACUAUUCGAAUAGGUUUCAAACCUGCGCAGAGGUGUACACUUUACCACUAGUCGGCUCUGCGAUCUCAUGCAUGAGACCGAAUCGAUCCUUCUUUCCCGACGUCCUAACCUUAACGGUUAUCCGGAAGAGUCAGGCCACCGCCAUGUCCAAACCGGACAAACUUUCCCCUCCUUAUCUCCGGUGCUCCCCAGCUCAUAACCCUGGGUUGGACCGUACGAGUUCAGAUGAGUGACUGCCCACAGUCUCGAGUGGUUGUACUAUCAGAGUACAGUAGUGAAGAUGACAAACCGGUCCUUAUACGAGGGGACAAUCCUUCUGCUCACGCCUAACCAGCUGAGCCAUCACCUUAGGCCUCCCCUAAACCAGGGAGUCCCUGAUUAUCCCUCACAAGGUGAUAAGGGUGAAAACCCUUCAUCAUACACAUUUUGAAAAGCAUUUUCUUUGAAAACUCAACCUUUUCUCAAUCAUUUGUAAAAUAUAUAAGGAUUGAUUGCGGCAAGCGCUGGUGGCCAUAAUAAUUGUCUCAAAUCAUAUCAUGCAUAAAAUACAGGCUGAGGGUUGUGGUGAAAAUCAUAGGUAAUUUAUGCAUCAAAGGGAUCCAGUGAGCUUGCCGUGCUUAUUCGGCGAAGGGGGAAGGGGAGCUGCGAACUGGCUUCUGGCUCACGCCUGGCUGUAGACUGCAGAUCUGGCUCCACGAGACGCACGAACGCUCCGAUAACUAUGCACAUGAACAAGCAACAUACAAACCAAAAGUAUACCAACAAUAUUUAGUAUAGUGGUCAGAAUAGCGAUAUAUGGAUGGUAGAGUCUUGAGUAGAAUCUGUGUCAUGUGGUGUGUGUGAUAUUACUGGUGGUGGAGCGGAGGUGCUUACCAGGAGGGUGGACUGGAGGCGAGCGACACUAUGCGUGUAGCCGGGAGCGGAGUACUGAGUGGGUGGGGUUGCCUUGCUGAGGUGUGAGUGUGUGUGGAGAGGGAGAGGGUAGCUGGGUGUAUUUAUAGCUGGGUGUAUGUGGUGUAGCACAGUGAAGUUCACUGUUGGUGAGAAUAGUGACGAAUGAAUCGUCUGACUUAGUAUGAACAGGAGAGUUAUAGAGAAUAUGGGACAAGAGUAUUUUGGGAGUUUCUGGAAUAUGGACAUGCUUAAGGGAUGACAUGGUUGGAUAGGGAAUAGUUUGAUAAGAAUUUAGAACGAGAAUUAUUGGAAUCUGAGUUUGGGAGCCUGGUUCGAAGGAAUCUCAAAGUAAGCGUGCUCAACUUGGAGAAACCUGAGGAUGGGUGACCAGAUGGGAAGUUCCUACUGGAAGGAAAAUCACAGUCACCGGAGUUCGUAUGACUGGAAUAUGGGUCUGGCUGGUCUUAGGUGGACUGGACACAUGAUGUAGAGUAGUUGAAAUUUGGGAUGAUAGAUGACGAUGAAUAGUAACGAUGAAUAGUGAGUGAUGGAAAAGAAUAUAGAUAUCAUCGAUGAAUAGUAACGAUGAUGAAUAGUAAUGUAAAUAGUAACGAUGAUGAAUAGUGUAUGUGAAUAGUAACGAUAAUAGUAAUGUGNNNNNNNNNNNNNNNNNNNNNNNNNNNNNNNNNNNNNNNNNNNNNNNNNNNNNNNNNNNNNNNNNNNNNNNNNNNNNNNNNNNNNNNNNNNNNNNNNNNNGGGUUUACGCCGAAGGUCCGAAAAAACACCUUCCCUUUGCUAGAAUAGCAACAUUCACUGACAAGCGGGCGUCUUUCCACUUUCAACGCACUGGGCGUAUAAUAAGAUCAUACCGCAAACUCAUUUGGCACGCUUUUUGCCAUCUGCUCCCGCUCACUCAAUUUUUAGCUUUUGCGCACCAAGAUUUGCUGAGCUUUUAAGUUUUGAAGCUUCGGCAUUGAAAACAAUUUUUUAGUAUUCCCGAAAUGUCUGAAGAUAAGAAGGCUGCUACCGAGAUGAAGCUAAGUCUCGAUGAAGAGAAAAAUCUGGGGUUUCUUAUAGCAAUGUCGAAGACCAACACAGAAAAAUCACCAAGGAGAUUCUAGAAGGUUUGUCUGAGGAUACUGGUGAAGCGACAGUUAUGAUGUGGACAGCGGUGGUGAAGACUCGAAGAUCGUCCCUGGCGACCAAGCCAUUCAGUUUAUGGUAAAUCAACUAUCAAAGAGAAUCAUCUUGUCAACAUGAGAGGAAGGUAUUUCGGGAUUUGUCCGUUGUGAGGGCCACGAAGGGAGAAGACUUGUCCACACCCUGAAGAGAAUGAAGUCGUAGUGUACCGAAGCUUUUUGAAAGCUGGACUAAGAUUUCCCUAGCAGCUUCAUUGUAGAGGUGCUGAAAAUAUUCGAAGUCUAUCUUCACCAACUUACCCCUGAGGCAAUCAUAAGGCUGAAUAUCUUCGUGUGGGCCGUGAGAAGCCAAGGUUUGAACCUGAUGCAAAAGUUUCUGCAAUAUACACGAAUUAUCAUACGAAACAAACCUUGGGGUAAGGAACGUAUCACAAUAAUUUUGGCUGCUACAGCUUCGUUUCUCGGUCCGGUCAAGCUGUCCGUGCCAACCUUUCGGAAGAGGUGGCCCGGCGACUGGAUGACAGAAUGGUUUUAUGUGAAGAAUGACCUGACAGUACGAGAAGAUAUCAAAGGUAUAAUUAUGCGCCCUAUUUGGCAAAGCUUCGGCCUUCGGAGGCCGAAGGUUGAAAUGAAUGAAGCUGCCGAAGAAUGCCAGAGAGCCUUCGGCGUUAUCUGUUCUUUUAUUGGAACUGAGAUUUAGUACAAGAGCAUAUUGCCUUCAGGGUAUGGCCGCUCGCGGAGAAAUGGGAAAUGCCGCAAGAAACCAUAAAAGAGGCCGACGAAGGUGGACUUAUCAGGCUGAAGUACAUUUUAAGUUCGGAGAUAAAUUCGUUGAGCCGAUGAUGACUGGUUAAAAAGCAUUGAAAAUUUAAGUGAUGAACUGCUUGGGGCUUAUUCGAAGGCCGAAGAUACUGCACUGUCAGCAGCCUUCGGAGGCCGAAAAAAAAGAGGCUGAAUCGGGUGUUUGAUGCAAUCGGGUUCGUCUACCCUGACUAUCGUUCCCCAUUCGAGGGCAGAAGAGAAAAACACAACCUCUGCAAAAGAAGAAGCUGCAACUGCUCCUAGCGAGCCAGACCGAAAAGAAAAAGGAUAAAGGUCCUCACACAUCGGCCGCGCUAUAUUGAACCAGCUUCGGUGCCCGAGUUCACCGGAGGGAAACUUCUUCGGCCACCGAGGCUGAAAAGCCAAUCAAAUCAACCUUGCUGCCAGAAGUUGCAGAAAUGGCCGAAGCGCCAACAAGGAUAGAAUUGAAAGAACCGAAGAUUUUGCUACCAGAAACCAAAGAGAUGGCCGAAGAGCCAUCCACAGAAAAAAUGGAGAAGUGAAAAACCAACUGAAGAAAAAACAUCAGAAGUUUUGAGUCCUGCAGCAAUAUGAGACAGUAAAAAAUCAAAAAGUGCCAGCAGUGACUCCGAAAAGAAGAGAAUGGCAUGUGCUGAUGUACUGGAAAAUUAAAUCUUCAAGCACACCUCCGAAGAAGACUGCAUUCCGAAGGAAACUGAAUUUCUAUUACUAAGUCCAGAGCAAGACUGACAGCGAGUGGGUCCUCGAGCCGCCGAGAUAAAUCCUUGGAACUGAGGAAGAAAAAUAACAGAGCCAACUUUGUUGAAGAAAUCGGUUCAUUGCCCCCGAAGCAUCCUCAAAGUCCGUGAUUAUAUUGUUCGUCAUGCUUCGGGGAAAAAACUAUCAGAAAAAGAAGAGCAAGAGGCCCAGCGCUACGCCCAAAAACUGAAGUAUCCAAAGGGGCGUUAAUAUUCAAUGGCAGUGGAGAAGAAGACUUUUUGUAUUGUCUCCCUGACAGCAAGGAGAUUUCUGUCUGUCGGGAGAUGAGCAAAAGCUUCGGAUUCCCAACACUAGAAGACGGGCUCUCGGUGCUGUCGAAGAACGAUCUGGCCGACAGCCUGGCAUAUAAUAGCUUAAAGGUGCAACAAUGGGAUCUUUGUAUUUUUUGUUGUGACCAAAAUUUUUCAUUUACUUAAAUCUAUUGACGCACACAUAUUUCUCUUUGCAGGGCCUGAUACUUAGCAUGCCCUCAGGCACAGAAAGAUGUGAGACGAAGGGUGCGCUUAGCCCUGGAGCAACCUUCGUUCCGAGUAUUGAACUGGGAACGAAGGUCUUGAAAAAGAUAAAAUAUUACAUUCAUUGAUAAAUAAAUAAGGAAGACGAAGCUGCUUUUAAAGGUAGCUGAGGUCAGAAGCGCGAAUUGAAGAUCUUCGGACAACUGCCAGAGCAAGGAAAGACGCAUACUUGAGAACAAGCGAAACUCAGCACAUGGGCGUCAUUAGAAGGAAUGUUGAAGAGCUUCGUUCGUCCAAAGAGAUGCUAUACAAAUCUAUAGAGUGUGUUAGAAGUUAAAGCUAGCUUGCCAGAGUCGGGCAUUUCAGGAAGAAAACUUCACAAGAGGCAAUCCCGAAGUCCAUCGAAUGGAUCGACCCGAAGCUAGCCUUCGAGGAAAUUUUAAUAGCGUGGAGUAUAUGUGCUUUCUCGGGUGCCAGAGGAAUUGCCACUAUUUUAGAGAAAAGGGCUGCGAACAUGUAAAAAUUUUAGGCAAUCCGAAGCUGCUUUGUCCUUUGAAGAUGCAAGAGAUCCUUCGGCUGAAGCUAGCAUGUGUUGGUGGAAAAUUUUACUGAUAUCUGGGAUAAUGGUGGCCGAGAAAUGGCCGGAGAAAUUAUUCGAAAAAGUGAAAAGGGCAUUCACGAUGCUAGAGAAGUGGCUGAGGCUGCUGAAAAAGCGCAGAGCCCGAAGGGAAAUAGUAUCAACUGAUGGUUUUAUUGUGUUGUAAUUUUCGAUUUUAAACUUCGUUCGCAAUUUGUAAUAGCAAUGUAGCCGUAUCCUGUCCUCCUUCAGAUCCUACAAAGCGUCUUCGGGACCUCCCCCGAAAGGAGACGACGAAUUAAAGAGAUGGCUGAAGCUAUCAUGGAUGAAGUUGUUAAUCGGCUCCUGAACGAGGCUGCAGAAGUCGUUUUGAGAGAAGAUUAAGUAUUAUUGUAAAAACCUCUGAAAUGUAAUAUAUUGUAACAUUUUGUAACCCUGAAUGUAAUAUACCUGUUUUUGUUGUUCAAUUCUUUACGAUGCAUGAAUUUUACACGUACCGUUUUUGAGUAUUUGACGAAAAAACACCUUCCCUUCUUUUCAUGCUUCGUGAAGAAGAAUUUUUCUUUGUCACAACAAUAUCCAGUGUUCUGAUGAAUAAUAUCCAGGCUUCGUGAAGAUAUUUUCCGAAGCUACACUUCCGAAGAUUAAUAAUGUGUCUCCUUGUGACAUCAUGAUUCUUCCCUUUUUCCAAAACGUUCUUCUGUAGAUCGAUAUUGUGUCCACCUCUUGUGCCAUUUGCAACAUGAUGUAUGAUGCUUAUGCUAUGCGAAAUGAUGCGAUGAUGUUAUGUUAUGUGAGGUAAUGUUUAUUCCGAAGAUACAUACGCAUCCCUGCAAUAAAACACAUAAUCUUUUAUAAGCCUCCCUUAGGAGCUUCUUCGCCUUUUACUUCAGCGGAAUCAGCGUUUAUUUUUCGCUGUAAGCCUCCUUAGGAGCUUCUUCGCUUUUACUUUCAGCGGUAUCCGCGUUGACUUUUCGCGCUUCGCCUUUUACUUAGCGGUAUCAGGUUGACUUUUCGUUGUAUGCUCUGCAUUCCCUUGGAACGACUUUGGAGCAGAAACUUACACUGCACUCCUUCUGGAGCGGCUUUUUGUGACUUCGGCAAACUUACUCUGCGUUCCUUAGAACGACUUUUUGUUGCUUCGAAGAAUUUUCGAUGAUUGAAGGUUCUCUUUGUUAUCACAAAUCUUUAAACUUCAAAACUUAGACCUGUGAAGAAAUAUUUUUCCUUGUGGCAAACAACGAAACUAUUUACAUGAAAUCUAACAAUGUUCUUUAUUACACAGAAAUAAGACUGAAUAAGAAGACUGCUAUUAGGUAGGAUAUUUGUCAAUAGAUGUGCUUUGACUCUGGCACAGUGUUGUUGACUGUACGAGCUUCGGACUGCUCUCUGAAGUCCCUUUGGUGUGGAGCAUACUGGCUCCCUUCUGGUGCUGGCCUUGUUGCAGCGGAGGUGGAGGCGGAGGCUGUUGCCAGGAGCUUGGGGUUGACUCGCCGAAGCACAGAAACUGCAGGGUGGUUGCCAUAUUUGGGAUGUAAGGCAAAUGAUACGAAGCAGUAUGCAUGACCUGCUUCGGCUGAGCUUGUUGUGCUGCGGCUUCGGCUAUUUCCUUUUGCUUUUGGAUGGUAACAUGGCACAUCCUGGUGGUAUGGCCUUUGUUCUCACCGCAAACAAGCAAAAGAUUCUUCUUGGUUGAUCUCCGAAUCUUCCGCCGAAGCCCCUGGCGCCUCUGCCUCUUGGGGCUGGUGGUCGGAAGGAGCCUUGCUGUUGCCCCGAAGCUUGUGAGGAACACUGUGGCCUUUGCUGUUGGCUCCCUCGAUCAUCAUUUUGGGUAGAGUUAUGAAUUGAUCUAACGUGCCUCGGAUAGAACCUUCCUCCGAAGCCCCUGGUCAUUUCAGAAAACCUGAAAGCCUCCUCCCUUCUUUGGCGAAAAUCAUUAUCGGCCCGAAUGUACUCGUCCAUCUUCUGGAGCAGCUUCUCCAAAGUUUGAGGAGGCUUCCUAGCGAAGUACUGAGCUGACGGUCCUGGCCGAAGCCCCUUGAUCAUGGCCUCAAUGACAAUUUCAUUGGGCACCGUUGGUGCCUGUGCCCUCAAACGCAAGAACCUCCGGACGUACGCCUGAAGGUAUUCUUUGUGAUCCUGGGUGCACUGGAAUAGAGCUUGAGCAGUGACCGGCUUCGUCUGAAACCCUUGAAAGCUAGUUAACAACAAGUCCUUCAGCUUCUGCCAUGAAGUAAUCGUUCCUGGUCGAAGGGAGGAAUACUAGGUUUGAGCAACACUCCUGACAGCCAUAACAAAAUAUUUGGCCAUGACUGCAGCAUUGCCACCAUACGAAGAUACUGUUGCUUCGUAGCUCAUCAAAAACUGCUUCGGGUCUGAGUGGCCAUCGAAUACGGGAAGCUGAGGCGGCUUGUAGGACGGAGGCCAAGGUGUGGCCUGCAGCUCAGCGGACAGAGGAGAAGCAUCAUCGAAAACAAAAUUCCCAUGAUGGAAAUUAUCAUACCAGUCAUCUUCGUUGAGGAAACCCUCCUGAUGAAGGUCUUGGUGCUGAGGCCUUCGGUGCUGCUCAUCCUGAGCAAGAUGACGAACUUCUUCAGAGGCUUCGUCUAUCUGCCUUUGCAGUUCAGCUAGCCUGGCCAUCUUUUCUUUCUUCCUCUGCACCUGUUGAUGAAGCAUCUCCAUGUCUCUGAUUUCUUGAUCUAUCUCGUCCUCUGGUGGUGUCGGGCUGACAGCCUUCCUUUUCUGGCUUCGGGCCUCCCGAAGGGAGACUGUCUCCUGAUUGUGGUCCAGCGGUUGCAGAGCUGCAGUCCCAGUCGCUGAAGCUUUCUUCGGCGCCAUAGCGAAGGUUUAUGAUCGCCGAAGGUGUUCAAAAAACUCAAAGAGUGGAAGUGAGUUCACCGGAGGUGGGCGCCAAUGUUGGGACUUGUUCUCAAAUGCUAUGAGUCAAGAACAAGGCAACAUAGAAAAUGUUAAUCGGUAAAGUCCUUCGUCCUUCGAAGCAUUAUUCCCCUUAGGAUAUAAUGGUUUUCGGACGAAGGUUAUGAAGGGCGUACCUUCAUAAUACAUUAUACAAUGACGAAGGAUGAAUUGUAAGGAAUAUAAAGGACAACAUAAACAAUUAUAUAUUACUAUUAUGUAUAAACAGAAAUAACGUUGGAUUACAAAUGUACCUUCAACUUGAAGGAGAUGAAAGUACAAGCGUGACGCAAAAGCGAAUGCCAAAUCAGCGUGAACAGUACGAGGGUACUGUUCACCUAUUUAUAGGCACGGGACACAGCCCAUACAAAUUACAUUCAUACCCUUUACAUUUGAUAAUAAUUCUAUAGUAGUCUAUCGAGGUCUGAAUAGCCUUUUCAUCUCUAAGUCGGUUUCAUUUUCUGCUACCACGCCGAAGCUUUCCUGCUCACAUCUUCGGUGCUGUAUCGACCUUCGUAUUAUUCUGGUCUUCUUCUGUCGCGAUACCGACUUGAGUCCGAAGAUACCUGCUCACACAUUAUACUCCGAAAUACUGUUAAAUCCUGUUUUUGAGGACCUUCGUAAGCCAAAGGCCCCAACAUUAUUUAUGCAUGUAAGAAAGCGAGAUACAUGAACGACUUGAAACAUUUUAAGGGUAAAAGCGACGUAGUUGUUCGAUGUUCCAAGCGUUGUUGUAGACCUCGCCUUGAUCGUUGGCCAGCUUGUAUGUCCCGGGCUUCAAAAUCCUGGCGAUGAUGAACGACCCUUCCCAGGGAGGAGUAAGCUUGUGGUGCCCUCGGGCGUCUUGUCACAGCCGAAGUACCAAGUCUCCCACUUGGAAGCCUCGGGGCCGAACCCUUCGGGCGUGUAGCGUCGCAGAGACUGCUGAUACCGCGUCGAGUGUAGUAAGGCCACGUCCCGAGCCUCUUCCAGCUGGUCCAAUGAAUCCACUCGGCUGGUCUGGUUGCUUUGGUCGUCGUAAGCCUUUGUCCUCGGGGAACCGUAUUCCAAAUCCGUGGGUAAGAUGGCCUCGGCCCCAUAGACUAGGAAAAACAGCGAGAAGCCCGUGGCCCGGCUCGACGUCGUCCUCAGACUCUAAACCACCGAGGGUAGUUCUUUUAUCCAUCGCUUGCCAAACCUGUUGAGGUCAUUGUAGAUCCUCGGUUUUAGUCCCUGCAAAAUCAUACCGUUGGCGCGCUCCACCUGCCCAUUUGUCAUUGGGUGAGCUACGACGGCCCAGUCCACACGGAUGUGGUGGUCUUCGCAGAAGUCUACGAACUUCUUCCCAGUGAACUGCGUGCCAUUGUCGGUGAUGAUGGAGUUUGGGACCCCAAAGUGAUGGAUGAUAUUUGUGAAGAACGCCACCGCCUGCUCGGACCCGAUGCUGGUUAAGGGUCGGACCUCGAUCCACUUGAAGAAUUUGUCGAUGGCGACCAGCAGGUGCUUGAAGCCCCCGGGUGCCUUCUGCAAGGGACCGACGAGGUCCAGACCCCAUACGGCAAACAACCAAGUGAUGGUAUUGUCUGCAGGGCUUGAGUAGGCAGGUGCGUCUGUCUCGCGUAGAAUUGACACCCUUGGCAGGAGCGUACAAUCCUAGUGGCAUCGGCCACCGCGGUCGGCCAGUAGAAACCUUGUCGGAAAGUGUUUCCCACGAGGGUUCGAGGUGCUGCAUGGUGACUGCAAGCCCCCGAGUGUAUUUCUUGUAACAGCUCUUGUCCUUGGGCGACAGAUAUGCAUCGUUGGAGAAUGCCUGAGGGGUUGCGGUGGUACAACUCUUUUCAUCACCCAGUAAAACGAACGACUUGGCGCGCCGAGCCAGUCUCCGAGCUUCGGCCUUGUCGAGGGCAACUCUCCUCGGAGGAGAUAUUCCAGGUACGGGGUCUGCCAAUUUUGGUUUGGCGCAACCCCAUUCCGCUUUCCCUUGAUGCACAAGGCCUCACCCUCGGCGGUCGAGGGUACCUCGGGCUGGGCCGAGGUCCCCUCGGGUUCGGGUGUGUCGUUGAUUUUGACGGAUGGUUGAUAUAUGUCCCUAGAGAAGACAUUCGGGGGAUCGUUCGCCCGAGGCUAUUUUAGCCAGCUCAUCCGCGGUCUCGUUGUACCGUCGAGCAACAUGGUUGAGUUCCAGCCCGUAGAACUUAUCUUCCAAGCGCCGAACUUCAUCGCAAUAGGCCUCCAUUUUCUGAUCGCGGCAGUGGGAGUUCUUCAUGACUUGGUCAAUGACAAGCUGCGAGUCGCCCCGAGCAUCGAGGCGCCGAACCCCUAGCUCGACGGCGAUGCGUAACCCAUUAACCAAAGCCUUGUACUCGGCCACAUUGUUUGACGUCGAAAAAUGGAGGUGUAGUACGUAGCGCACAUGUUUCUCGAGGGGUGAGAUGAAGAGCAAGCCAGCACCUGCUCCUAUUUUCAUCAGCGACCCAUCGAAGUACAUGGUCCAAAGUUUGGCCUGGAUUGGAGCUGUCGGCAAUUGGGUGUCGACCCAUUCAGCCAGGAAGUCCGCCAAGACUUGGGAUUUUAUGGCCUUCCGAGGGGCAAAUGAAAUUUUUUCGCCCAUGAGUUCCACUGCCCAUUUUGCUAUCCUACCCGUGGCCUCUCGACACUGGAUGAUCUCUCCCAGGGGGAAGGAUGACACCACAGUCACCGGAUGAGACUCGAAGUAGUGUCGCAAUUUUUGUCGUGUCAGAAUUACUGUGUACAGUAGCUUCUAGAUUUGUGGGUAGCAGAUCUUGGUCUCAAAUAGCACCUCGCUGAUGAAGUAGACCGACCUCUGGAUGAGCAGUGCAUACCCUUCUUCCCGUCUCUCGACUACGAUCGCAGCGCUGACCACCUGAGUGGUUGCGGCUACGUAAAUCAAGAGGGCUUCUCCCGCAGCGGGGGGCACCAAGAUGGGCGCAUUAGUAAGGAGUGUCUUUAAGUUUCCGAGGGCUUCCUCGACCUCGGGGGUCCAAGUGAAGCGCUCGGCCUUCCUCAAGAGGCGGUAUAAGGGCAAUCCUUUCUCGCCAAGGCGCGAGAUGAAGUGGCUCAGAGCCAUAAGGCAUCCCAUGACCCUUUGUACUCCUUUUAAAUCUUUGAUGGGUCCCAUGUUGGUGAUGCCUGCAAUUUUCUCUGGGUUGGCCUCGAUGCCUCGUUCGUGACGAUGAACCCAGGAGCAUGCCUCGGGGGACUCCGAAGACACACUUCUCGGGAUUGAGUUUUACGCCCUUUGCACGCAGGCACCCGAAAGCUACCUUGAGGUCGGAGAGGAGGUUGGAGGCUUUCCUUGUUUUGACGACGAUGUCAUCGACAUAAGCCUCGACCGUUCUGCCGAUGUGUUCUCCGAACACGUGGUUCAUGCACCUUUGGUAGGUUGCACCUGCAUUCCUCAAGCCAAAUGGCAUGGUAGUAUAACAAUACAUGCCAAAAGGUGUGAUAAAAGAAGUCGCGAGCUGGUCGGAUUUUCAUCUUGAUUUGGUGAUAGCCUGAAUAGGCAUCGAGGAAAGACAGGGUUUCGCACCCAGCAGUGGAGUCCACAAUUUGAUCGAUGCGAGGCAGAGGGUAGGGAACCUUUGGACAUGCUUUAUUUAACCCAGUGUAGUCUACGCACAUCCUCCAUUUCCCACCUUUUUUCUUUACAAGCACAGGGUUAGCUAGCCAUUCUAGAUGGAAUAACUUUUUGAUGAACCCUGCAGCCAUCAGCUUGUGGACCUCCUCGCCUAUGGCCCUACGCUUUUCUUCAUCAAAGCGGCGCAUGGGCUGCUUCACGGGUCGGGCACCGGCUCGGAUGUCCAGUGAGUGCUCGGUGACAUCCCUCGGUAUGCCGGGCAUGUCCGAGGGACUCCACACAAAAAAUUCGGUGUUUGCGCCGGAGAAAGUCGACGAGCACUGCUUCCUAUUUGGGGUCGAGCUCAGAGCUGAUCCUGACUUUCUUGCCGGCGUCGUUGCUGGGGUCGAGAGGGACAGACUUAACUGCCUCGACCGUUCGAAGUUGCCGGCGUGGCGCUUCGCAUCUAGCACCUCCUUGGAGAGGCAAUCUAGGUCGGCGAUGAGGGCCUCGGACUCGGCGAUGGCCUCAGCGUCCUCCACGCAUUCCACGUCGCACUCGUAAGCGUGGCGGUAAGUGGAUCCGAUGGUGAUGGUUCCGUUGGGGCCGGGCAUCUUGAGCUUGAGGUACGUGUAGUUGGGGACAACCAUGAACUUGGCGUAUCACGGUCUUCCCAGCACCGCGUGGUAGGUCCCUCGGAACCCGACCACCUCGAACGUGAGGGUUUCCUUUCAGAAGUUGGAGGGAGUUCCAAAGCAGACGGGCAAAUCGAGUUGCCCAAGGGGCAGGACGCGCUUACCGGGGACGAUCUCAUGAAAAGGUGCUGCACUGGCCCGGAUCGUGGACAGAUCGACCCCCAAGAGCCCUAGGGUCUCGACGUAGAUGAUGUUGAGGCUGCUGCCUCCGUCCAUGAGGACCUUGGUGAGCCUAGUGUUGCCGAUGACAGGGUCGAUGACGAGCGGGUACCUUCCUGGGCUCGGUACGCAGUCGGGGUGGUCGCCUUGGUCGAAGGUGAUGGGCUUGUCGGACCAGUCUAGGUAGACCGGCGCCGCUACCUUCAUCGAGCAGACCUCCCGGCGCUCCUGCUUGCGGUGCCGAGCCGAGGCGUUCGCCACCUGUCCGCCGUAGAUCAUGAAGCAGUUGUGGACCUCCGAGAACUCCUCUUCCUUGUCGCCCCCUUCUUGUUGUUGCCUUGGUCUUUGCCACCUUCUGCCGAGGGUCCAGCCUUGUUGAAGUAACAUCGGAACUUGUCACACUCCUCAAGGGUGUGCUUGACGGGACCCCUGUGAUAGGGGCACGACUCCUUGAGCAUCUUGUUGAACGUGUUGGCCCCUCCGGGAGGUUUUCGAGGGUUCCUAUGCUCAGCAGCAGCGACGAGAUCCGCGUCAACGGCGUCGCGUUUUGCUUGCACCUUGUUCUUGGCCUUCUUUUUCGUGCCACGCUGGACGGACGCCUCGGGGGCAUCUUCCUUCUGUCUUCCCUGAGGCUGCUUGUCAUUCUGGAAGAUGGCUUCAACCGUCUCCUGACCAGAGGCGAACUUGGUGGCUAUGUCCAUCAAUUCGCUCGCCUUGGUGGGAGUCUUGCGCCCUAGUUUGCUCACCAGGUCUCGACAAGUGGUGCUAGCGAGUAAUGCCCCGAUGACGUCUGAGUCGGUGAUGUUGGGUAGCUCGGUGCGCUGCUUUGAAAACCGCCGAAUGUACUCUCGCACUGGCUGCUGGCGGUAGCUUCGGAGAUCCCAUGAGUUCCUAGGGCGCACGUACGUACCUUGGAAAUUUCCAGCGAAGGCCUUGACCAGGUCGUCCCAGUCGGAGAUCUGCGCAGGAGGCAGAUGCUCCAGCCAGGCCCGGGCAGCGUCGGAGAGGAAAAGGGGGAGGUUGCGGAUGAUGAGGUUGUCAUCAUCCGUCCCUCCCAACUGGCAUGCCAGCCGGUAAUCCGCAAGCCACAACUCCGGCCUUGUCUCCCCUGAGUACUUGGUGAUGGUGGUCGGGGCUCGGAACCGGGCCGGGAAUGGUGCUCGUCGUAUGGCCCGACUGAAGACUCGCGGACCUGGCGGUUCGGGUGAGGGGCUCCGAUCCUCCUCACUGUCGUAGCGUCCUCCGCGCCUGGGGUGGUAGCCUCGGCGCACCCUUUUCUCGAGGUGGGCUCGACGGUCGCGGCGGUGUUGCUCACUGCCGAGGCGGUCCGGGGCUGCAGGCGUCCCGUCCCGUGUGCGCUCGGUGCGGACCGAGGCCUCCCGCAUGCGUCGGGAGGAUGUUGCGCGAUGCUCCGAGGGCACCCUCGCCUUCGGGAGGCGGAGCUCUCGGCUUGUCGGACAGCGGCGUCUUCUAGGAGGCCCUUGAGCUCGCCCUGGAUAUGUCGCCCCUCGGUGGUGGAUGGCUCCGCCAUUGUUCGGAGUAGCAUCGCUGAUGCAGCCAGGUUCUGACCGGCCCCGCUGAAAGCCGGGGGCAGCCCCGCCCUAGCAUUGUCGACGAUGUGGUGCUGGACGUCCCGGGCCCGAUGACGCGCUCCUCCGGCGAGUGCCCGGCCUGCCCAGUCCUGCUCAAUGUUUUGUCGGAGCUGCACAAGCCGCCCCGCUUCUUCGCCGAGCUUGGCCUGCAUCUCGCGAAGUUGCUCAAGCUGUGUGUCCUGACCCCCUGCAAGGACUGGGACCACAGCUAGCUCCCGCGGGAUCUCAACGCGAGACGCAGGCACAAGGGCGUCGUCAUCUUCUGGCAUACCGAGGUGGUUGUCUUCGCCAUGAUCCCCCUGAUCGAUGUGGAAACACUCGCGACUUGGGCCAUAACCCUCGUCGUCGAGGCUGUGGUCAUCGUCGGAGCAGCCGGAGAGGCAGUAGUCACAUGCGGACAUGAAGUCUCGCAUGGCGCUGGGAUCACGGAGUCCGGAGAAAUCCCAACCGAAGUCGGGGUCGUCGUCUUCCUCGGAACCCGCGGGUUCGGAGGUUGAGACGGCCGUCAGUCGGUCCUAAGAUGACCACAUAUGAUACCCUGGAAGGUCAGGAUACGCCCUUGCGAAAGCGCUCACCGAAGCGGGGUCACUUGGUGGAUCGAAGCUGAAUCUAAAAGGGACAGGGUGGAAAACGGACGGUACCUCUUGGUGGAGUCGCGUCAGGGACGGAAUGCACAGUUAUCUCAGGUACGAGGCUAACGCCCAGCAAGUCCUUCGUGAGGGUGCUAGCGUCAUCAAUCCACUUGGGGUUGGCACGUUGCGGGGAAGCGACACCCCUCAUUGUCUCAGGUGCGAGGAUGAGAGCACCUAGAGGGGGGGUGAAUAGGUGAUCCUGUAAAAACUUAAAACUUAAAGCCACAAAACUUGAUUAGGCGUUAGCACAGUUUAUGCCAAGUGGCUAGAGAGAACUCAAAACACGAUAACCACAAGAAAGCAAUCACAGAGUUGACACGGUGGUUAUCCCGUGGUUCGGCCAAGUACAAAACUUGCCUACUCCAUGUUGUGGCGUCCCAACGGACGAGAGUUGCACUCAACUCCUCUCAAGUGAUCCAAUGAUCAACUUGAAUACCACGGUGUUUUUCUUUCCUUUGAUCUUUUCCCGUUUGCGAGGAAUCUCCACAACUUGGAGUCUCUCGCCCUUACAAUUGAGUUCACAAAGAAAUACGGAGUAAGGUGGGAAUGAGCAACGCACACAAGACUCGAAAAUCAGAGCAACAACACGCACACAAGUCGCAACAAGAGCUCGCAAUGCAACACAAAGAGUUCACAACUCCACAAGAGCUCUAUAUGCUAUCACAGUGAAACGAAUGCGUGAGAUUGAUGUCUUGGUGCUUAGAAGAGUUGUAGGAAUGCUUGGUGUUCUCCUCCAUGCGCCUAGGGGUCCCUUUUAUAGCCCCAAGGCAGCUAGGAGCCGUUGAGAACAAAUCCAGAAGGCUAUCCUUGCCUUCUGUCGUCGGGCGCACCGGACAGUCCGGUGCACACCGGACACUGUCCGGUGCCCGAUUUCUUUCCUUAAUAGGCGCAGCCGACCGUUGCCGACCGUUGCAGAUCUGGCGCACCGGACAGUCCGGUGCACACCGGACAGUCCGGUGCUUCCUUCCGACCGUUGGCUCGGCCACGUGUCGCGCGCCGAUCGCGCGGCCGACCGUUGGCCCGGCCGACCGUUGGCUCACCGGACAGUCCGGUGCACACCGGACAGUCCGGUGAAUUUUAGCCGAAGUCGCCGGAGAAAAACCCGAGAGCAGCCUCUUCGGCCGAGGCAGCCUGGCGCACCGGACACUGUCCGGUGCACCACCGGACAGUCCGGUGCCCCAGACCGAAACAGCCCCUUGGCUGUACACAGCCAAGUCUUCUCUUCUCUUCUUCUUUCUGUUUCUAACACUUAGACAAGAUAUUAGUACACAAAACCAAUGUACUAAGGCUUAGAAACAUACCUUUACUUGUGAUUUGCACUUUGUUCAACCAUGGGCAUAUUCUCACUUUUAAGCACUUGUGUUUGCACUCAAUCACCAAAAUACUUAGAAAUGGCCCAAGGGCACAUUUCCCUUUCAAUCUCCCCCUUUUUGGUGAUUUAUGCCAACACAACAUAAAGCAAAUAGAACAAGUGCAAAAUCACUUCAAAUAAAAACUCAAAUUGGUUUUGAUUCAAUUUUGGCAUAUAUGGAUCAUCCUUUGCCACCACUUGGUUUGUUUUUGCAAAUCAAACUCAAAUCUCUAUCUCUAAGUCAAACACACAUGUUGAAGCGUAAAGAGAGUCAUUCCAAACGAGAUUGAUCAAAGAUUUCAAAAACUCCCCCUAAAUCCCAUACCUAAAUCCCAUAAUCAAUACUUCUCCCCACAAGAAGCCAACUUUUCACAAAAGAGACAAUAAGAGACGAAAGCUUUUGACAAAACAAAAACUCUAUUCUACUAUUUUCAAAAUCUCUCAAGUGGUAGCUGAUCCAUUUAUCACUUUGGCCUUUAUUUUCUCCCCCUUUGGCAUCAAGCACCAAAACGGGAUCAAUCUUGGCCUAUAUAACCCCAUUGCCUCACCAAAAUCUUCAAUUAAGAGCAAAUGGCAAUAAGAGUUCAUGAGAUGGACUUGGAAUAAGUUACCCUCUCAUCGGAGUGCAGUGGAAGUCUUUCAUGGUCCAAGUCCACCUUUUCCCUUUCAAGCCUCCUUUGAGACUAAAUCAUCAAACUCAAACACAUGGUUAGUCUCAAAGGGUCAAGUUGUAACACAUCUCCCCCUUAACAUGUGCAUCACUUUGCAACAGACUUGUGAGGUCCAGGGAGUGUUUGUACAACUUGAGCACCACAAUAAGCAACAAAAUGCAAAAAGGAACAUGAUCAAAAGCAUAAAUACAUGUAUGCUACAAUUCAAUCCAGGUUCCGCGAAUCUAAGACAUUUAGCUCACUACGCAACCUGCAAAAGGUCUUCUCAUCUAGAGGCUUAGUGAAGAUAUCGGCUAGCUGGUUCUCGGUGCUAACAUGAAACACUUCGAUAUCUCCCUUUUGCUGGUGGUCUCUCAAAAAGUGAUGCCGGAUGUCUAUGUGCUUUGUGCGGCUGUGCUCAACAGGAUUCUCCGCCAUGCGGAUAGCACUCUCAUUAUCACAUAGGAGUGGGACUUUGCUCAGAUUGUAGCCAAAGUCCCUGAGGGUUUGCCUCAUCCAAAGUAGUUGCGCGCAACACUGUCCUGCGGCAACGUACUCGGCCUCAGCGGUGGAUAGGGCAACGGAAGUUUGUUUCUUAGAAUUCCAUGACACAAGGGACCUUCCUAAGAAUUGGCACGUCCCCGAUGUACUCUUCCUAUCGACCUUACAUCCAGCAUAGUCGGAGUCUGAGUAUCCAACCAAGUCAAAGGUAGACCCCUUUGGAUACCAGAGCCCGAAGCAAGGCGUAGCAACUAAAUAUCUAAGAAUCCGCUUCACCGCCACUAAGUGACACUCCUUAGGAUCGGAUUGAAAUCUAGCACACAUGCAUACGCUAAGCAUAAUAUCCGGUCUACUAGCACAUAAGUAAAGUAAUGACCCUAUCAUUGACCGGUAUGCUUUUUGAUCAACGGACUUACCUCCUUUGUUGAGGUCGGUGUGUCCGUCGGUCCCCAUCGGAGUCUUUGCGGGCUUGGCGUCCUUCAUCCCAAACCGCUUUAGCAGAUCUUGCGUGUACUUCGUUUGGGAGAUGAAGGUGCCGUCCUUGAGUUGCUUCACUUGGAACCCAAGGAAGUAGUUCAACUCGCCCAUCAUCGACAUCUCGAAUUUUUGCGUCAUCACCCUGCUAAACUCUUCACAAGACUUUUGGUUAGUAGAACCAAAUAUUAUGUCAUCGACAUAAAUUUGGCACACGAACAAAUCACCAUCACAUGUCUUAGUGAAAAGAGUUGGAUCGGCUUUCCCAACCUUGAAAGCAUUAGCAAUUAAGAAAUCUCUAAGGCAUUCAUACCAUGCUCUUGGGGCUUGCUUAAGUCCAUAGAGCGCCUUAGAGAGCUUACACACGUGGUCGGGGUACCGUUCAUCCUCGAAGCCAGGGGGUUGCUCCACGUACACCUCCUCCUUGAUUGGCCCGUUGAGGAAAGCGCUCUUCACAUCCAUUUGGUACAACCUGAAAGAAUGGUGAGCGGCAUAUGCUAGCAAGAUUCGAAUUGACUCUAGCCUAGCCACAGGAGCAAAAGUCUCCUCAAAAUCCAAACCUGCGACUUGGGCAUAACCUUUUGCCACAAGUCGAGCCUUGUUUCUCGUCACCACCCCGUGCUCGUCCUGUUUGUUGCGGAACACCCACUUGGUUCCCACAACAUUUUGCUUCGGACGAGGCACCAGCGUCCAAACUUCAUUUCUCUUGAAGUUGUUGAGCUCCUCCUGCAUGGCCAACACCCAGUCCGGAUCUAGCAAGGCCUCCUCUACCCUGAAAGGCUCAAUAGAAGAGACAAAAGAGUAAUGCUCACAAAAAUUAACUAAUCGAGAACGAGUAGUUACUCCCUUGCUGAUGUCACCCAGAAUUUGGUCGACGGGAUGAUCCCUUUGAAUCAUCGCUCGAACUUGGGUUGGAGGUGCCUGAGGUGCUUCUUCCUCUUCAACUUGAACAUCCUGUGCUCCCCCUUGAUCAUGCGCCUCCACUUGAGGUACCUGUUCGUUAUCUUGGGUUGGGGGAUGCACCAUAGUUGAGGAAGACGGUUGAUCUUGCUCCAAGUGUUCCUGAGGCCGUACAUCUCCAAUCACCAUGGUGCGUAUUGCGGCCGUUGGAACGUCUUCUUCAUCGGUUAGUAACUCAUACGACGUCUUCUUGAGGAGGCGAUGAAGGUAGACCCUGUUGAUGGCGUGGCAAGCCGUGUUCACGGCUUCCGUCCAAAAGCACUCGGGGGUCUUGAACUCUCCUAGCAUCGUCCUCGCCAUAUCGAUGAGCGUCCUGUUCUUCCUCUCUACCACACCAUUUUGCUGUGGUGUGUAGGGAGCGGAGAACUCAUGCUUGAUCCCUUCUUCUUCAAGGAAUUCCUCCACUUGAAGAUUCUUGAACUCGGACCCGUUGUCGCUCCUUAUCUUCUUCACUUUGAGCUCAAACUCAUUUUGAGCUCUCCUGAGGAAGCGUUUGAGGGUCACUUGGGUUUCGGACUUUUCCUGCAAAAAGAACACCCAAGUGAAGCGGGAAAAGUCAUCAACAAUAACUAAACCAUACUUACUUCCUCCUAUGCUCAGAUAGGCGACGGGUCCAAAAAGGUCCAUAUGCAGCAUCUCCAAGGGUCUUGAUGUCGUCAUCACAUUUUUGGUGUGAUGAGAGCCUCCCACCUGUUUCCCUGCUUGACAAGCUGCACAAGGUCUAUCUUUUUCGAAUUGAACAUUAGUUAGACCUAUCACAUGUUCUCCCUUUAGAAGCUUGUGGAGGUUCUUCAUCCCCACAUGUGCUAAGCGGCGGUGCCACAGCCAGCCCAUGCUAGUCUUAGCAAUUAAGCAUGCAUCUAGACCGGCCUCCUCUUUUGCAAAAUCAACUAAGUAAAGUUUGCCGUCUAAUACACCCUUAAAAGCUAGUGAACCAUCACUUCUUCUAAAGACAGACACAUCUACAUUUGUGAAUAGACAGUUAUACCCCAUGUUGCAUAAUUGACUGACAGAUAGCAAAUUAUAACCAAGAGACUCUACUAAAAACACAUUAGAUAUAGAGUGCUCAUUAGAAAUUGCAAUUUUACCUAGCCCUUUUACCUUGCCUUGAUUCCCAUCACCGAAUAUAAUUGAAUCUUGGGAAUCCUUAUUCUUGACGUAGGAGGUGAACAUCUUCUUCUCCCCCGUCAUAUGGUUUGUGCAUCCCCUGUCUAUAAUCCAGCUUGAACCCCCGGAUGCAUAAACCUGCAAGGCAAAUUUAGGCUUGGGUUUUAGGUACCCAACUCAUGUUGGGUCCUGCAAGGUUAGCACAAAUAUCCUUAGGGACCCAAAUGCAAGUUUUGUCUCCCUUGCAUCUUGCCCCUAACUUCCUAGCAAUUACCUUUUUACCCUUUCUACAAAUAGCAAAGGGAGCAUUGCAGGCAUAAUAAAUGGUAGAAGGUUCAUUUGCUACUUUCCUAGGAGCAUGAAUAACAUUCUUUUUAGGAACAACAUUUUUCCUAGUAACAUUUCUAUCAUACACAUAUGAAGAACUAGGAGCAAACAUGGCAUGAGAAUCAUAAACAUGUGAAUCAUUACAAGCAUUUCUAGCAUGUCUCCUAUCAUGGUACAUGAAAGCAUGAUUCUUCUUAACACUAUUAGCCAUAGGAGCCUUCCCUUUCUCCUUGGUGGAGAUAGGAGUCUUAUGGCUUGUUAAGUUCUUGGCUUCCCUCUUGAAGCCAAGCCCAUCCUUAAUUGAGGGGUGUCUACCAACCGUGUAGGCAUCCCUAGCAAAUUUUAGUUUAUCAAAAUUACUCUUGCUAGUCUUAAGUUGAGCAUUAAGACUGAAGCGUCCCCAAUCCUCUGGGACUCAAAUGUGAUACAAUUACUAGUCCCAGGAGGCUAGUAAACACAUUUAUACAUCAGAUGAUACCAAAUCUGCUUAAACGAGACAAACCUACAAAGGUGGCGAACAACUUUAAGAGUUGGUCCACAACUCGGGACAUAUCAUCAGAGUGGGGCUGAAGCAGCCCGAUAUACGCAGCGAAGCAAUUCAGCGGUCCAACAACCACAGGCAAGGUUGGGAACAGUCGUAACUCUUACCCGAUCUCCUUUUUCUGAAAAAACAACAAAUAAGCAAGGGUGAGUACAAACGUACUCAGCAGCCCACCUUCACCCGCGGAAUGGGGAAAUCAGAUAUAAUGCAUGGAAUAUGUAGAGCUCAGGAUAUUUGCAGAAACAGCAAUAUUUUAUGCAGGGUUGUUUUGAAAAACAUUUUGUAUUUUGCAAAGUGCAUCCUCUCCAAAAGGAGCAGGAAGUUUUUCAGUAUUAUAACAAAAUCCCCUGGACUAAACCAUCCAGGUAUCUCAGCAGUUUCCCACUGGUUUUCCUUUUCAAAAACAGCUACUGGACUUCCCGUCCACCAUAGCUCACGGCUCAACCGCCGAACCUUUUUAAAAACCACUUUUCUCAAAACCAUCUCUUUUUUUGGAAAACAAAACAUUAAUUGCCAUACCAUACCAGACUCGUCCAUUCCUGUGGACACGGACUAUUCGAAUAGGUUUUCAAACUCUGCGCAGAGGUGUACACUUUACCCACUAGUCCGGCUCUGCGAUCUCAUAGCUAGUGAGACCCGAAUCCGAAUCUCUUUCUUUCCCCGCACGUCCUAACCUUAACGGUUAUCCGGAAGGAGUCAGGCCACCGCCAUGUCCAAACCGGACAAAACUUUCCCCCUCCUUAUCCUCCCGGUGCUCCCCAGCCUUCAUAACCCUAGGGUUGGACCGUACGAGUUCAGAUUGAGUGACUGCCCACACAGUCUCGAGUGGUUGUACUAUUAAAGAGUACAGGUAGAGAAGAUGACAAACCGGUCCUUAUACGAGGGGACAAUCCUUCUGCUCACGCCUAAACCAGCUGAGCCAUCACCUUAGGCCCUCCCCUAAACCAGGGAGUCCCUGAUUAUCCCACUCACAAGGUGAUAAGGGUGAAAACCCUUCAUCAUACACAUUUUGAAAAGCAUUUUCUUUUGAAAACUCACACCCUUUUCUCAAAUCAUUUGUAACAAAUAUAUUAAGGAUUGAUUGCGGCAAGCGGCUUGGGUGGCCAUAAUAACUUGUCUCAAAAUCAUAUCAUGCAUAAAAUAACAGGCUGAGGGUUGUGGUUGAAAGACAUAGGUAAUUUAUGCAUCAAAGGGAUCCAGUGAGCUUGCCGUGCUUAUUUGGCGAAGAGGGAAGGGGAGCUCGCGGAACUGGCUUCUGGCUCCACUGCCUGGCGUAGACUUGCAGAUCUGGCCUCCACGAGACGGCACGAACGCUCCGAUAACUAUGCAACAUGAACAAGCAACAUACAAACCAACAAGUAUAGCAACAAAUAUUUAGUAUAGUGGUCAGAAUAGCGAUAUAUGGAUGGGUAGAGUCUUGAGUAGAAUCUGUGUCAUGUGGUGUUGAGAUACUACUAGUGGUGGAGCGGAGGUGCUUACCAGGAGGGUGGACUGAAGGCGAAGCGACACUACGCGUGUAGUCGGCAGAGCGGAGUAACUGAGUGGGUGGGAGUUUUCCUUGGCUGAGGGUGUGGAGUGUGUGUGGAGAGGGAGAGGGUAGCUGGGUGUAUUUAUAGCUGGGUGUAUGUGGUGUAGCACAGUAAAGUUCACUGUAGGUGAGAAUAGUGACGAAUGAAUCGUCUGACUUAGUAUGAACAGGAGAGUCAUAUGCAGAAUAUGGGACGAGAGUAUUUUGGGAGUCUUCUGGAACAUGAACCAUGCUUAAGGGAUGACAUGGUUGGAUAGGGAAUAGUUUGAUAAGAAUUUAGAAACGAGAAUUAUUGGAAUCUGAGUUUGGGAGCCUGGUUCGAAGGAAUCUCAAAGUUAAGCGUGCUCAACUUGGAGAAACCUGAGAUGGGUGACCAGAUGGGAAGUUCCCUACUGGAAGAAAAAUCACAGUCACCGGAGUUCGUAUGACUGGAAUAUGGGUCUGGCUGGUCUUAGGUGGACUGGACAACAUGAUGUACGAGUAGUUGAAAUUUGGGAUGACUAGAUGACCGAUGAAUAGUAACGAUGAAUAGUGGCGAUGGAAAAGAAAUUAUAGAUAUCAUCGAUGAAUAGUAACGAUGAUGAAUAGUAAUGGUAAAUAGUAACGAUGAUGAAUAGUGUAUGUGAAUAGUAACGAUGAAUAGUAAUGGUGAAUAGUAAUGGUGAAUAGUGAUAGUGAAUAGUUCGUAUGAACGAACGAUGAACGAUGAAUAGGAACUAUGAACGAACGGACGAACGAACGAUCGGAAUUUCGGCAGCAUAACGGCAGGAAAAGAUUAUUUGGACGAACGAACGAACGAACGAUCGAAUGAUCGUACGAACGAACGAUCGGAAUUUCGGCAGCAUAACGGCAGGACAAAGAUUAUCUGGAAGAACGAUGAAUAGGGACUAUGAACGAACGAUGAAUCGAUGAAUAGGGACUAUGAACGAACGAUGAACGAUCGAAUGAUCGAACGAACGAACGAUCGGAAUUUCGGCAGCAUAACGGUAGGAAAAAGAUUAUUUGGACGAACGAACGGACGAACGAUCGAACGAUCGGACGAACGGACGAACGAACCAUGAACGAUCAAACGAACGAUCGAACGAUCGGACGAACGAACGAACAAACUAAGAACAGGGGACGAACGAUCGAAGAACGAUCGAACGAUCCUUGUGCUAGUGUGUGCUUGUGUGAAACAUGGAGUGGGUGUAUGUGUGGGGGGGGAAGAGAGUUGCCAUGAAAUGGCUUGGGGUGGGAUGAGAGGAGGCCCUUGCCCCUCUAUUUAUAGCCAUGGUGGGGGGAUUAGGGGGAGGGAUGAGAGGAUUAGUGGGAGGAUGAGAGGAUUAGUGGGAGGAUGAGAGGAUUAGUGGGAUAUUAGCAUGUAUUUGUCUUGUAUAAGUGAGAUUAGCUUGUAGAGCUCAUCGUAUGACACUGGAGGCAUACGUAUACGUAUGAGCACAAGGAAAGUUAUGAAGCAAAUAUUUAUAGGGACUUGAAAAUGAUUCUGAAGGUAUUUCUCAGGAGGAAAAUAUCUGGAGAUAUAUCGAUGGAAUAUUUGGGCAGUAUUUCUGGAAAGAACUUGAAGCGGAUUACUCGGGAAAUAUCUGGGCGGUAUUUCUGGAAAGAAUUUGAGGGGGAUCACUGGGGAAAUAUUUGUAGGAUAUUUUGAGGAGGAUUUUAGAGAGAAUAUAGACCACUAUAAUUUAUUUGUUGAUAUCAACUCGCAAACAAACAUUUUGAAAUGAAAUUUGAAAUUCAUUUUGAAUUUAGGGCGAGUUUGAGAAAAUUUCAGAAUUUGAAUUUUUGGGAUGCUACAAAUCUACCCCACUUAAAAGGAAUCUCGUCCUCGAGAUUCGGUUUAGAAGGGUUAUGAGUAUAGCUUUACUUCAGCUACAUAUCUUCACUUUGCUGACUCUUCGAGGAGAUGGAACUUCAACAAAAUCUGGCCUUUGAGGGGCAUCCGGUUGCUGAUUGCAAACGCUGGUUCUGGCUACUCAAGAAUCAUCUUCAGGCUACUAGCUUUUGCUUGGCAGCUUGCUUAUUGAAGAAGCAUCGAUGCCAACACACAAACCUUUCUCUUGCGAACUCCCUCAUGGAUUCCUUCCUUGAUUAGUCUUCUGGUGCUUCAUCAACAAAACUUGGGUGACCACUUCUCAUCCAGAAACUUAUAUGCUUUGAUGAUCUGGUCCUCCACAAGCUUGCUACAGACCUUCUUCUUUUUCUCCAUAGCAGGAACCUUGCUGGAACACUACCCCACUUAAAAAGAAAGAGGGUAGAACUCUUGAAUCUUGGGGAUUUGAACUCCUUGAAGUACCUCAUAACAAAGGUGUUACGGGGCCUUCUUCUGCUGUUGCUGCUUGAGCAGGCUGCGGAGAAAUGACUGACACAGGGUUGAUUCUGGGACAACCUUCUUCUCAUCUUCUCUUCACUAUCUUCUUUUCUCUUCUCACUUUUCACUUUUCACUGUCUCUUUCUUUCUCUUUGCUCUUCCCACUCGAGGAUUCUAUCAAAGAGUAUUACCAUCAUACAGAGGAGGAAACCGAAGAUGUUGAACCAUAUACAACAGUCUUCAACCCAAGAAUCACCAAGCAUUGUGAUCUUAGGGGCGAGGGAGUGGAAAAAUGGAGUUGCUUGCGAUUUGGCAGAGGGGAUUUAUCUGGAGUGUGCUUUUGCUUUGAGCGAGAUGGGAGUUGAGGGAGAUGGUGGGGGGGGGGGGGUUUAUAGGCGAGCGGGGGUGUUCGGUUGCGGAGCAGUGGUGAUGGAGUAGGUGCUACGCGGCAGCGGGUGCGAUAAGGGGAGGGGGGCCUGGUGUUGCUAGCGAUGAUGGUGGCGGUGGGUGUGCUGCAAAGGUGGCGUGGGCGGCGGUGGUAGUGCGCUGCAAAGGGGGGCGUGGGGCGGUGGUAGUGCGCAUGGAGGCGGGCACGCGUGGGGGGGGGCACGGGUGAGUGGUGGGGUCGAUGACCCUGAUGUUUGUGGUCUCUGGUUCCAAGAAUCUUUGCCUCUGUGUAUGGUAAUAACUCCUUCUGUCCUCUUUUCCUGUUUACUUUGACUCAGGGGCAGUGCUUUGAUUCUCACGGUCGGUCCUUUUGACUGAGCGGCUGGACUGGCUUCUUCUGUAGCUUGUUCCAGGCUUCAAGGGUAAGCUUCCCGGUAUCUUCUUGGGUAAGACACUUUUCUCUUGAGAUGGGUUAAGAUGAGAAUGGAAGCAUAAGGUGAGGAUUAGAUCUAAUUUGUGAUCUAUGUUUUUUAGAGAAAACCUUUCUUAAAAAAACACACAAGCUCAGCAAUGAUAAGCACAAACAAAUCGAAUGUUUUGAAUAAGGGAAGAAUAGAGUUUUUCCAAAGCACGGACUACUCAGAUUCGGGGGCUAAGCAUAACUACUAUUGCUUGGCUCCUGAAUUGAGAACUAUGCUAAAUGCAACUUAUGAGCACUAACGUUAAAGCAUCACAUAUGCACUCAAAAGGGAGGAAAACAUCAAGCGAAAUUCAUUUUGAAAUGCCCUAGGGGGCAACACAAAUAGAGUUUUUCAAAGCACGGGACUACACGAUUAACUCUCAUACAUGCAGGGCUCUAGCCAAAGUGAAGAAAAACUUCACUACCCAAUGCAUGCAGAGGACUGGGCAUACUAACUUCAGACCGGACAACUUCUCUUCUGGCAGGGCUGGCACACAACUUCAAUCUGAGACAUCUCCUGGAUGGGUCAAUAGGGAGCUGAUGUUGAUGACUUCUUCUGGCAGCGACUGAGAUGGCAGCACGGGGUCGAACUCUUCUUCAAGCGGGACUGGCUCUUGUAGCUCCUCAGAGGGCGGUGGUGCUGGCGGGGUGCUUGCAGCUUCUUCUUUGACCUCAAGGGAGGGUGCUGGAAUCUUCUUCAUGGCGAGGGGCUCAAACAACUCUGGCGGGGGAUCUUGGGAGGAUUCAGGGUGCUCUUGCUUAUCCAUAGCCUUAGGGGAGACUGGAAUUCCUUCCAAGACUAUGGCUCCUUCUGGUAGUUCCCAAGCCUUCUUUUCUCCUCUGGUAGAGACCGGGUGACCUUCAAGAAUCUGGGGGUCUUCAGCUCUCCUGGGUUGAACUGGGUUGGAUGGAGCGGGCUCUUGGAUCCGUAGGGCUCUACGUUGGUUAUGGGUUACCAAGUAGGCCUCCAUCAACUUCUGGACGUGCUCAUCCUUGGCUUGCUUCAGGGCUUCAACAGCAAUGACUUCACGACUCUCCAAGGCAGUUGCACGAGCUUGAGUUGUGGUGAGAUCCACAUGCAGCUGACGGUUGCGCUUCUCUGCAUCUUCUGCUCGGGCAAUCAUCUGACGGUGGUGCCGAGCCAAGAAAUCAUAUUGUGCAUCCAGGGUGAGCAGGUAUGCAGUGAGGUACACGACUGUGGGGUCAUCCUCAAGCAGUUGCUGCCCUUCCAAUGCACGCAUCCUGGCCAUCCAAGCGGGACGGUCUCUCUGAAAGGGCGGAAAGAAUCUGAGCGGGGUGUCGGCCACUUCUUCUUCAUAGAUCUGACACAGGGCCCUCAAUGCCUUGCGAGCGACGACUUGGCAGGUGUCUUUGAAUCUGUGCCCAGCAGCAGUGACACUCCAUUCCACAUGGUGUGGACUGGAUCCAAUGUAUACAGUCACGACACACUUCUCUGUGCCAUGCUCGACGAACUCACGACCAUCAUACUCUGGCUGGCUCCUGAUUCCGAGGCAGACUGUGCAUGCUCUCAGCAACUUGGGGAAACCAUCUUCAUUCUGGCAGAAGCUGGUUUGGCACUGAACCUCCAUCUGACUUCUGAGAGAAGGAAAGGGGGAAAACAUUUUUGAAAUGAAGGGAUGAGAGCAAGAAUUUUUUUAAGAAAAUAGUUUGGACUCAAAAACUUUUGAUCAGGCUAAGGGUUACGUCCUGCGGCCAACCUAACAGCUCUGAUACCACCUGAAGCGUCCCCAAUCCUCUGGGACUCAAAUGUGAUACAAUUACUAGUCCCAGGAGGCUAGUAAACACAUUUAUACAUCAGAUGAUACCAAAUCUGCUUAAACGAGACAAACCUACAAAGGUGGCGAACAACUUUAAGAGUUGGUCCACAACUCGGGACAUAUCAUCAGAGUGGGGCUGAAGCAGCCCGAUAUACGCAGCGAAGCAAUUCAGCGGUCCAACAGCCACAGGCAAGGUUGGGAACAGUCGUAACUCUUACCCGAUCUCCUUUUUCUGAAAAAACAACAAAUAAGCAAGGGUGAGUACAAACGUACUCAGCAGCCCACCUUCACCCGCGGAAUGGGGAAAUCAGAUAUAAUGCAUGGAAUAUGUAGAGCUCAGGAUAUUUGCAGAAACAACAAUAUUUUAUGCAGGGUUGUUUUGAAAAACAUUUUGUAUUUUGCAAAGUGCAUCCUCUCCAAAAGGAGCAGGAAGUUUUUCAGUAUUAUAACAAAAUCCCCUGGACUAAACCAUCCAGGUAUCUCAGCAGUUUCCCACUGGUUUUCCUUUUCAAAAACAGCUACUGGACUUCCCGUCCACCAUAGCUCACGGCUCAACCGCCGAACCUUUUUAAAAACCACUUUUCUCAAAACCAUCUCUUUUUUUGGAAAACAAAACAUUAAUUGCCAUACCAUACCAGACUCGUCCAUUCCUGUGGACACGGACUAUUCGAAUAGGUUUUCAAACUCUGCGCAGAGGUGUACACUUUACCCACUAGUCCGGCUCUGCGAUCUCAUAGCUAGUGAGACCCGAAUCCGAAUCUCUUUCUUUCCCCGCACGUCCUAACCUUAACGGUUAUCCGGAAGGAGUCAGGCCACCGCCAUGUCCAAACCGGACAAAACUUUCCCCCUCCUUAUCCUCCCGGUGCUCCCCAGCCUUCAUAACCCUAGGGUUGGACCGUACGAGUUCAGAUUGAGUGACUGCCCACACAGUCUCGAGUGGUUGUACUAUUAAAGAGUACAGGUAGAGAAGAUGACAAACCGGUCCUUAUACGAGGGGACAAUCCUUCUGCUCACGCCUAAACCAGCUGAGCCAUCACCUUAGGCCCUCCCCUAAACCAGGGAGUCCCUGAUUAUCCCACUCACAAGGUGAUAAGGGUGAAAACCCUUCAUCAUACACAUUUUGAAAAGCAUUUUCUUUUGAAAACUCACACCCUUUUCUCAAAUCAUUUGUAACAAAUAUAUUAAGGAUUGAUUGCGGCAAGCGGCUUGGGUGGCCAUAAUAACUUGUCUCAAAAUCAUAUCAUGCAUAAAAUAACAGGCUGAGGGUUGUGGUUGAAAGACAUAGGUAAUUUAUGCAUCAAAGGGAUCCAGUGAGCUUGCCGUGCUUAUUCGGCGAAGAGGGAAGGGGAGCUCGCGGAACUGGCUUCUGGCUCCACUGCCUGGCGUAGACUUGCAGAUCUGGCCUCCACGAGACGGCACGAACGCUCCGAUAACUAUGCAACAUGAACAAGCAACAUACAAACCAACAAGUAUAGCAACAAAUAUUUAGUAUAGUGGUCAGAAUAGCGAUAUAUGGAUGGGUAGAGUCUUGAGUAGAAUCUGUGUCAUGUGGUGUUGAGAUACUACUAGUGGUGGAGCGGAGGUGCUUACCAGGAGGGUGGACUGAAGGCGAAGCGACACUACGCGUGUAGUCGGCAGAGCGGAGUAACUGAGUGGGUGGGAGUUUUCCUUGGCUGAGGGUGUGGAGUGUGUGUGGAGAGGGAGAGGGUAGCUGGGUGUAUUUAUAGCUGGGUGUAUGUGGUGUAGCACAGUAAAGUUCACUGUAGGUGAGAAUAGUGACGAAUGAAUCGUCUGACUUAGUAUGAACAGGAGAGUCAUAUGCAGAAUAUGGGACGAGAGUAUUUUGGGAGUCUUCUGGAACAUGAACCAUGCUUAAGGGAUGACAUGGUUGGAUAGGGAAUAGUUUGAUAAGAAUUUAGAAACGAGAAUUAUUGGAAUCUGAGUUUGGGAGCCUGGUUCGAAGGAAUCUCAAAGUUAAGCGUGCUCAACUUGGAGAAACCUGAGAUGGGUGACCAGAUGGGAAGUUCCCUACUGGAAGAAAAAUCACAGUCACCGGAGUUCGUAUGACUGGAAUAUGGGUCUGGCUGGUCUUAGGUGGACUGGACAACAUGAUGUACGAGUAGUUGAAAUUUGGGAUGACUAGAUGACCGAUGAAUAGUAACGAUGAAUAGUGGUGAUGGAAAAGAAAUUAUAGAUAUCAUCGAUGAAUAGUAACGAUGAUGAAUAGUAAUGGUAAAUAGUAACGAUGAUGAAUAGUGUAUGUGAAUAGUAACGAUGAAUAGUAAUAGUGAAUAGUAAUGGUGAAUAGUGAUAGUGAAUAGUUCGUAUGAACGAACGAUGAACGAUGAAUAGGAACUAUGAACGAACGGACGAACGAACGAUCGGAAUUUCGUACGAACGAACGAUCGGAAUUUCGGCAGCAUAACGGCAGGACAAAGAUUAUCUGGAAGAACGAUGAAUAGGGACUAUGAACGAACGAUGAAUCGAUGAAUAGGGACUAUGAACGAUGAACGAUCGAAUGAUCGAACGAACGAACGAUCGGAAUUUCGGCAGCAUAACGGUAGGAAAAAGAUUAUUUGGACGAACGAACGGACGAACGAUCGAACGAUCGGACGAACGGACGAACGAACCAUGAACGAUCAAACGAACGAUCGAACGAUCGGACGAACGAACGAACAAACUAAGAACAGGGGACGAACGAUCGAAGAACGAUCGAACGAUCCUUGUGCUAGUGUGUGCUUGUGUGAAACAUGGAGUGGGUGUAUGUGUGGGGGGGGGGAAGAGAGUUGCCAUGAAAUGGCUUGGGGUGGGAUGAGAGGAGGCCCUUGCCCCUCUAUUUAUAGCCAUGGUGGGGGGAUUAGGGGGAGGGAUGAGAGGAUUAGUGGGAGGAUGAGAGGAUUAGUGGGAGGAUGAGAGGAUUAGUGGGAUAUUAGCAUGUAUUUGUCUUGUAUAAGUGAGAUUAGCUUGUAGAGCUCACCGUAUGACACUGGAGGCAUACGUAUACGUAUGAGCACAAGGAAAGUUAUGAAGCAAAUAUUUAUAGGGACUUGAAAAUGAUUCUGAAGGUAUUUCUCAGGAGGAAAAUAUCUGGAGAUAUAUCGGUGGAAUAUUUGGGCAGUAUUUCUGGAAAGAACUUGAAGCGGAUUACUCGGGAAAUAUCUGGGCGGUAUUUCUGGAAAGAAUUUGAGGGGGAUCACUGGGGAAAUAUUUGUAGGAUAUUUUGAGGAGGAUUUUAGAGAGAAUAUAGACCACUAUAAUUUAUUUGUUGAUAUCAACUCGCAAACAAACUUUUUUGAAAUGAAAUUUGAAAUUCAUUUUGAAUUUAGGGCGAGUUUGAGAAAAUUUCAGAAUUUGAAUUUUUGGGAUGCUACAAAGACUAGCUAAUUCAUCAUUCAAUUUUGAAAUAGAAACUAAGUGUUUGCUACAAGCAUUAAUAUCAAUAUCCUUACACCUAGUGCAAACUUCAACAUAUUCAACACAAGAGUUGGAUUUAUUUGCUUCUACUAGUUUAGCAUUUAAAUCAUCAUUUAUGCUCUUUAAGUUAGAAAUAGAAUCAUGGCAUGUUGACACUUCACAAGCAAGCAUUUCAUUCCUCUUAAUUUCUAAUGCAAGGGAUUUUUGAGCCUCUACAAACUUAUCAUGUUCUUCAUACAACAAAUCCUCUUGCUUUUCUAAAAGUAUAUUCUUUUCAUUCAAGGCAUCAAUUAAUUCAUUAAUUUUGUCUAUCUUAGAUCUAUCUAAGCCCUUGAAUAAACAUGAAUAAUCUACUUCAUCCUCACUAGAUUCAUCAUCACUAGAAGAAUCAUAAGUAUUAGCAUUACGAGUGGUUACCUUCUUUUCCCUUGCCAUGAGGCAAGUGUGAUGCUCGUUGGGGAAGAGGGAUGACUUGUUGAAGGCGGUGGCGGCGAGUCCUUCGUUGUCGGAGUCGGACGAGGAGCAAUCCGAAUCCCACUCCUUUCCAAUAUGAGCCUCGCCCUUUGCCUUCUUGUAAUUCUUCUUCUUUUCCCAUUUUCCACUCUUCUUUUCCUGGUCACUAUCAUUAUCGGGGCAAUUAGCGAUAAAGUGACCAAUCUUACCACACUUGAAGCAUGAGCGCUUCCCCUUCGUCUUGGUCUUGUUGGGAUGCUCCUUGCGACCCCUUAACGCCGUCUUGAAGCGCUUAAUGAUGAGAGCCAUUUCUUCAUCAUUAAGCCCGGCCGCCUCAAUUUGCGCCACCUUGCUUGGUAGUGCCUCCUUGCUUCUCGAUGCCUUGAGAGCAAUGGGUUGAGGCUCGUGGAGUGGACCGUUCAACGCAUCGUCGACGUAUCUUGCUUCCUUGAUCAUCAUCCGCCCGCUCACGAAUUUUCCAAGUACUUCCUCGGGCGUCAUCAUCGUGUACCUGGGAUUCUCACGAAUAUUGUUCACGAGAUGAGGAUCAAGAAUGGUAAAGGACCUGAGUAGUAGGCGGACGACGUCGUGGUCCGUCCAACGCGUGCUUCCGUAGCUCCUUAUUUUGUUGAUAAGGGUCUUGAGCCGGUUGUAAGUUUGAGUUGGCUCCUCUCCCCUUAUCAUGGCGAAUCGUCCAAGCUCGCCCUCCACCAACUCCAUCUUGGUGAGCAUGGUGAUGUCGUUCCCCUCAUGAGAGAUCUUGAGGGUGUCCCAUAUCUGCUUGGCAUUGUCCAAGCCACUCACCUUAUUGUACUCUUCCCUGCACAAAGAUGCUAAGAGAACAGUAGUAGCUUGUGCAUUUCUAUGAAUUUGUUCAUUUAUAAGCAUAGGACUAUCCGAGCUAUCAAAUUUCAUUCCAUUCUCCACAAUCUCCCAUAUGCUUGGAUGGAGAGAGAAUAAGUGACUACGCAUUUUGUGACUCCAAAAUCCGUAGUCCUCCCCAUCAAAAUGUGGGGGUUUGCCAAGAGGAAUGGAAAGCAAAUGCGAAUUCGAACUAUGUUGAAUACGAGAAUAAUCAAAUGAAAAGUUCGAAUUGACCGUCUUUUUGUAGUCGUUGUCAUCAUCCUUUUGGGAAGAAGUAGAUUCAUCACUAUCGUCGUAGUAGAUGAUCUCCUUUAUGCGUCUUGUCUUCUUCUUCUUCCCUUCCUUCCGCCUUUGCCCCGAGCCGGAGUCGGUAGGCUUGUCGUCCUUCGGCUCGUUGACGAAGGAUUCCUUCUCUUUGUCGUUGAUCACGAUUCCCUUCCCCUUAGGAUCCAUUUCUUCGGGCGGUAAGUCCCUUUGUGAAGAGAGCGGCUCCGAUACCAAUUGAGAGCACCUAGAGGGGGGGUGAAUAGGUGAUCCUGUAAAAACUUAAAACUUAAAGCCACAAAACUUGAUUAGGCGUUAGCACAGUUUAUGCCAAGUGGCUAGAGAGAACUCAAAACACGAUAACCACAAGAAAGCAAUCACAGAGUUGACACGGUGGUUAUCCCGUGGUUCGGCCAAGUACAAAACUUGCCUACUCCACGUUGUGGCGUCCCAACGGACGAGAGUUGCACUCAACUCCUCUCAAGUGAUCCAAUGAUCAACUUGAAUACCACGGUGUUUUUCUUUCCUUUGAUCUUUUCCCGUUUGCGAGGAAUCUCCACAACUUGGAGUCUCUCGCCCUUACAAUUGAGUUCACAAAGAAAUACGGAGUAAGGUGGGAAUGAGCAACGCACACAAGACUCGAAAAUCAGAGCAACAACACGCACACAAGUCGCAACAAGAGCUCGCAAUGCAACACAAAGAGUUCACAACUCCACAAGAGCUCUAUAUGCUAUCACAAUGAAACGAAUGCGUGAGAUUGAUGUCUUGGUGCUUAGAAGAGUUGUAGGAAUGCUUGGUGUUCUCCUCCAUGCGCCUAGGGGUCCCUUUUAUAGCCCCAAGGCAGCUAGGAGCCGUUGAGAACAAAUCCAGAAGGCUAUCCUUGCCUUCUGUCGUCGGGCGCACCGGACAGUCCGGUGCACACCGGACACUGUCCGGUGCCCGAUUUCUUUCCUUAAUAGGCGCAGCCGACCGUUGCCGACCGUUGCAGAUCUGGCGCACCGGACAGUCCGGUGCACACCGGACAGUCCGGUGCUUCCUUCCGACCGUUGGCUCGGCCACGUGUCGCGCGCCGAUCGCGCGGCCGACCGUUGGCCCGGCCGACCGUUGGCUCACCGGACAGUCCGGUGCACACCGGACAGUCCGGUGAAUUUUAGCCGAAGUCGCCGGAGAAAAACCCGAGAGCGGCCUCUUCGGCCGAGGCAGCCUGGCGCACCGGACACUGUCCGGUGCACCACCGGACACUGUCCGGUGCACCACCGGACAGUCCGGUGCCCCAGACCGAAACAGCCCCUUGGCUGUACACAGCCAAGUCUUCUCUUCUCUUCUUCUUUCUGUUUCUAACACUUAGACAAGAUAUUAGUACACAAAACCAAUGUACUAAGGCUUAGAAACGUACCUUUACUUGUGAUUUGCACUUUGUUCAACCAUGGGCAUAUUCUCACUUUUAAGCACUUGUGUUUGCACUCAAUCACCAAAAUACUUAGAAAUGGCCCAAGGGCACAUUUCCCUUUCAGAGGACAACACUCGACAUGUCCCCCGCAGGGGUGCUGGUGUCGUCGACUCGCUCUGGUCCGACAGCCGACGAGGUACCGCCUCCUGCCUGGCCACGGUUGCCCCGUCUCCUCCUCCUCCGGCGAGGAGGGUGGCGGGGCAAACCCGGGUGUUCCUCUUCUGCCACGGGGGAAAGUCGUCGUCGAGUUCGCCGCCGCCGGGCGAGCCGACGACCGUCGUUGCUGUCGUGCUGCGAGGGGAGGAGUACCAUGUCGUAGCUGCCGUCGUGGGACAUGAACUCGAGACUCUCGAAGCGGAGCACCGCCCCCAGCUGAAGAGGCUGUUGAAGGCUACCCAUCUGGAACUCAACGGGAAAGUAUUCGUUAACACGCAGCGAGCCCCUACCUGGCGCGCCAACUGUCGGUGUUUUGGACCCGCGAGGACCCUCAACCAACUAGUGAAUUUGUUGCUGCGUGUCCCUGCCCAGAUGGGUUGAUGCAAGAUGGAACACAAGCGGGGGGAAUGAGGCUUAUAUUACCUUGCACCGGGGUGCUCGUAGUAGGGGUUACAAGCGUCGCGAGAGAGAGAGAGAGAGAGAGAGUUCGAUCUUGUGGUGAGGUGCCUGAGCUGACCUCCGCCGCGUCUCUCCUACUCUGCCUGCCUCCGCUCGUCCCCUUCUCCCUGCGUGCGUGUGUGUUUUCUGCGUCUCUCCGUUCGCCCCCCUCCUCUGUAGGAAGGCCCUGGACGUCCCCUUUGUAUAGAUACAAGGGGAUGGCCCAGCUGUACAAUGGGGUGUAGCUAUGUGCUAACGUGGCUGACGGAGGAGUGCCUUGAGCCCUGCACGUGUGCUAACGUGGCUGUCGGAGAAGUGCCUUGAGCCCUGUAGAAGCAUAGCUGGCGGUGCGGCAUGGAUCCUGCUGACGUUUCCUUGCUUCCGUAGGGGGUUGAGAGCAACUGACGUCAUGGGCGCACGCGGGGAACCAUCAUUACCUAUUACCGGAGUAACCUUAGAUGGGACACCGGUCUUGUUCCUUCAUAGCCUGAGGCAGCUAGCUAGGAGUAGGGUAAUGAUGUAUCCCCUGUAGCGUAGUCGGUCCGAGCCCGAGGUCGGGCGAGGCGGAGACUUCUCCUGAGGCCGAGGCCGAGGUCGGGCGAGGAUGUGACUCCUCCGAGGCCAAGGCUGAGGCCGAGGCCUGGGGUCGGGCGAGGCGGAGACCUUCUCCCGAGGCCGAGGCUGAGACCGAGGCCUGAGGUCGGGCGAGGCGGAGCUCCCUGUUGUGCCCGAGGCUGAACUCGUGGGAGAUCGUGACUCUGUUUUACCCUGGUGGUUGACACAGUAGUCGGAACGGGGUGAAUAGCGCUGUUUUCCUGUCAGAACGGUUAGUAAAGGGGCGAAGUGAUUGCGGUCACUUCGACCUGGCUGACUGAGGCGCGCGUGUCAGGAUAAGGUGUCAGGCGAUCCCCGCAUUAAAUGCGUAUGCGAUACGGUCGGUUGGUAAGGCGAUUUGGUCGAGGUCGCUGCACGACAAAGUCUGCCCGAGCUGGGCUUCGGGCGAGCCGAGGGUGCGCCCACUGCCUGAGGAGGCCCUCGGGCGAGGCGUGAAUUCGUCCAGGACUACUGUUCCCGCCCGAGGCUGGGCUCGGAUGACGUCGCGUCCCUCGGUAGACGUAGCCUUGACUUGAACCGCGCUUUAUCAGCCGUGUAUGGUUUGUUCUAAAGAUGUUUUCCAGCCGGAUUAAGGAGCAUUGGGGGUACCCUAAUUACGGUCCCCGACACAUAAUAUAUAUAGAUAUAUAUGGCAGAUCUAUUCAUCACAUAGGGUGAUGGAACGUUUGAACCACCCUGCGCGCCCACCCGCGCCCGCUCAGCCGACAGAUCAAGCCAUUGAUGGUUACUGAAUGAUUUUGUGUAGCCUAAAAUGACUUAAUAUUUUCUAGAAUGACUGAACCAAUGAUAUAAGAAAAUGUUUGAACAAACCUCCAAAAAUUACUGAAAACAAUAAUAACUUAAUAUUUUUUUACAAAAUGACUUAAUAUACGUUGUAAUGUCUGAAACAGAAGGGUAAAUGACGUAAUGCGCGUGCCAAUAGAGUCGACGCGUGAUGCAGAGGGAAUCACGGAUGGGGAGGAGCCGACAUGUAACUAGGGCGAAGCCGCGUGGAGGACGGAUCCCAGUAGGGACGUGGUCGGCCGGGCGGACGCGCGCCAGGGUGGUCCGGGUGAUGGACUAUGCCCCUAAGUGAUGAAUAAAGCAUACAUACAUAUCUUUGUUUUGGGAGCUAAAAUUAACGCCCGCGUUGGCACCAACCUAAAAGACGCGGAUCACGAAUGAACUGCAACUUGACGUGGACACGGUCGAUUUUACUGCAACUUGUCAUAUACCCUUUUGCGCGCGCACUAGUGACUAGUGACAUGACACAAAGUGCAGGUAUAGAUUCUUUCUUGGAUGCUCCACCCCUUUCCGGUUUCCGAACGGAGGGAUAUCCUUGUUUUUGCCUGAUUGAGAUUUCCGUCUCGUCCAAAAAACAACACGCCCAUUGAAUCCUUUCCACGGAAAAAUAAGGCUCGCUCGCACUUUGCACUAAAGAUGACAAUUUAACCCGUAAAUUCGAGAACUAACGGAUACUCGACCUGACGGAUACGAAUAUGGGUGAAGAUUUUGACCAACAAAUGCACUCGUAUCGAUCCGAAGUUCCGCGGAUGUGAGUGCAGGUUUUCAUUUCAACCCGCGAGUGACCCGCAUCCGAUCCAAAAUUUAGUUUAUUCUUUAUUUUACGUAAAAUUGAUUAAGAUAUAAUAAUAAUUAUUUUGAAUAAGUAAAUGUUUUGUUGCUUAUCAAUGUGGGACGACUUAAAUCCACCAAUAUAACUUAAUUAUUACUUGUAUUUAAUUACUUAUCGUUGAAUUAUUGUUUAAAAGUGUAAACUAAUUAAAGACCUACGUAUGACCCGGAACCCGAUGUGUUCGAGUGUGGGUUUGGAAUUGCGUGGAUUUAGGUAGAUUUCACUGGUACGAUCGUGAACGGGUUUUUUGCUUCACCGGCUGAAUCAGACCCAUUGCCAAUCCUAGUUUGCACGCUGUUGGUUAGAGUCGGUCUCGACAUGAGACCAGCCCAGGUAAUUAAAUUCCUUUUCAAUUUCCGUUUGCAUGCUAUAUGUGGAAGUUAGAUGCCCAAACAUGUGCCAGGUUCGAAGCCGUAUGUUUCGAUAAGAACCCAAGCAGACGCCGGAGUCAAAACGCACAUGUUUAUCCUACAAACAAUUGACUUUUCAUGGGCCCUGGCGGCUCGGCUGGCACUAGAGCCUAUCCAAUCCUAGCUGUUCACCCGCCAAAGCACAGCAACAAACUACUCGUACAUGGACAGUUCAAUACCAACACUGCUUCUUCGCAUCCAGAUACACUUCAUGCUGCCAUGGCAGAGCUAAAGAAUCUGUUCAGACAACAUGUAACUACCAGUAACAUGCAUGAUAAUGAUACGAUAAGCACCGGAAAAAGUCCCCGUAGAUAGAGAUUAGAGAAGCGUGUUAGCAUCCGGGACUGAUUUGACCAUAAACAUGGCUUGGUCAUGACCCAUGAGUGGCCGACAUUAACAGAGGUCAGAAUCGACUUUCCGUUGUCCAAAAACCCAGCAUCUGGGGCCGUUUGGGAUCAUCUUGUGACCCAGUCUGACGGACCUCGAAAGUAGUACUCCAGAACCAGAAGAGAGCAAGGCGAAUUGUCUGAAGGUAAUGUCAUUUUCAGUGCAGCCAAUCAGACACUGCUCUGCCCGCAUCCCCAUGGACACCAGCUGGUGGGGUUCAAGCGGAAAGCCAUAUAAAUCAUAACGAACUUAUCCUCUCUUAUUCCUAUCCUCUCAAGAGGCCAGGGCAACCUCAUCCCUAACAUUUCCAUCUUUCAGCAAAAAAAAAAAAAAAGGAUCUGCCAAUAAGCAUGAACUGAUAUCUCGCAAUCACUCGCUUUUCCAUCAAAAUGUCGCACUAACUCAGUUUAACCCUUUUCUAUUAUAGGCAAAGCCAGACUUCGUUCUCACCACCCGAGAACGACCCGUACAGCACUAAGAUGAGUUCUGGAUGCCAAACCCAUGCCCAGAAUAUUGCUAAAACCAUGUUCUAUUUACCUUGCCUGUGACGGGGAGUGAGAUCAGCUCACGGCAUAGCAGCCUUCAUACUCCUGGCGUACUCCUCGAGCCUUUCCAGACCCUCUUCAGGAGUAGCAGCCUCACACAACUGCCUCACAAUCGCACUGCCAACAAUCACACCGUCCGCUCCCCAGCCCACGAUCUGCUUACCAAUCAAGGUAUCAAAAGGGUGUAACACGGAUACCAUUAGACAGACCUCAUGCAUAACAAGAAAGUUAGGAGAAAGCCUGGUCCACCUGUUUCACAUGCUCUGGAGUCGAUACACCGAAACCAACAGCUACCGGUUUGUCUGUAACCUGUAAAGCCAGGAAGAUAACCAUUUGUAUGCCACUGGCCCCACAUGUCAUAGACACCAAAAAAUAUACCUAUAUGUCACUCAGUGGCACACAAGGGAUGAGUAUAAAAUCUGAUGGCAUACCAGGAAUUUUCUCAUAACCAUUCUUGAACGCAAAUUUCUCUAGCCAUGCUGGUGCAUUAAAACUCGUUCACUCUUUACUGACGACAAACAGGUUAUAGUUUACUAACCUUCUUGAUCUCCCUAAGAAGGUGUUCUACACGUAAGUUUACAUUUGAGCGUGCACCUGUAACCCCUACAGCGCUCACCUGCAUAACGCACAGGUUAGUAAUGCCACUAAACCUUAAAUAUAUAUAUUCAAGAUCUUAAGUCUAAAAAUGAUGGUGAAACAGAAAGGCUAGGCGUUUCUUCCAGGUGGCAUAAUUUUUUACUUAAAAAUCUAAAUAAUUUCCUUUAUUUUUUUUCUAGAAAAUAGAUGUCAAGCAAGAGACAAAAAAAUCGCUAUAACAUUUCAUUAAUGUAGAGGCAUGAUAUUAAUGCUUAUCUGGUAUGUGCUAUUUCAGGAUGAGAAAAAACUAUUAACUAGUGCAGACAUCGAAGAGACCCCAGAAUAUAUAAACUAUGCCUGGAGCUUUCAACUAGAAAAAUAAUUGGGAUCUUCUGGAUACUCACAAGAUAGAGAAAUCCUUCUGAAGCUUGUGCAAUUCCCUUCAUCCGAUCUGUUGGCGUGGUUGGCGUUGUAAGCAGCACCUGCAAGCAAUCAUGCAAAAAAAAAUGGUAUAUGGCUGAUACUCAAGAUUUUUUUCGAUAAAGGAAGCUUUUAUAAAAAUACCAAGUACAUUACACUCAAGAUAUCUAUUCUGUUGAUUGGUCCACCAUGAUUAAUAAGCAAAGCUAUUCGGUGUGGUACCAAACCAGGUUACAAGAAAUAAAAAAAAGGCCUUGAUGUAACCUAUCCUGAAUUUAGUGGACUGGACAAACCCUGUUGACAUGUGUGAGCCCAAGUAGCUAGACCCGCUUCUAGGGCUGGGUUGCUGCAAAGGCCCAGAAGAUCUUUUGCAACUGUGUAUAUUUGCAGGUCUGGAAUGGGCAGAGCCCAAUCUGAAGAUUUGAUAGGUCCCAUCUCGAGUAAGAAUUUAGUUAGCACCCAGAUAGCAACACAAGUACGCAACAAACUUUGUGCAAGUGGUGCAUGCAAAGAUGAGAGUGGGUAUGAACCAGCUCUAUGUUGUGCAUAAUGGCCUCGCUCCUCAGCAACGCUGUCUCCUCCAAGGGAAGAUCAGGCACUACAAGUCCUGCGACAUAUAAAAAGUGUAACACAAAGAUCUUAUUGACGGAACAACAAAAUGACAGAAACUAAGCGUGAAUCAUAUUUGAUAAAUGGAAGAUGCAAGAACAACAAGACACCACUUACGCCCCGUUUCGAUCCUUGGAAUUGAAUUCCAUUCUAAUAAGGUCCCGUUUGUUUCGUUGGAAUUGAAUUCCAUUUUAAUAAUUAUAAUUUAGACAAAACUAAUUAAGUUCAUAUAUUUAUAUAUAAAAUAUAUUUGUAUAUUAUCCUAAAUCAUAUGAGAGAGAUAGUUAUAUAUUACAUUUAUGUUAUAGCGAAGCAAGUAGAAGUGUGCUAUAAGUUGUACAUCGGAAAAAUAGCAUGUAAAUCUAUAGAAUCAAUUUUCAUCUCUCACCCCAUGAAUUUGAGAUAUGCUUAUAUGAUAACUUUGGAAAGUGGUGGAAUGUCACAUUCUAAAAAAAUAGACUAUUCUAUUAGUAAGAUUCCAAUUCCUCAAAAUGAAAGGAAACAAACAGGACCUAAUAGUAAUUUAGGCAAAGAUCAAUUAAGCUAAUAUGGUUUUAUACGAAAUAUAUAUUUGUAUACUAUUAUUAGCAACAUGUGGAAGAUAUUUAUGUGCUACAUUUUAAAUAUAGAGGAGUGAGCUGAAGAGAAUCUUAUAAGUUGAAGAGUAGAAACAUAUUUCAUUGGUACAUAAAAUUAUUUAUCAUACAUGAAUUUGAGAUAGAUUUAUAUAUGAGCUUUGGAGAGGUAUGGAAUGUCAAAUUUCAAGCUAAAUAGACUACUUUAUUAAGUAAAUUCCAAUUUCUCCAAAAUGAAUAGAUCCAAAUGGCCCCUUAUAGUAAUAGACAAUAUGAAACAACCAAAAUGGGAGUUUACCAUGUAUGCCAGCUUGUUUGAUAAAAGACAUGAAGUUUCCCACACCACGUUUCAGAAUUGGAUUAUAGUAUGUGAAAAGAACAAUGGGGCAAGAAAGCUCAGGUGUAACCCCCUUCAGCAUUUCUAUGACAGAAUCGAGUGUAGUGCCUUUCUUAAGCGCCCGUGUUGCAGAAGCCUGAAAUGAUGUCAAUCUAAAAAUGUAAAAUCUGUAUCAGACAACAUACUAUGUUGCAGCUGCUGAGAGAAAAGGCCAUCACGACUUACCUGAAUAACUGGUCCAUCAGCCAGUGGAUCCGAGUAUGGUACGCCAACCUCUAUAACAUCCGAACCGCAGGAAUUGAGAAUCUUCAAUGCUUUUGAUGUGGUUGCCAGGUCAGGAUCACCAGCAGUGAUGAACGGGAUGAAUGCACUCUGAAAAUUUCCCAGGUUAGACUGUCAGCUUAAAUUAAGGUCCUGUCUGGGACAGAUCCAGCGCCAGAAAAUUUAGGGGGUGUUUGGUUACAGGGCUAAUUUUUAGUCUAAUUUUAGUCUCUUCGUUUUAGUCUCUAAUUUGCCAUAAGGAGAGACUAAAUCAGUUUAAUCCCUAGUCCCUAAGCGGUGGCUAAAAGGGACUAAACCAGAUUUUUUUCCUUCUCUUAUAGAAUUUGUUUAGUCCCUAGAAUCAAACAAGUAGGGACUAAAAGUUUAGUCCUAUAACUAAACUUUAGUCCUAGGACUGAUUAGAACUAAACGGGGCCUUAGUGAAAUUGAUAGAGCAGAUCAUUAGGUGCUCUAUAAAAUCGUAUAGUUUUGAAGUUGUGGACCCUUGUAAGGCAUUUAGAUAAGUCAUUUUAUUUAUUAUUUAGAUUUAAAUUAUUUUUAAAACUAUUAAAAUUUCUAUUAUAAACUACACCUUUAGAUUAAAGCUGGAACCAUGAGCAGUACCAUACACCCCCUAAAUCUGGGAAUUAAAUUCCAUUAACCCUGGGUCCAAAUCCCCAUCCAUGCGCCCAUGGCUGGGAUACUACUGUGUGGCAUCUAAACAAAAUAAGACAUUACAAGAUGCGGCUCCUCUCCACAACAUAAGUGUAUUGAUGUCGGCAUCUGUGCGGCUCCUUGGUUUGUGGCUCCACCCUCCCUCUCUGACAAGUGAUUUUCCCGUGUAACACUUUUAAGCAAUCAGGGUUGAACAAGGGCGACCGGUUGGACCCACGGUCCACUGGAGUAUUUUCUAAAUCCUUACACCAAAAGACUAUUUGCCAAAUAAGGCUAUCUACAACAGUUUACCCAUGCUCACACCUAUAUUCAAACUCCACUCUGUGCUACAUUGCAAAACAAUGUUUUAGUUAACCAUAUGAAUGAACUGAUCUGCACCAAACUCUUUCAAUUGCAAAUUGUAAGUCGUUUUUGCUUUAUUAGGUACAUAGUUUUUGCUAUAUAUCUAGACAUACCAUAUAUCAAAGUGCAUAACAAAAGCUAAUAAGGUAUGCAUCUAGAAAAGACAAAAUAACACAGAAUUUGAAAUGGAGUACAACGCAAGAUCCCUGCAACUAAAGAUUGGUCUCUGCUUAGCAUGUUAUCGCUACUCUGGAUACAAAUUUCUUAAUGCAGUUACCUUUGUUGAGAAUGAACACUGUGGAACCUAAAAAUGCUACGGACAAAGAUGGAUCAAUGUGCACAUCAAGCCAGCAGCCACUAUUGUGCAAGAUCAGGCUAGAUUUUUACGGAAAUUAAACCAGCACGAUGUGUACUCGACAUAAAACCACUAGAAUUGGACAAUUCAUGCAAGGAAUACACAGAUUGUUCCAAAGCCCUAAUCCAUUUCCUUGCAACUAAAUGGGACCAAAAUUAGGUAUUCCCUGCAACCAACCGGGACCAACAUUGGGUAUCGGCCACCACGACGCCAGCAAUCCAACCCUGCGACUCAAUCAGGAACAGCAAGAGAAAUGUGGGUGCUCGGGUGAAUUGGCCCCCAAGGGUUGCGACGAAGCGAAGCACGAACGUGAAGCCUCAAACGCACGCACCUUGCCUUGCUCCCUGAGGUUGGAGAAUGUCUCGGCGACGGUGAGCUUGCCGGCCGCAGCGCCGCGGUUGGCCAUGGGCGCGGAUGUGUCCACCACUCCACCCGACAGAGGGCCACCUCCGAGCGCUGCCUUUAUGGGGUCAGGAGUAGCCGGCGAGGAGGAGGUCUCGGCGGCGGCGGGUGGUGAACCGAGGGGCGAACACGGAGAUAGAGGGGAGCAGCCUUGAUUGCGACCCGCUUGCGACUUUGCGAGUGUCGCGUUCGCGUGUGUGACUGGUACUGGAGGUCUAUCUGUGGCGACUGUGGGCAGUAACUGAGGCUCAAACCUGACAAAAUUUAAAUUCAAGAAUUACAUUCCAUAUGCACGUGUGUUGAUUUUUUUUUGGUACUCCCUAAGAUUGUCGUUUGAUUUUUUUGACAACAAAUUUAAUCUGCUCAUCUUAUUCAAAAUAGUUAUGAAAAUAUAGAAAAAAAUCAGUUCAUAAUUAAAGUAAAUUAUAUAAUAAACUAAAUUAGAAUGAAAAUAAAUGAUAAUUAUGAUUUUUUUUAAUAAAACGGAUCGGUCAAAUUUGAUAUAAAAAAGACAAACGACAUUCUUUAUGUGAUAGAGGGAGUACGUUUGAGCAUCUAUUGUGCUAGUCCACUGAUAGUGGGAGCACUUAUGUUUAUGCUAGUUGAGAACCCUAUUGUGUGGCUACAUCAUGACUCUCGCCAUAUUUAUUAUUUAUAUUUAUAAAAAAGUAACUAGCCCAAGGACAAUAAUUUUGAUUUUUUUAGGGUUCGAGAGAGGUCACUAACAUUAGUCCUAACUAGUGGUUAUUUGCUUAUUAUUUUAGUUAGGAAUUGGUUUAGUGAAGGAUCCACUAAAAACCGUUACAAACCUACAGUUAGAGCGCAUUGGAUCUGGUGUUAGAAAGUUUGCUGGGUACAUCUAGUGAGUUCUUGUAAUGUGCUUUCUUGCAGUUGCAGCCAAUAGUACAUAGCUAGGGUCUAGUGGUUGAAUUGAUAUGUCUAGUACAAGGGACACCUACACGGUUAUCCGUACAAUGACACACUGGUUCAGUACGCUAAAGACGAACUCCUUUGUUGCAUGGAACUGCCUCGUUCAGUCGCUAUGCCUUUGUGUAGGCGUGCUCCAAUAAGAACUAGUAGCGGUUAUCGACUCUCUGGCACCUCAAAAAACAUCAUUGAGCUCCUAACCCUCUCUUUACAUUAUGCAUUUAUCUUUGGCAAUUACUUUUUUAUAUUUACCUGGCGUGCAAAACUUUUACACGUAAGAUAGAAAAUACUAUUAGGCAUAAGAUGUGAAAUGGAGAAAUUUUUAUAUUAGUCUAUCUCUUGACUAUCUUGAUCCUUUCACACAGCAUGUGACUAUAUAUAAAAGGGACGGUUUGUUUUUGUGCUGGCUCAUGAAAGACCAUUUAGUAUGGUCAGCGGUACCAACCGGGACUAAAUUGUGGGGGACAGAUAUCUCCCGGGUCUACUGGAAGGGUAAAAGACCUCACGAAAGGCCCAAGGGCCCAAUAAAUCGUAAGGUCAUUCCUUCAUGGGCCUAGGGAGGGACAAUCAGUAAAGCAGAUCGACGUAAGGUCGGAUCGGUACAAGACCGGACGGCCCCGCAGCGUUGAGCAAGAAACCACAACAGAAGAUCUGACUUUCCCGCGCUGGAGCCCCAUGCAGCGGAACCAGGCGAGGAUAGGUUGGCAGAAUCAUAGGAAGAUAGACUCAAACAGUUCACUAUCUUUUAGGCGCACGUUGUUAUCAUAUCCACAUGUAUUGCCCCACAGUCGAAUAUAUAAGGCCCGGGGAGCACCCCUUCAGAUUGAUCGAUCUCACUACUCAGCCAUCCACCUCAACUCUCUACGUUCUCGCUUUAGAGAACUACCUUGUAACCCAUUACACAAAGCAUCCUCACCAGGACGUAGGGUGUUACGCAUCUCUAAGCGACCCGAACCUGUAAACACUGUCCAUUGUCCCUCGUGCGUCUGGCACGAACCAUUUUGCUACAGUCGGCGACACCGACCUACUCCUAAAAACACCUCGAGGGGCAACCCCGAGUGUGCGGUCGGACUCAAAACACCGACAGCUGGCGCACCAGGUAGGGGGUGUGUCGACGAUCUAAGCUAGCUCAAUGGCCGUCACCUUCCACAGCAAGAUCACCCUCCGUCCCGGAUCCAUGUUCUGCUUUGUAACGAUCUCAUCCAUAACAGACGAAAAGGGAACUCUACACCGCAUUGCAGAUCCGCCAAAAAAGAAGUCUCCCCCAACAAACUCCGAAAGUACCGGAGAAGCGCAAUCUCCAGUUCUCCGAAAGAGGAUCGCCACGACAGCCGCACCAUUCUAUCCCGACGUCCUUUUCAUCGGGAGAGUGGAGUCGCCUCCCGUCUCCGACGACGAGCCGACUGCGCCUGGGGAAGAACCACCUCAGCGGGAGUCCCGCCGACGAAGAAAUCGGCGCCGAAACAUCCGGCGACAUCACAAGGCCGAAGAACGGGAUCCGGAACAACCUGUCUCGCGAGACGAGGUCUCGGAGAUGGGAGAAACCCUAGAGGAACGCGUCUUCAGAGAACGAAGGAACUCCCGACGGCGUGAUCGCUGACGAGCUCAGGAACAAGCCGAGCAAGACGCAAGACAGCGCCGAGAAAAUCCACUCUUCGGUCGCAACCUGAACCCCGACUUCGCCCGAGCCAUGAACACGCCGAGUGAAGUCGGAGGAGUACUAGCUCGGAUAGCUGAUGGACUCCCUCGGACUCUCGACGCCGAGGGCUAUCGACGCCUGUUCACCCAGGCAGCCAAUCAUCUUCUACCCCUCGCUCACCCGCCGAACGAUCUGCGACACGCCAUCAACAGUCGCCGGGACACGCGAAGCUCCAUCAACGCUUCGCGUGAACGACGGCAUGAGAACGAGAUCCGCCGCCGGGAGGAGUAUGACAGGGAUCAUGGCAUCCCAACUCGGAGUCAAGCCACCAGAACCGAGUCGGCAACGGCCUCGACUGGCGGAACUACUCGGGGACGGUCGAGGAACCACGACAACUACUCCCCUCCCCGGGACAGACAUCAUCCCCGACGACAGGAGGACACAUGUGGAGUGUCCGCCCUUACUCCACGUCUUAGGGCCAUUCAGUGGCCCCCCAACUUCAAGGUAUCCAAUGUCGACAAGUAUGAACCUAAGCAGGACCCAGGAGGCUGGCUGGCCGUCUACACCACCGCCGCUCGAGCCGCCGGAGCAUCCGAAGACGUGAUGACUGCGUACUUACCCAUUGUCCUCGGGCAAGACGCACUACAAUGGCUGUGACAUCUACCUCGACACUGCAUCGACGACUAGAGCGACUUCAGUCGACGCUUCACCGCCAAUUUUCAGUCCCUCUCCGACAAACCGGCGCAACCAUGGGACCUCAAAUCCAUCAAGCGCCGGGGGGACGAAACUCUCCGGUCGUACCUCAAAAGGUUCCAGACCAUGAGAAAUCGUAUCCCCGAGGUCGCGGAGGCAGCCGUGAUCGAGGACUUCUACAGAGGAUCCAAUGACUCGGCCUUCAUCCGAGCCAUAUUGCAGAAGGCGCCAACUACCUCCGAGGAGCUGUUCCGGGAAGCCGACCUCUACAUCACCGCCGACGAGCGAGCUCAGGACCUCAUCGGGGGAGCGAAGCCCGCACCGGCAGCACCACGACGCGACGCGAACCAGCAACCUGACAAACGCUAGGAGAAGAGACCUCGUGAAGAAGUGCACGCCGCCGGACCACCUACCUCUCGCGCCCGGGGAGGACCUCGCGGAGGCGAGCGCACGCUGGACGACAUCCUCGACGCCCAGUGCCCGUACCACAAGGACAUGCGCCACACUCUUCGGAACUGCCGAGACUUCAAGCACUCCGUCGGGCACGACCGACCCUUCCAACCUCUACCUCCUCCUCCGCCGCGGGGAGGACCAGAAGAACCACGACAACCCCAGCAACAGGAGGAGGGAGGAGGAGGAGCUUUCCCGCGCGUUGACAGGGAGGUCAACGUCAUCUUCGGCGGACACGGAUCGCAGGAGAACAGAAGACAACAAAAGCUCAACGAUCGCCAGAUAUUGGUGGCGACCACCGGUCCUCCCGCCCAUACCGGUGGUCGGAGCACCCGAUCACCUUCACUCGGGCGGAUCAAUGGCUCAACUUCGACCACCCAGGCAAAUACCCGCUCCUCGUCGAUCCGGUGAUCCGAGAUAGCAGGGUGAAGAAGGUGUUAGUGGACGGGGGGAGCAGCAUCAACGUCACCUUCCCCCGGACACUCCAAGGCUUGGGAGUUCACCUCAAAGAGCUCCGCGAGUCGGACAUGCCUUUUUUCGGCAUCGUGCCGACUGAAGGGGAAUACCCGCUGGGCCACAUCUACAUGCACGUCACCUUCGGAACUCCGGAGAACUACAGAACCGAGUUCCUGAGGUUUGAGGUGGCAAACUUUGACUGCGGGUACAACGCCAUCAUUGGAAGGCCGGGAUUGGCAAAGUUCAUGGCCAUCCCGCAUUACACGUACAUGAUAUUGAAGAUGCCAGGACCAUAAGGAAUCAUAACUGUGUGCGCUGACCUCCAAGGCGCCGCGGAAUGUUUCCGAAUAGCCAUCCAAGCGGCCCUCACCAUCAAACCGUCGGCGACUUCUACAGCGCAGGCGAACUCUAAGCCUGAGGAAGACCUUAUGGCACCGGCGAACGAAGCUCAAGCCGCGACCUCUAUGCGGCCGACUGAAGAAACUAAAAGGAUCAAUCUGGGGUUCGCUGAUGAACGCAAGACUGCCAUCAUCAGCUCCAGCCUGGAUGAUAAAUAGGAAGGCGCGCUCGUCCGGUUCCUGCAAGAUAACCGAGACAUAUUCGCAUGGCAACCUGCGGAUAUGCCGGGAGUCCCGAUAGAACUGGCCGAGCACAAACUGAAGGUCUACCCCCAUGAAGGCUGAUCUGGUAAAAACUACGUCGUUUCACGCCCGACAAGAGAGAGGCCAUUCGCGCUGAGCUGGCCCGCUUGGUCGCGGCUGGGUUUAUCAGAGAAGUGUUACAUCCCGAGUGGUUAGCCAACCCUGUUCUUGUACUCAAAAAGAAUAAAGUGGAUUGGCGCAUGUGCGUCGACUAUACUGAUCUCAACAAACAUUGUCCAAAGGAUCCCUUCGGGCUCCCAAGGAUAGAUCAGGUGGUAGACUCCACCGCUGGAUGUUCUGUGUUGUCUUUCCUGGAUUGCUAUUCCGGAUACCAUCAGAUCAGCUUGGCGAAGGAAGACGACGAAAAAAACAGCAUUCAUCACUCCAUUUGGUGCUUUAUGUUAUACCUCCAUGCUGUUUGGCCUAAAAAACGCUAGAGCGACUUAUCAGAGAGCCAUUCAAACAUGCUUAGCCGAUCACUGGGGCAAGCGUGUGGAAGCCUACGUGGAUGACGUGGUAAUCAAAACAGAGAACUCGGAAAACUUCAUCGAAGACUUACAGCUCGUUUUCAACAGUCUACGGCGAUAUCGAUGGAAGCUUAAUCCCGAAAAAUGUGUCUUUGGGGUACCGGCAGGGAAGCUACUCGGAUUUAUUGUCAGCCACCGAGGAAUUGAAGCUAAUCCGGAAAAGAUUGAAGCUAUCAUGAAAAUGGAAGCUCCACGAUCACAAAAGAAGGUUCAGCGACUUACCGGAUGUAUGGCAGCCCUAAGUAGAUUUAUAUCCAGGCUAGGAGAAAAAGGGUUACCAUUUUACAAGCUACUCAAGAAGGUGGACAAGUUUCAGUGGACUUCAGAAGCGCAGGAAGCCCUAGACGCACUGAAGAAAUUCUUGACAACCCCACCAGUACUGAAACCACCACGGCGAGCCACAUCGACUCAACCGGCUGAAGAUCUGCUGCUGUAUAUCUCUUGCACGACUCACGUGGUAAGCACCGCGUUGGUAGUCGAGCAAGCAGAAGAAGGACAUGCCUACCCAGUGCAACAUCCUGUUUAUUUCAUCACUGAAGUUCUGGGUCCCUCGAAGAAAAAGUAUCCUCAAGUUCAGAAGCUAUUAUAUGUUGUACUUCUAAUUGCCCGCAAGUUACGUCACUACUUCGACGACCACAAAGUCAUAGUAGUCACUGGUUUUCCGAUAGGGGAUAUUCUUCACAACAAGGAAGCCAUUGGCCAAAUAGCCAAGUGGGCCUGUGAACUGGGAUCUCAUGACAUCGAAUUUCGACCUCGCACUGCCAUCAAAACUCAAGCAUUGGUUGACUUUGUAUCAGAGUGGACUGAACAGCAAGUACCAGAUAACCCAGAGACUACAGAAGUGUGGCGAAUGUAUUUUGAUGGCUCGCUGAAACUACAGGGAGCAGGCGCGAGAAUUCUCUUCAUCGCACCUGAAGGCGAACACCUCAAAUAUGCCCUCCAGUUGUUAUUUCCAGCCUCCAACAAUGCAGCCGAGUAUGAAGCUCUGAUCCAUGGACUAAACAUCGUCAUAUCAUUAGGCAUCAAGAGACUAAUGGUAUACAGAGAUUCUCUGGUGGUCAUAAGACAGAUAAACAAAGAAUGGGACUGUUCGAAUGAUUCAAUGGGAAAAUACUGCACUGCCGUCCGGAAACUAGAAGAUAAAUUUGAAGGCCUAGAAUUUCAUCAUGUAGAAAGGGAUCGAAACACCGCAGCUGACGUAUUGUCCAAGCUAGGAUCCGGUCGAACUCAGGUCCCACCCGGAGUCUUUGUACAAGAAAUACUACAGCCGAGCAUCUCAAUGGAUCAAGCAGAAGAAUGUAAUAUCGUGGAUCAACCCGAGUCAGACUCUGAUGACUGGAGAAGGCCGAUCAUCAGAUAUAUAAAGAAUGAAGAGGAACCAGAUGACAAAAAUGUAGCUGAGCGCAUCGCCAGACAGUCAGCCCACUACACACUCAUUGGGGAAACAUUAUACAGAAGGGGUGUAUCAGGCGUCCUCAUGAAUUGCAUUCUCUCAUCUACUGGGAAGCGACUUCUGGAUGAGGUCCAUGCUGGGCAAUGCGGAAUACACGCAGCAUCCAAGACACUAGUCGGGAAGGUCUUCAGGUUAGGAUUCUAUUGGCCAACAGCGAAAAGCGAUGCAGCCGAGUUAGUUCAGAGGUGCGAAGCUUGCCAGUACUUGUCAAAGCAACAACAUCUGCCAGCACAGCAAUUGCAGACCAUACCAGUAACUUGGCCCUUCGCAUGCUGGGGACUGGAUAUGAUUGGACCUUUCAAGAAAGCUCAAGGAGGAUACACUCAUGUACUGAUAGCAAUCGACAAAUUCACUAAAUGGAUAGAGUUCAAACCCAUUGCUUCUUUAACCUCGGCUAAGGCCGUGGAAUUCAUACAAGACAUAAUAUUCAGAUUCGGAAUACCAAACAAUAUCAUAACUGACUUAGGAUCCAACUUCACAAGCUCAGAAUUCUUCGAUUUCUGCGAGCAAAAGAGCAUUCAGAUCAAGUAUGCUUCGGUAGCACACCCGAGGGCCAACGGGCAGGUUGAGCGAGCUAACGGGUGAUACUGGAGGCACUCAGGAAAAAGGUCUUCGAAAAGAAUGAAAAGUUCACAGGAAAGUGGAUAAGGGAAUUGCCCUACGUCGUUUGGAGCCUAAGAACCUAACCUAGCCGAGUUCUACAUGGAAACACUCCUUUCUUCAUGGUCUAUGGGUCAGAGGCAGUAUUACCCGCCGAUCUCAAGUUCGGGGCGCCAAGGUUGGUCUUCGAAAGCAUAGCAGAAGCCGAAGCUACUAGGCUGGAGGACAUUGAUGUACUCGAAGAAGAACGGCUGAAUGCGGUAAUUCAAUCAGCACGAUACCAGCAGACUCUGAGACGCUAUCACGUCAAGGCCGUGCGACAACGAUCCUUCUCAGUGGGAGAUCUCGUCCUCCGCCGAAUUCUAAUGGGGGAGGGACGGCACAAGUUGUCACCCUUAUGGGAAGGACCAUUCAUAGUAGCAGAAGUCACUCGGCCGGGGUCAUAUCGUCUCAUUCAGAUGGACGGCACAGGAAUCGGGAACUCUUGGAAUAUAGAACACCUCAGAAAGUUUUACCCUUAGCUGAAUUUCAAAAGCUGCUGGGACGACAAUGUACUCUGUAAAAUGGGAAAUAUGUCAUCAAUAAAAAAGGCUUCAAGAGUACUCAAUUUGCUCAUGACGGACGUGCAUUCUUACUUAAUUCAGGGUGGCCACUAUGCCCUGCUAACGGAGCAAUCGGCUUAAGUCGGCAACGACUUAAGACGGUGCAACAUGCUCGCGCUUACUUAACUCGGGGUGACCACUAUGCCCUGCUAACGGAGCAAUCGGCUUAAGUCAGCAAUGACUUAAGACGGUGCAACAUGCUCGCGCUUACUUAACUCGGGGUGACCACUAUGCCCUACUAACGGAGCAAUCGGCUUAAGUCGGCAACGACUUAGGGCGGUGCAACAUGCUCACGCUUACCUAACUCAGGGUGACCACUAUACCCUACUAACGGAUCAAUCAGCUUAAGUCGGCAACGACUUAGGGCGGUGCAACAUGCUCACGCUUACCUAACUCAGGGUGACCACUAUGCCCUGCUAACGGAGCAAUCGGCUUAAGUCGGCAACAACUUAAGACGGUGCAACAUGCUCGCGCUUACUUAACUCGGGGUGACCACUAUGCCCUACUAACGGAGCAAUCAGCUUAAGUCGGCAACGACUUAAGGCGGUGCAACAUGCUCACGCUUACGUAACUCGGGGUGACCACUAUGCCCUAUUAACAGAAGCAAUCGACUUAAGUCAGCAGCGACUUAAGGCGAUCUGACGUGCUUACGACUACUCAUAUAGGGAUGACUUCUAUAUCCCGUAAACAAGUUUCAAAACCAUCACACAGCCUUUUACUACUGCAAAUUUACGUACUGUUGAAUUCUGAAACAAUAGGAGAAUAACAAUAUCAUUCAAGGGCUAAACUGGUGUCCUCUAACAAAUGUCUAACCAUGCUAACCGCGCGCUCAAAGCACGCAAAAUAUUUCUCUAUUUCGCGAUAUCUUUCUCAGAAGCAACCGACGAGGAAGGGCGACUUGAGGAAUCAGGAGCAGCAUUCACGUCAGCCCUUAUAUCUUCAGGAACAACCACACCGGGUCUCCUCAUCAAGAUUCGUCUCGCCCGAAUGGCCUUAUCCAUGGCUCUGUCGCGCUGGGCUCUCAGAGUAAUGGAAGUUUCUUCAGCAACCUUGGCAGCUAAUUGAGCGGUUUCUAGCUCCUGAGCGAUGGAUUUCUUGGAAGCACGAAGUUCUUUGAUAGUAGCAUCCUUAGCCGAUAUCAAUUGCCUGAGACGGAUCACAUCAUCUGAGGAUUUCUGCAGCCUACAACGAAGAUUAUCUAACUCCUCCAUGGAGAAGCGAUGACUCCUCUCCAGGAUGGUCAACGAGUUGCUAGAGUCGCGAUACAGUCUGUCAAGAUUGUCGCGAGACGUAGCAAGAACACGUUUUUCUUCCUGCAAACAAGAAUCAACUCCUUCAAACAUCAAACAAGCAAUAGGAACACAGCAAUGCAAGGCACAGUUUCAUAAGUCACCUUUUCAUAAUCAAGUUGAGCGCGAAGGGAAGAGCUCAGUGCAUUGGCGUCAUCUAGGGCAGCAGAGACCUGGGCUAGUUCAGUCUGGCUUUGAGAAUACUUUUCUUCAAAAUCAGAGCACCGCUGGACCAGUUCAGCCUGAUCUCGAGAAUGUUUUUCUUCAAGAGUGGAAAUUUGCCGAGUCAUAUCUAGCAGGAGACAAUCAAACGAAAAGGGUCAGAAUGUAAGGCAGUUCAAUAAUGAAGACAAAGAGAAGCAAAAAAACACUAACCAGCAUUGGUCGCCUCCAAGUCAGAGACGCGAUGUUGAAGUAACAUCGGAUUCCAAUGUGCAAGAGACAAAGCUCCUUCUGGAACAGAAGCACCCUGCAACCUCAGCUGGCUAGCCAUCCCGUCCACCAAAGCCUGAUAAGGAGAACAGAUGAGUGUAAUGACAGCAGUUCAUACGGUGCAAAAGUCAGGACAGAAUAUAUCACAGUACCUGGAGAUUGGAGAAGAACGAAGGGACUCCCAAAUCGUGAGAAAUCGAUUGAUGACCGGGCGUAAGGUCGCCACCCGAAGCAGCUUGCAACAAACCAGCAGGAACCAACUCAGUGCCAUCAACAGAGCUCAAAACUUGGCCAGCGGGGACGCUGCCCUCUAAAGCGACUCCCUGGUCCAAAGCUUGGGCUACCACCAUGCAGCCGGAGUGCGGAGGCGAUCCCGCAUGAACGUCCAUGGAAGUACAAGAGGGAGACCCCACUCGGACACCCUCGGGGGCUGGGCCAUAGUUCACGCUACCCAUGUGAGCCGGAUCAUCUCCGGCAGUACCCUCGGGGGCUGGGCAGUGGCUUGCACUUCCCACCCGAGCCGAGUCACCCUCGGCAACACCCUCGGGGGCUGGGUAAGCGUCAACACCAUCCUUGAGGGCCAGGUUCUCUGCAGUAGCCGCCUCUAAGGCUGAAGGCCCCUCAGUUACUUCCAUGGGACCAGGAUGAUCCAAGUCAACCUCCUGACCCUCAAGACCGCGCUCUAAGGUCGAUGAGGCGCGGGAUGACCUCAACCCAGCAUCGAGCACAUCAGCACAAACCUCCAUCACACCAUCAUCCGCUGACUCUGAUAAUAGGUCCUCUGGAACCAUAUCUUCUAGAGUCUGAUCAAAAUUUGCCAGAGAUAACUCCUGUAGACCAACGAGAGCUGACAGAGCAGGAGAAGGAACCCCACUACUUUCCCCACUGACAAUAUACUGCCGACUGUUCUUCCGAGUCAGAGGGACCUCAUCUUCUUCCUCCCUGUCGUUUUCAUCAACAACAUAAGCAACACACCCAUUGGGAUCAGCAUCGGAUGGAGCACCCCCAUUGGGAUCAGCAGCAGAUGGAGCACCCCCAUUGGGGUCGGCGUCAGCAAAAUCAGGCACGGGAACCUCCUCAGCAGCAGGAACCGAAGGACCAGCGCCCCGAUCCAAACUAGAUACUUGCCGAAGACGUCUCUUUUUCUUUUUCUGCUCAUCAGCAGAAGGAUCAAGUUGAUUGGCUCGGCAAAGGCGUCUCGAGCGAGCACUGGCAGGCUUUUGAAUAUCCAAAGUCAUACUAGCUUCUGGGGGAGGCGCCACCACCAAUGUCCUGGCAGGAGCAGCAUCAGGAGAGUCCUCAGCCAGCAAAUCAAGCAUAGCACUUAUUUCUGCGUCACUAGGAUCCAAAGGCACCUCAAAGCGGACUUGCCGUUCGGCAUCAGGAAUUUCCCCGAGCGAGGCAACCAAAGUGUUAACUUCUUCGGCAGAGGGUCGCACUCUAAGGCCCAAACCGCCAUCAGCGACAGGUGGAUUCGACACAAAAAGAGUGAAGGCCUUGGGAGGAGGCAGGUUCCAUGCUGAGUAUGCCACUGGGGCACCAAUAUUUGCUACCUUGCCUCUAAGAAUCAUCUCAAGUCGGUUCACCAAGUCUACAGAGGGAAUUUUCCUGUUGGUAACCCGAGUUGAGUCAGCUAGACCUCGGUACAGAUAAGCUGGGUAUGCCCUGUCCUUCAACGGCUGAAUAUUCUUGAAAACAAAAUCAGCAACCACAACCUCAGCAGUCAGACCCCUUUCUUUCAGCAGUCCAACUUCAGCUAGCAAAGCCCCCGCCUCAGCUACCUCCUGAUCCGUGGGAGACUCAGUCCAACUCGGAGUGCGAAUAUCCGGCUGUCUUCCCGAUCGUGGGGGGGAGAAAAUUUCCAUGGUUCUCAACAAUAAACCAUUCCAAGCGUCAUCCCUUGAUACUGUCUUUGAGAGGGAUUUCAAGAUACUCAGUCUUCCUCCCACGGCGCAUCUCCAAACUAGCACCUCCAACCAACUGAUGCUGCCCCCCGGUCAUCCUAGGGCGACAGUGAUACAAAUACUUCCACAACCCAAAAUGUGGCAGCACACUAAGAAAAGCUUCACACAGAUGAACGUAAAUGGAAAUUUGCAGAAUAGAAUUGGGAUUCAGGUGGGUCAAGUUAAGGCGAUAAAAAUCAAGGAGGCCGCGGAAAAAAGGAGAAAUGGGGAGAGCGAGAUCGAGACCGCGGAGAAGAAAAGGAACGUAAAUCACGGAUUCAUGGGUAUCCUCUGUCGGAACAGUGACCACGUGGCAAAUCUGCCAAGAACAGAGCUCUCUCGGGGGAAGAACCCCGAUGGACACGAGGUGGAGGAGGUCAGGCUCGGAGACAACAGACAUAUGGUUACCUACGAAAGGCAACUGGCUGUUGGGGUCGAUGGGGGGAAUCACCGCAGCGGAUGAACUCGAGGCCUUUCUCUUGGGCGCCAUCUCAACUCUACUGGCGAACAGAGCGAGAGCCGAAUUGCAGAGAGGAUUUGGAGGCAGGAAAGCAAGAACUAGGGCACGGAAAGCAGAGGCGGCUGAAAGCGCAGUAUAUGCGGGAUAUUCCCGAGUCAGAUACCGUCUCUAAAAGCGCCCAGUCAGCACCCGGCAGUUACUUCUAAAACAUCGGCGUGCCACGUUGGCAUCCGGCGACUACUUCUAAAACCCCGGUGUGCCACAUCAUCACUCGGUUAUUAUCCUCAAAGUGGCCGACACGGCCCGUUUUAACUCGGCUGUCGUUUCUAAGACGCUGACGUUAUCACCAGUCGCUCGGCAGCUAUCUCUAAAACGCCGACGAUGUCCUUAGUCGCUCAGCGGUUACCUCUAAAGCGCCGACGUUGUCUUCAGUCGCUCGGCAGCUAUCUCUAAAGCACCGACGAUGUCUUCAGUCGCUCGGCAGCUAUCUCUAAAGCGCCGACGAUGUCCUUAGUCACUCGACAGUUAUCUCUAAAAAACGAUGGCGUUGUCACAGGUCACUCGGCAGUCACAUCUAAGAGCGCCGACGUGGUCAACAGUUAUUUCGACAUUGACAUGGUCUCGUCAUCACUCGGACUCUAUUUCAAACGCGCAAAUAUCGACAAUAAUAGCUCGGCCAUCACCCCUGAAGCGGCGAUAUGACGCCCGAGUUAUUUAAUUACUAUUCCGAAUGAAUCAACUUCACAAAUAAGAGAUCGAUUUACUUCGAAGCAGCGUAACUGGCACAGGAGGAGACAAAGUCAUUCUUCAUUAAGGGAAGUAAUAAUACUUACAAAUCAACUCAUUAUGAGUUGAUACUUCCCUAUUGCUACUACUAUACUACAUUGUACUACUACACUACAUUUCUACCACUACUAUACUACAUACUACUACUAACUACUACUACAUUAUUUCACUAUAUUACUUCUAAUCUAUACUAAUAUCUAAGAACCAGUGGCAUCUAGCCACUGGCCCUGUUGCUGCCCUUGCUGCUGCCCUUGCCGCCCCUGCCGCCGCCGCCGUUGCCGCCCCUGCUGCCGCCACUGCCGCCCCUGCUGCUGUCGUUGCCGCCCACCGUCGUCGUCGCCGCCGUCGCCUCCGUCGUCGUCGUCGUCGUCGUCGUCGCCUUCGCCACCGCCGCCACCGUCCUCCUCGGACGAGUCCUCCUCGUCCGAGGAGUACUCCGACUCAUCCGAGCCCGCGAGCCUGGAGCGCUCGACAACCUGGAUGUAAGUCCAGACCUCCGCGGCGAUCCCCUGAGAGUCGUCCGAGUCAUCGGACGACGCUGGGGGAGAGACGGGAGCUGGAGACCCCUUGGACUCAGAGGAGAACUCCUCCUCUGAGUAUUCCGAGUCGCCAAAGUCCUCGGACGGAGGAGUCGGCUCGCGCUUGCGUUUCUUGCCCAUGGUGGAAAUGCAAGGAGAGGAAGAAAGCAAGCAGUGGAGAACAGCAAGAGAUGUGAAAAAACCAGAGAGACAAAGGCACUAUUUAUAUAAGAAGAAGGCAACCGCUCACCUCCAACCACGGUCACUGAACAGUCGCGAAGCAUUCAAUACACACUUCAACCCGUCUGAAGACGCGCGGCUAACGCCGUUUCACGCAAUGCAACACCCAUUGGGACUCCAGUCAACCGCGCAGAAGAUAUGAUUACACCCGCAGUCACAUCACAUUACACUCAGAAGCAGCCGGCUAAAACACUCAGCGUACCAAGCCGUCCCUUACCCACACCCAUUGGGGGGGACGCCCAGGAGUAUAUUUUUCAAAACCGUCACAUCCGUGCAGGGCAUGCAAUGAAUACCUCAAGACAAAAAUGAGAUAUCAGUAAGGAUCAAAGGAAAGCCAAAUAUAGCCGGUGAAGUACAAAAUAUGACCGACAGAAGCGACGCGAAGACUAGCCAGGGAACGUCCAUCAAAUGUCCAAUCAAUCGCAGAGCAAAUAAAUUGCACCACCUAGCGAGAUAUGGGCGGAUCACGAACUCAGCUGCAAAAGACAAAAUACAUGGUGACCUCUAAAGUAUAAUAUUGAUGACAUAAUGCUGACCUCUAAGGCAUUCGGAAAAAAGAAAGAAUUAUUCUCAGCAGAAGGACACGAAAUGAAGACCUUCAAGAGGAUUAUUUUCAAAAAUCCACUCAAAGCUCGGGAGCUACACCCAUUGGGUGCACCUUCGGUGCACCCCAUGAAUCACCAUUUCAAGCCAAGAUGGUGCCGACUUCUAAGGCAUAAGACAAGAUUAAAGACAAGGCUGGCCCUCAACCAAAGUACAAGAGGAAAAUAAAAAUAAUUUCUGAUGAAGACCUUCGAGUAGAUUAUCUUCCAAAAUCUACUCGAAGCUCGGGGGCUACACCCAUUGGGUGCACCUCCGGUGCAUCCAAUGAAGUUCAGGGUCCUACAACACGAAAUGCCAACUUCUAAGGCACAAGCAUGAAACAAAGCUCCAGUUUACGAGUGAUCAGCAGCAGAAGGAGACAGUAAGAAAUCGUCUUUCUCCAAAUUACCUGCAAGCUGGGCCUAGGAUCUUUGGGCUGAUUACCCCAAAAUCAACCCAAAGAUCGGGGGCUUGUGGGGGACAGAUAUCCCCCGGGUCCACUGGAAGGGUAAAAGACCUCACGAAAGGCCCAAGGGCCCAAUAAAUCGUAAGGUCAUUCCUUCAUAGGCCUGGGGAGGAACAAUCAGUAAAGCAGAUCGACGUAAGGCCGGAUCGGUGCAAGACCGGAUGGCCCUACAGCGUUGAGCAAGAAACCACAACAGAAGAUCCGACUUUCCCGCGCUGGAGCCCUAUGCAGCGGAACCAGGCGAGGAUAGGUCGGCAGAAUCAUAGGAAGAUAGACUCAAACAGUUCACUAUCUUUUAGACGCACGUUGUUAUCAUAUCCACAUGUAUUGCCCCACGGUCGAAUAUAUAAGGCCCAGGGAGCACCCCUUCAGAUCGAUCGAUCUCACUACUCAGCCAUCCACCUUAACUCUCUAUGUUCUCGCUUUAGAGAACUACCCUGUAACCCAUUACACAAAGCAUCCUCACCAGGACGUAGGGUGUUACGCAUAUCUAAGCGGUCCGAACCUGUAAACACUGUCCAUUGUCCCUCGUGCGUCUGGCACGAACCAUUUUGUUACAGUCGGCGACACCGUCCUACUCCUAAAAACACCUCGAGGGGCAACCCCGGGUGUGCGAUCGGACCCAAAACACCGACAUAAAUGUCCUCCGAUGAUGCCCAAAAACCUAGAAUCAAAACUAAUGGUCACAUUAGUCUGGAGCCUAAAUUUAAUUGGAACCGAGGGGUCGUCGUUUCUAUAGUGGUGUACACACAUUGAUAUUACCUUCCGUUUUGAAAUUGUAGCUCAGUUUUAGUUCUUUUAUACUGGGAUUCACAAACGUUCUCUGCAUUUGAGAAUUGCUUAGAAAGUUAUGAUAACAUCACUGCAAGUUCAAAUAAAUGCAUAUCAAGAUUUUUUGAAGAAUGUAAUGAGCCACUUUGUAUUAUUAUUAUUGUUAUUAUUACAAACCGACAAUCUUUAAAAGGGCUGAGCCAGGACAAACUCGAACUGAACUGUAAUUUAGAAUGAAUGGAGUGACCACUGAAUCGAAGCAUCAUGCAAUGAUGUAACAUUUCUUCCUUUUUUUAAACAAAGGAAUCGUUGAUUUUAUAUUGAUAACAUAUUGUUGCAAUUUGUAAAAAAGCAACCUUGCCGAAUGGAUCAUUAUUAAUUGUGCUACUUCUGCAACAUUGUUCUCCAACGUGCUUGCUAACACAGCCUAUAUCGCGUCAAUACGACUAGUUCACUGGCAUGGUAGCGCGUUCUUCAUGAUCCUGGCGUAUUUCUCUAGCCUCUUCAAUCCUUCUUUGGGAGAGGCUGCUUCGCCUAACUGUCUCACCAUUGCGCUACCAAUGAUCACACCAUCUGCACCCCACUCUGCAAUCUGUCCAGGUGCAAUAUAUAUACUGUUAGAAUUUGUUACUAUAAAAAAAUCUGUGCAAUAUAUAUACUGUUAGAAUUUGUUACUAUAAAAAAAUAUGUGAAUAAGUUUUUGAGGCAUUUUUUUUAAAAAAGUUUUGCCUACCUGCUUUACAUGCUCAGGUUUCGAUAUGCCAAACCCGACAGCCACGGGUAUGUCAGUGACCUGCAGCAAACAAAAAAAACACAAGCCAGCCAGCUCAGUGAUUGUGAUUGGUAACAACAAAAACGAAUAAAAAUGGCAUCUUCUCUCUCUCUCUCUCUUCUCCUUUUCCAUUGACAUGACGUAUUAUUACCUGUUUAACCUCCUGAAUGAGAGACUGGACACGUGUGUUCACGUUUGCGCGUGGACCUGUAACUCCAUUGACGCUCGCCUGUGAUGGUCAAGUAGGAUACAUGAGCAUGCAUGCAUGUCAUCGGCAAGUUCAGUCGCUAGCAAAAACUCCUGGACGGAAAGUUUUGUGUCACUUACGAGAUAGACGAAUCCUCGUGAAGCUCGUGUUAUCUCCUCCAUCCUGUCCGCUGGCGUAGAUGGUGUUGUGAGCAGCACCUGCAUGUGUUCAGGCAUUGUUCAUGUCGUGAGACAGACGCUGCUUUCUCAAUUUUAUAUUGCGCAGAAGAACUAGUAGGAGACGCACGUGCUUCUCCUUGAUACAUACCAGCUCGAGGUUGUUCUUGAUGGCUUCGGUCCUGAGAGUGAGAGCGCACGAGUUCCCAUACGGGAGGUCGGGAACUAUGAGGCCGUGCACGCCGGCUUCCUUGACGGCGGCGGCGAAGUCGGCCAGGCCCCACCGCACGAUGGGGUUGAAGUAGGAGAAGAGCACCACGGGGCAGGACAGCUCCGGCGUCACCUCCUUCAGCAUCGCCAGCACGCCGUCCGGCGUCGUGCCGCUCGCCAGUGCCCGCGCCGCCGACGCCUGGAUGACCGGCCCGUCGGCGUAGGGGUCCGAGAAGGGAACGCCGAGCUCGAUGACGUCGGCGCCGCAGGCGUCCAGGAGCCGCAGCGCCUCCGCCGUCGUCGCCAGGUCCGGGUCGCCGGCGGUGAUGUACGGGAUGAACGCCGUCUGCGAGAACCACGACGUCACAACGGAGUUCCAAGUCAGGACCCGUACAUGGCUGUGCCUACAUAAUAGUACUGGAGAGUGCAGAUGCAGACGACAUGGUCUGCGAAACCGGCAGGCAUCGGCCGGACAGAACCACGCAUGUGCAUACCUUGCCCUGCGCCCUGAGCCUGGACAUGGUCUGCGACACCGGCAGGCAUCGGCCGCCGGCACCGGCGGUGAGCUUGGCCGGCGCCGCCGGGGCAGCCGGAGCUACCGCGGCGACCGCCCUUACAGUGGCCACAGACCUCCGCCGCCCCGGCAUGGCCACUGCAGCUGGUAGCCGCUUCGAUAACGGCGACGAGUGGACUGCCGCCGGGGAAGAAGACCACUGGGAGGAGGUCGAUGCAGCCUUGAUCGCGGAGGCCAUAUGUCUCUAGUACGGGCUCACGUACUGUGCUUCGAUUUCGAUGGAUCGGUUGGAGCUGGUUUAUACGGCCGCUACGGUGUGGGGGAGCAAAGUCACUGUGGGCCUGUGGCUUCGCUAGCUAGCUUCACGAGCAGCUGUGUGCAACUGCUCAGCUCGAACUCUGGAACGCCGGCAGUAGGAUAUGAGAUGCUGGUGCCAUGCCCACCGUGCCACAGAUUAUAUAUAGCAGCAGCGGGACGAGGAGGCCAGCCAGCUUCAGCAACAGUGCAACACCCAUCAACAGUGCUUUCUGUACAUCUCUAGGCUGAGCCCACGCCCCUACGCGUGUUUAAGGUAGGCCCUUAGCGGUACCCUUUCUCCCACCCCUAAACGGCAGCAACUUUCUCUCGCCCUCGUUGUUUUCAGCAGGUAUUUUAUCCUAUUCCUAUCUUAUCCUAUAUUUUAAACCUCAUUUUAUAAACAUUAAUAUCUACAUUAUAAAGCCUCUACUUUACAUGAUCUGUAGCGGACAUCCUAUAUCUAGGUAUUCAAUAUUCUCUUCCUAAAUAUUUUUAUACUCUAAAUUAUGAAAUAAACACAAAAUUAAUAUAUAUAUAUAUAUAUAUAUAUAUAUAUAUAUAUAUAUAUAUAUAUAUAUAUAUAUAUAUAUAUACACACACCAUUUUAGACUAUAAUAAAUACAUAUGUAGAAAAACAAAUUUAUUUUUUUUUUGGAAAUACAAUAUACCAUUUUAGAGAGAAUCGUUGUGAGAGUUGUGAUUUAGGGGAAUAGUGGAUAAAGAAAAAAAAAGAGAUAUAAAUAAAUGAUAUAAGAGAACCGUUUCGGACCGCCAGGCAGCUGGCAGGAUGUUGCCGGCGUGAAACUGACUGCUCGGGUCAUUUGCUAGCUAGCUCCUCGUCAUUUAAAAAACGUGUGUGCGGAUUUACUGGUCCCGCAUACUCUGAUAGGGGAAACCUUCUGUGUUCUCGGAGAAUUUGGAUUUAGGACUCGUUUUGGUUCGUACCCUCCCAGGCAGUUGCUGUCAGGCAACAGAACCUGAUGUUCGAAAUCGAACGCCGGGAAAUGCUGCCUGGGCUAGGCAAGUCCGGCCACGAGUAAACAAAAAGGAUCUGUUAGUCAAGAGGCUAAAUUUUAGUCUAAACUAAAGUUUAGUCCCUAUCUUAUAUAAUUAAAGAGACUAAAAUUAUUCCGAACGUAUUAAAUGACUCCUAAGAAAAUAAAAAUAUCUCUUAUCAUUCUCUCACCAUUAGUGCAAUUGAAAUAAAUAAGGAACAAAAUGUGGAAUGCAUAUAGUUUUGUCCCUUUUAGUCAUUUUAUAGGGCAUGUACAACUUAGAUACUACGUUGCGAUUCUUCAAGCAUUAGAUACACAUAAUAAACCCCUUCAUAUAACAUAAUAUAUUUAUGUCUUGUAUCUUAUACACUAGAACCUCUCAACAUACAACUUAUUUAUGUGGGUUGUAUGACUAAAACCGUAUCUAAACUUAGAGAACAGUGCUAGAGAUAUUCCAUCACCAAGAUACCGCCAUAUAUUUUUUGCACUUACCCCUUGAUACCCCUUUAUGUUACGGGACAUUUGUGUGGGUUGUACAUACCUUUAAGGGACUAGGAAGUUAAACAGUUUAGUCUCUGUUUUAGUCCUACUAUUUGAUAAUUUAGAGACUAAAUGAGACUAAAAAAACUAAUCUUUAAUCAUUCAAAGCAAACAUGCCCUCAUUAGCCCUGUAAACCUUCUGCGUGCUGUCAUAGAAAUUUAAAGCAACAAUUAUUUCAGUGCGCAAGUGUAUCUCUCUAUAUCUAUAUCUUAGAAUGACUUAAUAAAUUUAAAUUAUUCACGAUCUUUAUAAGUCAUUUGUUAAAUCAUUUUCGGAAUAGGUGAUUAUCAUUUAUAUUGACGAAUAGUUCUACUCUAUAUAUAUAAUAACAUAAUGUAUAUGCGUUACAACAGCACAUCAAUUAUAUUUGAUAAUAUAAUGCAGCAACUGUAUAAUAUACGAGGGCCUAAUGACAAAUCAGUGUGAUAGAUUCUUCUAAAAAAAUUAAAAUUAAAGUAGACUCCCCUCGUACUGAAGAUAGCUGCUCGUGAUAUGGAUUCAUUGGUGUCACUAAGUCUAUCUUCAACAAUAUCUGAUAAAAGGCACGGUCCACUACAUAUAAAUGAUACAAGUUUCCUCAAGGCGUACAACAUGGUGCGUUUCGUUCGGGCGGGCCGCCUACGCUGAAUCCCGCGGCGCCAUGAAGUUGUUGCAUGAAGUUGUUUUAUAUUUGUUGAUGCAUGUAUGUACACCACCGCUAUAUCUGUUGAUUCAUGUACGCAGUGAAGAUUUUUGACGUUUUAUGUACGGAGGUGUUAAAAAUAUGAAUGAUAUCUAAAUCUGACCAAAACUAACUAAAUUUACAUCACCUAGUUGGAUUACAUUUUCGUUUCCGUACCAUGAAAAUAUAGUACUGUAGAUGAUGUAAUGUAAAUAUUUUAAUUACUCCAUAAAUCAUUUUCGGCAUACAAGAAAGAAAAUCUUUUUGUUGUACAUCUAAAUAAUAUAUAAUACAACUUUCUGGUGCAUUGUAGGUUUUGCUAAAUAGGAACGACGCACAAAAAUGUAUUGUAAGAAGUAUAUAUUUUAAUUUUAUGAAGUACGCAAUUCAAAAAAUUUAAUUGCCGAAAUAGAAUUACAUAAAGUAGAUUAUGAAUUCUCGUAACAAUGUACAGAGGACCAAAUUUAGAGGUCGUUGUUAAAGAUAGAAGAUAUAGAAGAUUGAAUCUUUUAAAUAGUGUUAUAAAGAAUAGAGAAUAUUCUUUUAAAUGUGAAAUUUAAAAAACACGCUGGAACAUUCUAAUCAACCAUACUAACACAGUACCACAUCCUUUUCUCAAUUCAUGGGUGAUGUCUAGUAUCCCAUCAACCAUACUAAGACUAUCUCAGUGAGACUCCAUAUCCCACACUCUAUCUCACCAUUUAUUUUAAACUCUACUUUACAAACAAUACAAUUUAUAUUACAAAUAAUACUUUAUACGACCGUUUACAUGGUCCGCUAGAGAUGACCUAACAAAGUACCACGUCCUUUUCUCCAUUUAUGGGUCAUGUCUAGUAUCCCACCCAUUUGUGUCCAUCCCUCUAGGUAAGGUCUAGGAAAACCCACGUUUAUGACAUAAAAUUUGUAAACAAACACUGUCGGCAAAUAAAUUAUAUAUAGAACAAUGUGUUGUCAUGUCAACAACUGAGGUUGGUAAAGGUCGGACUAUGAACAAACAUUAAUCAAUCCGGGGUAUACCACCGGAAGGAUGAUCUAAUUUAUUAAUUUUGGAUCACUGGUAAAAAAAGCUCUAGGUUCGUAAUCUAUUUUCAUUCGUGUUUUCAGAACUAUCAGUGCUAGUACUAGUAGUAAAGAGCUCAAAGCCUACAGUAGAGUUUAAUUUUUAUAGACAGUUUCGGUGCUAUUUUUAGUAGCGGUUUUCUUGAUGAACCGUAUGUAGAAAUAUGAUUUUCUCCUGGUAGAUUUAUUAAGAAACCGCUACUAAAAAUUAUUUUUAUCCUGAUUUUUUUAUAUUUUUAAAUGACCUCGUAUGAAAAAACCACCAACAUAAAAAUUGUAGAUCUCUAAAAGUAUAAAACUUUGUAGUUGAUAACCUUUUAUUUGAAAUCAUUUUGGCUCUAAAAAAUUACAUCUAAAUUUGUCAAGUUUAAAAAAAUGUAAAUUUUGCAAACGAACUCGGAUGCGAAAAGUACCAAAUAGAAGUUGUAGACUUCAAAAGUUAUGAAACUUUGUAGUUGACAACUUUUUUAUUUGAAUCCAUUUACAACCUUAAAUAAUCAAUUUAUACUCGGAUUGUUCUAAUAUGGAGGCAACAAAACUACAAUAUAGACACGAAGGACUUGUUUGGUUGGUGGUCUGAAAAUUUUGUGUGGCCUAGGCAUGCACUCCAGGCAUCCAAUUUCUCAUGCCUCGGGUUGGAUUUUGUUGCCUCGCAGACACAUCUAGGCCAGAACAGCAACCAAACAGGUCCGAAGUAAAUGAUAGAUGGAGUGUUAGAGGGAGCUAUGCGCGAGGGUGAGAUGGGCUGGUGGGGCCUAGUGAGGCCCCUCCCCUAAUAAAAUUAUUUAUUUACUAUUUUAAAACACAUUUUAUGUUUUUUGGAAAAGAUCUUCACUUGCGGUCUUAUUAGCUCGACGCGAGUGAAAAUCAAUUUUCACGGGCGAUUUUCUCAACCCGAAAGCCAAUAACAAUUGAUUUUCACUAGCGGUUCUCAGUUACCUGUAUAUACAAAUAUUUUUUUCUACUGGCCCCUAGCACUAGCGGUUCUAAAAAACGUCAGUACAAAUGUGUUCACAACCGCCUGAUUUUUACUGUUGUUUUCUUAGGGCGACCGAUGGUGGAAAUCGAUAUUCACGGGGCGAUCUUAGUUACCCACCUGCAUAGAUAAUUUUUUAUUGUUCCCUAACACUUUUGGUUCUGAAAAACGGCAGUAUAAAUAUGUUUACAACCGUAUGUAUAGAGCCUCUAUCAGGGGCGGAUCCAGAGGGGGUAAAGUGGGCCAUGACCCCCUCUCAAUUAUGUACAAUCUUUUAAAUAUAAUGACCGGUUAAUGUUAAGUUAAGUUUAGAAAAAACCAAAGUUUUGAUGUGAUAUAGUGCUAUUCUAAACCUCUAAACUAAAUAGGUAGCGACUAAAAUUAGCCGAAAAAUUUAGAAUGGGUCAACUAAUUUUUAGCUAUACCUUUCAAAUAAUCAUUAAUUGUUACCUCAACCUAGCUAAAACCAGUUAACAAUUAGCUUUAGAGGCUUAGAUCAGGGCAUAAAACAACCCUGUCAUGAGCCUCCUCGUCAGAUCCUUCCCGACCUAGUCCUCGCAUCCAUCAGGCUGACCCUAAUCUUUUCAACGCCACCUAAACUAGUUUGCCUCGAUGCCCCAUUUCGACCAUUGCCUCCUUCCUGACGCGACGCUGCCCAACCCCCUCCUUCCUGGCGCCUCCACCCUGCCCCAUCGUCGUCGUGUCACCGGCCCGCCCAAUAAAGCCGGGUCUCACUCAUCGCAAUGAUGUGACCCUCUUUGUGGCCAACGAGCUUGGCGAACCAGCAAGCCCUGGCUCUCAGCUGCAGACGUCGCCUCACCCCACCCCUUUACUGGCAUCCCUGUCCUUCUAAGAGAUCGAUAUUUGACAAGAUAAACGUCUUUGAUUCGGUCAUCAAAAACUUAACGACAUGUUUGUUUAUUUUGUUCAUACAGUUUUAUUCUUUGAAUUUGUUUCGUGUAUUGGUAUGAAACUUGAAUUCUAUAUAACACUAGUUUUUUAUGAUCUUUACUUAAUUUUAUCACGUGGUCUUUCUGGCCCCCUAUGAAUUCAUGGCCUGCAUCCGCCACUGGCUUCUGUGUUAGGUGCCAGUAAAAAUGUUUCGGACAGGCGGUGACACCGUCGUGCGUUGACAUUCGGUAAAAAAAAACUCACCCAAAAGGCCAAAAGCAUAGUUUAAGCAGCACAAAUGAGCGAUGAUACAGCACACUGCCAUCUGAACGCUCACUAGACAGUACUGUUGCCCUUGCCCAGAUGUGCUGGAUGGAGUAGGCAACAAAUCAGCAAUAAAGAAUAGGUGAUGCACGUAUUCUUUUCUUUAAUUAGUCAACAUAUGUAAAACGCUGAUAAUUAGUAAUGCCAAAUUAUCGCCGUCCAGCUGGAUCACGAAUCAUGAAGGGUUUCUCAAAAGGACCAUAUACUUUGAUGUGCCAGUUAAAAGUUUAUAUAAUUCCCGGUUGGCACGUGCAAAUUAUAUUAAUAUUAGUUAAAGCCAAUUGUUUUUUUAAUGGAGAAUGAGUCGGUGAAUGCAUGUGUACACGUUUACCCCGUUCUUUUUCUUCGCAGCGCGUAAACAAUUACUUAGUGCUUCCCAGUUUUUUCAUCUUAACAAGCACUCCGUACUUAAUUAGCCAGUCAACUCCAGAAGGUACUACUAGUAGGGUAUAUAAUGCAUGUGCCUUGGGCUCACAAGAGAGCAGAACCACCUACACGCACGCAUCACGAUGCACUAGUGUAGAGAAGCUUUAAAGUAUGGUUAUAGUGUUUUCAGCGCCGCCGGUAAACUCUAGAUCCAAAAUAUUCUUCUUCUCUCUCACAUGAUGAAACCUAAAUCUAAAAUAUGGCUAAAAUUAAGUAAUAAUAAACAAAAAUUGACAAGAAAAACAUAAACCACCUUUCCUAGCAACAUUCUUUCAAAAAAUGAAGCUCAAAACCUCUCCCUUGUAUUUUGUAAAAUCUGAACCUCCAAUAGAAGUUGGCUGCAAGCUACAACUCCUCUCGGGGAGGAUGAAAGGGUAUUUAUAAUACAAAGUUUCACUGGUGAUUGGCUUAAGAAACCGCUAGUGAAAAGCUAUUUUCACUUAUGGUUCUCUUAACACAACCAUCAGUGAAAAUAACACUUUUUCACUUGCGGUUGGUGUAACCGAUAAAAUAGCCCAUUUCCACUGGCGAUUGUGUUAAGAGAACCGUCAGUAGAAAUAGGUUUUCACUACCGGUUUCUUAAGCCGAGCCCACCUGUUUAUUUUCACUGACUAACUGAAAUGCUACUGAAAAGUUUUGCAUACCACAUGCUUAGAGUCUUUUCCACUAGUGAUGUCUCCAACAAUGUAUAUUAUAUUCAUCAUCUAUAUCUCUUUUUUACAGUUGUCUAUGCUCUCUUUUUAUAUACCUUUUCUCUCCGGCAGCGCCAUCUAUAUAUAAAUAUCUAUUAUAAAGGCAUAUUUUAUUUUAAUUUUUUUAUAUAUACGUAUAUGUCAUAUCCUUAAACAUUUAAUAUAUAUUUUAGUUUUGCUUAAUCUGUUUUUAAAGUAUUAAAAUAGAUAGAGGAUAUGAAAGAGAAUCUCUAUAUAUAUAGAUGACGUUGUUAGAGUGGAUUUGAAGAGGCAAUCUCUCUGGUAGUUGUCUAGAGGGGUUAAUAGACAACACCUAAACAUUCAAUACUAAAAAUAAACUAAAUCCAAAGUUAGAGGUCAACGCACAUGCGGAUUCAAAGGGAGCUAGGGCUCUAGUCCUCCUAUAUCCGUGAAACUCUAUUGGAGAUAAAGGUCGAGGUAUAGGAGAAGGAAGGAGGGAGAAGAAGAAAAAAGAAAAUAAGCCCUCUCUACUAGCUUGUGGUGUCUCCGCCACUGCCCACUGGUCACCGGAAAAUCAGCCCUCGUUUAGUUCAUUCUUGGAUCUAUCACUGCUCACUACGGUAUUAGAUCUGAUUCGAAUACAUCUAUUGCUAAGAAACUAGAUAGAUAGAGCGGUGACAGUUAGAUCCUAUGAUUCUAUAGACUUACCAAAAUAUGUCAACAUACUGUAACGAUGCCAAUAUACUCUAAACAAAUCUUGCCACUUCAAGGCAGAAGGAGAUAGGCCACCAUGUCCAAGCAGUAGGGCAUGGGUGUGCAGGUUGUUAUCGCAAGCCCGUGCAACAUGUGUGCACAACACCGUACCCCCUCUGCUCUGUUGCCGCGAAGUUUCUCCCUUUCUCUCUCUCUCUCGGCCUAAAUUGACACCGCGCUUUUCCUUCCCGCGUGUCCACGGUCCAAUCCUAGCAUGAAGAAUGGACAGAUAUUCCAAAAGGAAAUGGUGCACUGCAUUCCCGGCCCUGCAACAAUAGACUCUCACAUCGGUUUCUGUGCUGCAGCAGCCAUGUGAUAAGCAUGCAUACGCAGAUGGCCACAGAGAUUGCACCGCGGUCUGAUUCCUCUCAGAGUCUCUGGUGGUGGCUGCUGCUGGCUGAAGAAAAUACGGAGCUCAGCUCACAACGACAGCACAUGUCCCGUUCCCCGUUUACAACAUGCGGAUUGGAUUUCUGUUCGGAUCGAGACUGUUUUGUGACUGGCGACAUCUUUACCGUAGGAAAAAAAAAACACUGCAGAGUAAUAUACUAGUAUCUUUCAGCAACUUCAUUUCCGUGUGAGGCUGGCUCCCUUAGUCCCUUUUCUUAUAUAAAACCAAAGCUAGAAACAGACUUUAAAAUUAUUUGGUUUACAAACAUGUAAGAUAUGUGCAUAAGACAGUGUACUCGAAAAUAUUUGCAAAAAUCUCAUAAGAAUUCCAAGCGCGAGCACAUUUUUCCUUAAGAAUUUAAAGCAAUCUAGUUCGCGCGUGGUCCUAGCUGCCACAUCUAGUCCUAUAUUGUACUUUGAUUUGGUUAGUGAUGGUUCAAAUGUUUCCUUCUGGGGCAACACUUGGGCAGGGGGUUUGAGGCAGAAGGACUUGGCGCCUCGUCUCUUUUCCAUUUCAAGGAACAAAAGGAAAUCUUUGGCCAAGGCUGUGGAUCACAGAUCUUGUCCUGUUUGACAUAACAAUUACCACCCACUAUAUUCAUGAGUUCUGCACUCUUUGGUCCGAAGUCUAAAAGAUCCAGUUUCACUUAGGAUCUGAUGAUGCCAUCAACUGAAAGUUUACUAAUGACCAUCGCUACACGGUAAAAAAAAAUACAGUAUACAUGCUAUGAAUGACAAGUAGUUAUGAUACAUAUGAUGAUCCAUUCAGAAUUUUUACUAGCAAUACAAGCGUCUAUUAUCUAUUCAGACGAAGAGACCAGCUGUUUCAGUGCCUCCCGAAAUCGAAGUCUCCUGGUUGCCAUAUUUUAUUACGCCAUCCAACUUAACGGAUCCCCAGAUUCAUGCACCUGGCGCGUAUUUCUCUAGCCGUUUGCAUUAGGGCCGUUCUCUCGGAGAAGAUUGGUUUCGCCAAUGAUCACACUUUCGCCCCCACUUUGCAAUCUGCCUCCGUGGUCUAAGUAUAAUAAGGUGGUGGUAUUUUUUUUCCUUUUACCUGCUUUACAUGUUGAGGUGUCAAUAUGCCAAAUCCAACGACGACCACAAGCUAGUUUGACAGUGACCCUGCUAGCAACACCUAGGUUGAACACCGAGAGAGGUUGGCUUCGUCGGAUGUUUAUUUGGUUGCAUGAUUGUUUGUUUCACUGGAUAUGGAAGAAUUAUUUAACAUCAUAAAAAGGUUAAUAAUACUUGGAGGAAUGUGGAUAGAUAAUCUAGUGGUUAGGAGAGCCCCACCUCAACUUCUGAGUUUGACUCGGAGCGAAUAUUCUAGAAUUUAAUGACGUUCUGUUUUCAUCGAUAAAAUGAGAUGUGUCCGUGAUGACUUUGUCAAUCUUGAGAACGUCUUCGAAGAUGCUCACUGGGUUAGAAUUCCUCGUUCACAUCAAUUAGUCGUUUUAGGUUUAUCUUAAGUCAAACUAUUUAAACUUUGAUCAACAAUAUAUAUAAUUAAAUUACUUUAAACUAAAAGAAUUAUAUAUUACGGUAGUUCAAAUCAUGAUGGAUCUAGUAAUUUUGUUUUUAUGUUGUAAAACCUUAUGAAACAUCCGGUAUAACCGAUCAAAGUUGAUAUUGAUUGAAUUAGGACAAAUUCAAAACGACUUUUACUUUAAACUAAAAGAAUUAUAUAUUAUGGUAGUUCAAAUCAUGAUGGAUCUAGUAACUUUAUUUUUAUGUUGUAAAACCUUAUGAAACAUCCGGUAUAACCGAUCAAAGUUGAUAGUGAUUGACUUAGGACAAAUUCAAAACGACUAAAACAUGUGCACUGAGCGAGUACGUUCUUAAAGGUGAAUAUGCGUAUAUAUAUGUAAUAGAAACUGUUGCAUGUAAGGAUUUACAGAUUUAGAAAUUAGAAUUAUUUUAUUUGGUUUACCUAGCCCAUCGAAUGACAUAUCAACAUUCUAUAGAUCCCUUUUCAGCGGUUAGCUUCUGGGUCGUCUUCACCUUCAAUGGAGUACACAUGUAAGAACACUGAACACAUGGUGAAUAUAACAAAGUACAUCACAUGGGUACUAUACUCUCUGGCAGAUGGGAACUACCCUUUUUGGGAAGCAUGUGUGACAAGCCAUAUGCCUAUAUCAAAAGGCCAAGAACUCUCGUUUCACACUAUCUCAAAAGCUGUGACUGUGAGGAAGGGUGUAGUGGGAAACAUUUGGAAUUUUGCAAAGAUCGAUUUAUACUAGCUAGCUAGGUCAAGGAAUCCUGCUGGACUUUGAAACGUGGAAAUCGAUCCUCUGGUACGUAAACAUGUGUUGGUAUUGAGAAUGAGCAAGACAGUGGUAGAUGGUAGGGGCUAUGGCUAUAAGAAGACUGACCGAGCCGGAAUCCGAUUUUUUUGCCGAAUGUUCAGCUCUUUGCCGAGUGCAGUUUAUCGGACACUCGUCAAAGAAUUUACCGAGUGUCACUCUCGUUGAACUAAGACUCUCGACAUAGACCUCAUUUACUGAGGGCGGAACACUCGACAUAGAAAGACACUCGGUCCGACAAAAAGUACUCGACAAAUAAGUCGUUGUCGAUGUACAGUUUGUCGAGACUUCUUUACCGAGAGUCACACUCGGCAAAGAGUUCGCCGAGUAUUUUCCGGCACUCGAUAAAGCAUCUGGUCGUGAGAUAUAUGAUGGAAGCCUUCUAGAGGAUUUUGACGAGCAUCUUUGGUCUAUUCAAAGCUAUAUCUUGUUUGUAUUGAUGUGGUGAACUUUAUCUUUAAAAUAUGGUUGCGGUGGGGCUUUUUAUCUGUCUUCGGAUAGCAUUUUAUAUCAUUUUUUUUUGUCUGUGGUCUUUUAAUUUGGAUGGCUUGUAUUAACUACUCUACUGUACUUUGAAAUGAGUGUCGAAAAUAGAUAGAAAUAUAUAUAUAUACAUGAUAAGAAAUAAUUAUUUUAAAACUAAAAGGUCUUAUAAUCUAGAGCAGCAGGAAGUAAGAAACAAGUCUCUAAAAUCAAUAAAUUAGCCUUCAAAUACGAACCUUGGUUUCCGAGAUAAUUGCUUCUAGAAGACUUGCUUCUACUGCUAGAGCUGUGCGGCUGAGCCAGCAGCAGCAGUUGCUGUACCUGUACUCCGUCUCCGGAAUGGACACCGCCCACCACCGGGAGGGAUCGCGGCAGGAGCAGCCGGGCAGCAGAUGCAUGCGCGUGCAACAUAUGCGCGAAAAACGUAUAUUAUGUGAUGGUGCGAGCCCUGCAGUCUUGAGCAACACACUUGCCCAUCAGACAUCAGGGUCGCUGCUGCUAGCCUGCUACGCGUGGCUGCUACACAUGAUUUUCACAAUAGUUUCCAAUUUUUUUUUCCCGGAGAGCCGUCAAUGCAGUAUACCUCCUUUGUAAAUACUAAUGUGCUGCACGAGCUUACAAGCUGUCCCUAGUUUCCGAACAAAUUUGCAUUAAAAAUAGCAUCUGGAUGUUUAAAUCCAUAUAUUUUUCAAAUGAGAUCAGAUAAAGACAAAUUUUAUGUCUAAUUGUAGAGGAUGGCGAGAUCUAAAACUUUAUAGUUCACGAGUUUUUUUUUCAUUAUAGAUUGUUUAAAAACUUAUAUUUUUAUUUAAAGUUCUCGUAUUUUAAAAUCUAAGUUUUUUUAAAUGCAUGCCCUCAAAUAUUAAAGUUAUGAUCUAAAACAUUUUAAAUUUGGAUUUUUUAUACUACCACCGUUAUUUUUUAUUUGUCACGGUUUAGUUUAAAAAUAAACCAGCGGGCGAUAAAUAUUCAAGAACGAAGGUAGUAUGUGAUUAGUUAGUCACCAAAAUAUUCAAAUAAAAUUUAUAACAAAAUAAUGAAGAAUAGCAUCUUAUACUUAUAUUUACAAGAAGUGGCUAUAGUGUGGUUGUGGGAUGGACUCUGCCAAGCAAGAGAUCAUGGACUCAAAUCCUUGUGGAUACAAUAUUGUUGUAAACAAAAAAGAAGGUUCUUGCUUGUGACACACAUUUUUUCUACUUUUUGGCACAAAUUAAUAUUUGUUUUUAAAUGUUCAAUAGGCGGUUGACAUGAAAUUUUCAAAGACAAAUGCAAAUGCCUCAUUCCUAUAAUUAUUGGAAUUGUAGAGAUUUUGAACCUCUUUAAAAUGGAUUUUGAUCGUGUCAUCGGUGUGCGACACCAUGGUACCGAAGAUACCAGAGAAAAUCAAAGGUAAAGAGAGAGGGUGUAGACUUGGGACCACUGGAUCAAGGCGUCGACUUGGUUGUAUGCACACACACACACACACGAUGUAAACAUAUCCGAACACCUUGAAUGUAAUAUCCUACAUGUUCUAUGCGAUAAAUGAUUAGAUGCAAGUAUUGGUAGAGCCUACAAGCUCGUAUGAUGUCUGUCUAACCAGCCUUGGAGUUGAGAAAGGAGAAUCAACAUCAACCAAUACAUUUUUAUGUUCCUCUAUAUCUUUAUUUUACAUCACAAGCGAGAAGGGAGUACACUCCUACAUAGGUGGGGGUCAUGCUCAACAGAAGUCCAACUACUCCUAUCUUGUUAUAGUUAUUAUACCAUAUAUGUAUCAAGUGUCUAACAAGCUACACUGGUGAGUAUUACACACCAUAGUGGCAGGUAUAGGUGCCCGUGUUGUAGUUGGUAUCUACAGGCACAGAUUCAACGUAAUGCUAGUGAAUACACUUGCAGCCUUAUGUGUGGCUACAAUGACUUCUUUUCACCACUACAAUAGCUUUAGUAAAACUUUUGAGUGCUACAUUGCCUCUUACAAAAAAUGUCAAGGACAAUAGCCUUAAUUAUCUUAGUAUCUUGGGCUUAGCCGACCUAGUCUAGAGCACAUGUGGUGCCAGGGUCAUGCCACCUACGGGUAUCUUCGAAAGUGCUAGAUGGGCAUGUAUAAAGCCCUUAGCUCAUAGGGACCCUAGGCUUGACCGGCAUAGGGCUUGACACCGUAGAUGUAGGGCCCUUAGAAUACCAGGAUUGUGCCAAGUUAGGCCCUCUAUGGGUGUUUCUUCUGAUGAUGAAGUCCUAAAGAGCAUUUUGCUAGCAUCCAAGGGUAUGUCUAGCCCUAGACACUAAAAAUGGCCCUAGGGCCCACCGCAGACCAAAGGAAGCCUAUAGGUGGGACCAUUCUUCCUACAUACACAUAAUAGAAUGGGUCUAUCGUGCAUGCAUAGAAGAAUGUAUGCUUCAACCAUCUCAACCUAUGGUCAAUGCAUCAAACAGUAGUCAUGUUGCAUGACUCCCAAACGGCAAUGGUCGUGUGACACUUCUGGUGUUGUGCCUAGUAGUUGUAAGAGGGGAGAGAAGGGCGCCUUGAAUCUUAUGUGUGUGGUUUCAUCUUCUUUUUCCUUCACUACUCCACACAAUCCACCUCACUUGCUAUCAAUCACUCUCCCUCUUUCCCAUAGAUGCCUCCAACUUAUCAUAAUCAUCCCAUCCCCCAGAUUCAUUAUGAUGUCAUGGCAGCUACCUCCCUGAGCACAUGAAUCCUGAACUAGGAGGGGAUGUACAUGGUGUGUCGGUUCCUCAAGUGGACCUCACCACUAGAAUUUACAAUGUGUGAGUGAUAUCAUUCCACCGUGCAUUCCAUGAGAGAGUGCAAGAGGGUACAUCUUCUACUCCUUCAUGAUAGUGGGGAUGAGCUUCCCCUUGUCAUGAUUCUUCCUCCAUGUCCUAGAGUUAUAUAGCCUCUAGAUCGAGCACCUCACCCUAACUCCAUCUUCGCCCUAUCGACCUUUGCAUAUAUGUGAGAUGCGUUCAUGGGGAUGAGGCUUUCCAUGGUGUUGUGUUAACACUUGUUUGUCUAUUGGGUAAGGGAUACUACUUGUAGUUCCACUCAAGCCCAAAGCCCCAAAUGCCUAACAACUUGCUCGACCUCGGCGAUAAGUGGGGGCACUCGAGACAAGGAUGUACAUCAUUAUCACUCUUGAAGCCCACAUGGAGAUGCUAAUGAGGGUGCCAGUAAGCAAGAAGAUUCGAUAAGAGAUGUCAGAGAUGGACGCUGAAGGAUCAAAUCAGGCAACUAGAGGGGUGAAUGAGAACUAAUAAAAAUCUUUGAUCAAAGGUAAUCUUGGCCUAAUCAUCCAAGACACCAAAAUAGUUAAUAGAGAUACUUAAGAGUCAAUUGGUCGCUAGAUAUUCUUGGUGUUGACCAAUAAACACAACGAAGCACUCAAAACGGCUAGGAAUGAGUAUGCGGGGAAACACUCCAAAAUCGAGAAAUUGAGCUUAUUACUUUAGUGAAAAUAAAUAAGAUGCUCAAACAAGAACACCUCAACCAACCAGUGAUUGGAUGUUUUGGAAAAGUUUUUGAAGCAUGCACAAACUCAAAAAACCAACACUCGAAAGUCCAAGUGGACAAAAUAGUGACAUGGUGUAACAUUCCAAAAUUCCAACCCAAGGUUUGGAACCCAAAUCUCCUAACCCCCCUUUUUAUCUCUCUCUAAAUUCCACCUCAUAGGACAUCUCAUCAUAUGCAUACACUUUGAUUGUUAGAAGCACCUCACAUAGAUGAUCAUUUUUCUUUUUAGCACCUAAGAUUAUUUAGCUAAUUAUUUGUUCAAAAGAAAAGGAGAUAAGAGAAAUAGAAAUAGAAAAUAGAAAAGAAAAAGGAAAAACCUUCUCCCCUCGAUUGGGCCAUUUCUGGCCCAGCUCCCUCCCGCGCGCCUCGCCCCCCCUUCCCUGGCCCACGCGGCCCAGCUCCCUCCCGCGCGCCGUGCCACUCCCCCGUUGACCGGUCGGCCCCACCCGUCAGCCCGCACCCCCUCGCUCUCUCGCGAUCUCUCUCUGGCGAGCGGGCCCCGCCCGUCAGCGCCCUCCUCGCGUCCGUGACCGGGGCUAGCGACGUGAUCGCCGCCGGCCACUGCCCGCCCUGUCGCCUCGCCAUUAUCGCGUUCACCAGCUCAGUUUGGCGCCUUGCUGUUUGGUUAUAAUCAUUUUGAUCUGGAAAACUAACAUUUAUUCUUAUUUUGUUAUAUGCCGCAUGUUUGUGAGCAGAGUGAAGGUAACACUGCAUUUGCGUGACUUAUAAGCCUGCAAUAGGAACAUGGAUAGUUUUUUAAUGGAAAUGCUUGUUUCUUCAGGGGCAAGAUGUUGCUUUUGAGCCAGCAAAGCUUCUCUGGCUUAUCCAGAGGGAUUUCCUCCGUAAGUUGCUUCAAGAAUGGUUCUCCAUAUUAUGAUUUUAAACAGUUCCAUUUUGUUUGAGAAUGCAACAUGUCAACCUUUGGACUGACAUCCUUUAUGAAUUUUGAUUUUUUCUGCAAUCUGCACAACAUGUAAUCUUAACCACAUAGAAUAGCAUGUAAUCAAUUCAUUUGGGCAUCAAUAUGCGUUUACUUGUCCUAGGUGUCUGUUGGAAAAGACUUGUGAAAGCUCUUGCUACUAUCUCCAAACUUUGAUGUACUUCUAGUGUUUAACUAUUUGUUACUUGUUAGACUAUGUUGCACUAACUUAACCCACAGUGGCUUGCUAAAUCAAUGGGCUUAUUAGUCAAUAACUGCUGCUUGUUACACUAUAUUAAUACUUGUUAUUUGUAGUUUCUACCGUAUUAUAGUGUUUAAUUAUGUGUAGAUUAAAUACAUCAUAACAUGAUGUUUUUGUUCAAAAUAUAAGUUCUUAUUUCAUUGGAGUUGUGCCCUUAUUCCCUAUCAUUCUCUUAUAAUUGGUGAGCUAUAUUUACCUGUGCUUAAUACAAAAAAAAUCACUAAGAGUGGUCACUUUGACAUUGGAAACAGAAGGAAAAUCUGUUCAACAAAUGGUCAAUGAAGCCCUUCAACGGGUGCCUAAUGAUAAUGGUCAGCUCAAACAACAUGACUAUUUCUAACUUUGUGUUAUUUGAGCAUCUAUUAGAAAGGCCUCACUCUUUUUUGUAUUUAUUUCUGCAGGUGACAAAUAUAUUGAUGAGGUGUAGUUUGUGUAUGAAAUCUAGUAAUAUACACUUUUGAACCAAAAGUUGUUAGUUCUAAGCUCAGUUACAAAUUCUUUCUGUAUUUUUAGGUCAAUCAAAUACGAGAUUCGUUGGCAGUUAUGGGGAACAACAGCACUGCUUUUAGCUUGCCUCAGGUGCAUCUCUGAUAAUUUGCUUGCAACGUCUAACUUGCAGUUAUUUAAUUUAUCUUUGACUGCUCAACAGAACAUUAUAUGUUGUUAUGUAAUUGUGAAAGAGCCUCUAGCCGAGUUGGUUAGGUGGUCUGAGUAGCAUUGCUUAGGUUAUGAGUUCGACUCCCCGUGAGAGCGAAUUUUAGGUUGUGGUUAAAAAAUCACAUUGUUUGUACCACGCCAAAGCACAGGUCUACGGCCUGGUCCCGAUCGUGGUCGUUUCUCACAUGGGCUACGGUGCCGCUGUGUAUGGGUGGGGCAGGGGUUCGGGGGGUUUUCUCGAUCUGCGUGAGAAGGUUUAAUAUAAUGCCUGUGGGCUGUCUUACCCCCGCAGGUCGAGUUUUUUUUAUAUGUAGUUAUGUAAUUGCUACAAUUUAUCUUGUACUGUACCGAUCAAUGUUCAUGCUUCUGCGUUGUGCUUUGUAACCUGCAAACCAUAUGAACACUGAUUUUGUUUAUACAGCCGCAUCUUCAAAGAACAAAAUUAUGUGAUAUGGAGGACAAAGAACUUGAACCCUUAUAUGUAAAACGGCGGGAGCAAUUAAAGCAGCUUGUUUCGUCUAUUGUAAAACCAAAAAUUGUGCAGGGCAGAACUCUAAAUGGGAAGGACUUUGUGUCUUUCUUGCAGCAGGUAAAAUACUUAAUGAUGUGGUUGCUGAUAUGUAUCUGAUCAGUUAGAAUUAUCAGUAACUUUUCCUCCUGUCUCCUCUGUUUCAGAUUCUUGAGGCUUUGAAUAAAGGCGAAAUUCCAUCAACAGGGUCUCUAGUUGAAAUUUUUAACAAAGCCAUUCUUGAUCGCUGUCUGAAGGUGUACAGGGAGAAAAUGGAUGGCUUAGGCCUACCAGUACCGGUAGACAAACUGCAGAAACUUCAUGAGAUGGCAAAUGGUGAUGCUAGAAUUCUCUUUGAUAAGCAGCACUUUGGCAAACAUCAUGCUGCUCAGUCAGCACUCAAGCUUGAAGAUGAUAUUAAAAAGGUUAAUAUUUUUUACUCUUUUUGAAUGGUCACUACUACAAGUUGAAUUUUUGUCGCAUGUUGUGAAUAAUGUUUUGGUAUCCUAUAUCCUUGCUGUAGCUCCUGUCUUUCUUUCCGUUGGUUUUGGAACGCCACUGAAACUCUGUGUCAUCUCUUACAUGCCUUCAACUCAACUUAUACCUGUAGAAGAUAAUAAGUUUUACAUACUUACAGGAUGUACUUUGUAGGUGUACAGAAACUUACUUCUAGCUAAUGAAUAUCAAUCGUCAAAGCUGUGUGAAGCUCGCUUUUCUGAGUGUGAAGAUAAGAUGGAUCACCUUCAAGUCUUGAAACUUCCUUCGAUGGCAAAAUUCAAUGCAGGCUUUACUCACUGCAACCAAAGUUUCGUAAAGGAAUGUGUUGGACCUUCAAAAGAAAGCUAUGAACGUAGAAUGUCAAAGGUUUGCCUGUUAAUUCUGAAUACAGUUGUCAUGUCAGUUACCAAAGGUUUGCCUGUUAUUAUGCAUUUGCAGCCUAGUUUCCAACGACAAACCAGCCUUCUUUUAUUCUUAUUUUUGGUUGCUGUCAUCUUAAAUUUCGUUUCAUUUCAUCUGUCUACAACUCCACAUGAUGAAAUUCAGUUACUUCUAUAUUGGUAUCAAAUUUUCCCCUGUAGAUUGAUAGAUUUGUUUUGGUACCUGAUGACACUUAUGUUGUGAACUGCGAUGCACUCGCAAGAUAGUCCUGGUACUCAGCCCUCCCGUAGGAGGCCCUAAGAGUAAACCAGAUCUAUUCUUCUUGCCUAUCCCUACUAACACCCUGCCCCUCCUUAUGUAGAGAGGUAGCCCUAACUUAAUAGCUAAGCAACAUAACAAACCUUAUUUGGCUAGCACUGUUCACGCGCUAAUGGACUAGUUUCACACAGCUACAGUACUGUUCACGCGCUAAGCAACGUAACCCUACAGAACCGCACGUGAACAGUGUUCACGGCUAACCUAACCCUAGUGAUCUAGCUAAUGGGCUUAAGGCCCAUAACAGCCCAUAACACACUAAGAUAUUUUUUACCUGUAAUUAUCAAAAUAAACAUAUAAGCUAGUAAAAGAUGCACAAGCAGUAACAUAAAUAACCACGUUUAGACUUUAGUGUGGAAGGAGGGAACCCGUGCUGUAGUUAUCCUGUGCAUUGAUAUCUUCUAUGGUAUUGCGAUUUCUACUCAAGUAUGUGCUCUGUUUGGUUGCUUUUACUCUUUAAAACUUGUUGUGGUUUGCAUGGAGCCAUGGACUAAGCUCCAGUUUGAUGCUGUGUUUAGAUGCUUGCCAAGUCUCGUGCUCUUUUCAUCAAGGAGUACAAUAACAAGCUUUUCAAUUGGUUGGUGACCUUCUCUUUGGUCAUGGUGGUCAUCGGGCGCUUUGUCAUCAAGUUCUUCCUACUUGAAAUCGCCGCCUGGGUGAUGUUCAUCUUCCUAGAGACGUACACGAGAAUGUUCUGGUCAGCGGAAUCGCUGUACUAUAAUCCAGCUUGGCACAUCAUUGUUUCUUCCUGGGAAACCAUCGUGUACAGCCCAAUUCUUGAUCUGGACAGGUAGUCUCCUUGCUCCUAACUGUAUAUAUUGGCAUGCUACUCUGUCUGACUAAAGCCCUGUUUAGAAGCAUCCGGAUUUUAAGAAACUGGUUUAUAUAUAAAUUGGGGUGGUUCUAAACAUACCAGUUUAUAACCCAGUUUAUAGAAAUUAGAUUCUCAGUUUUUUAAAAACCAAGAAGCUAGCAUCUCCUAACUAAAAGAUAAAAACUGGGUCUAACAUGUAAUUCUUUGCACAGAUGGGCCGUCCCAAUUGUCAUAAUGCUAUUAUUUGGGGUUCUUUACUGGAGAUGCUUCGGUGGUAGAAGGAAGCGGGGAAGGGGUUCGCUCCUCCCAUUGUACAAGAAUUCUUAUAACUCGAGUCGUCGCUCCAGAUCAGACUAGUUAUACACGCAAUGCUCAAGUUUUUUUCUUUUAAAGAAUGGUACAAAAUAUCUGCCUGUAGAAGAGGCUAAACUGCCGAAUGUGGAUCAUCUGUAAGUGCUUUUGGAUGGGCAUGUUUUGAUGGUGCCCUGCCAAUGUAUCUCCAAUUCUUUUUGGUGGAUGAAGAGAGGCGGUGAAGCUGCUAGUAUGGGGCGGGGCACCUGCACAAAGCCUCUGUUGUAAUUCAUACCAGGGUACUUUUUCCGUAGCUAGAUUAUCCUUACAUGUCACGGUCCCAAUUGAUUGAUUAUUGUUUACGUCCACUGCAAAUUUUUUUGGCAAGAAUUUUGUUUUUUAACGUCAUAGAUAGAAGGUAGCUGUUAGAGCGUGUACCGUGUCAAUCAUAUGCUCAAAGUUAUAAUCUGGUGGUGGAAUUUGGAAACGUUCCUUGUUUAUACUGUUGUUAUACAGUUUAUAUCCACAUAUAUGCUAUACUCUGGCUAGGAGCUGUGUUGUGUUUAUGUUUUGCAUUAAGCCAGUGGCACUCAGAACUAGCGAGAGGCAGAGCGUGCUCUUCGAUGGAAACCGAACUUGCUGUGUCCACUGCAAUGUGUAGCAGACAGCAGUUGGCAUAGUACACGUCACAUGGACACCAGAGAUCCACAUGGAGAACGAACAAUAAAUCAAUAGCAGUAGACCCGUAAGUCCACAACGAACGAAUGCGCAUCGCAGCAUUAGCAAUGUCCACUACAAAGUAUGUGAAACUGUUAAUUUAUCAUAUUCUUUGCCGUGGGCAUCACUGCAUCAGGGCCUUUAUCAUAUCCGAUGGAGUAGGAACCUAGGAGGUCGACCCCGAUGAAGCCGGGCCUCCGCACAUCCUCUUCUGGAGGUGCUCCAGGCUCGCCACCCGCUGCAGCGAGUCAGUGCUGCCCAUCUUGCCGGCGACCUGAGCCCCGUUGACGAAAUCGUCGUCCUCUUGAGCCGAGGAAGCUAUAUCUGGCAUGUAACCGUUGCUGCCUCCGAUCUCGCUUGGAUUGGCGAAGUAACUGUUCAGGUCAUCUUGGAUGGGUACGGCGGCAUCAGAGGCGGAGUCGGAUGGGGAGCCAUUGAAUGGCAUGCUGAGGGACGACAUAUCAGACACGGCAGGGAACAAUGUGUUCAUGCCAGUUACCCGCUUCACUGAGUCCUCUGCCA
rnacentral:lncRNA from 1 species